rnacentral:lncRNA from 1 species
CUGGAAUGGACUUAUAGUCCGACGAAAAACGCCUUAAUUCGUCGGCUUAAAGUUUUUUUUAAAAAAAAAAAAAAAAAGUUUUUAGCCGACGAAAUACGCUUUAAUUCGUCGGCUAAAUCCCUAUAAAGCCGACGAAAUAGACUAUAUUUCGUCGGCUUUAGUUAUUUUUUAUUUUUUAAUUACAAACUUUAGCCGACGAAUAUUUUAAAUUCUUCGUCGGCUAAAGUCGGAGAAAUAACCGACGACAUGUUUUUCGUCGGCUAAACUCUAGACUAUAGCCAACGAAUACCUUAAAUUUUUUUCGUCGGCUAAAGUUUGGACUAUAACCGACGACAUUUUUUCGUCGUCUAAAGUCUGGACUAUAGCCGACGACAUUUUUUUCGUCGGCUAAACUCUGGACUAUAGCCGACGACUUCUACAUGUGUCGUCGGCUAAAGUCACCACAGACGACAUUUUCCCGACGAAAUCUUAGCCGACGAAUUAAGCUGACAGGCGGCUAAAGUGCUUGUCCUGGUAGUGUAGUGUCUAACACUUACGUCACGCCAUAAUGACAUUUUACCUCAUUAUGACGGACCAAGCACGUAUGGCUAGCUAGCAUUUAUAUACAUACUAUACUCAUAAUAUCCAUAAACAUAUCCACCGAAAAUCUCAUUUUCGGGAUCUCUCCAAAGGAGGAAAAUUGCCAAAUAUCAGAGAAAGAAAUAAAUCUCAGGAAAAGAAAUAAAUGAUCAAUAGAUAAUUCAUCGCAUGCUUUUCAAUUAAAACAAAGGUCCACUCACAACUCUAGGCAUAAGCCCGACGAAAUCCAAAUCGCCACUCCAAUGAGGUUUCCUCGAACCCUGGCACAAAUAUAUAAUUAAAUUCCCAACUAAAAUCCAAUAUUUAAACAAAAUAGGCAAAAUUAAAUAUGAGCCGCAACCACGCUCAUCCUUGCCCAACUUCGCCUUUCCUAAAACGAAACGAUCCAACUUUAAUACCAUAAUCGGCAGCCGUAAUUACAACCUCCCCAGAACAACGACUUAAAUCCUACGGCCGGAUUCUACAUUAAUUAACCGUCAAAAAUAUCAAACUUCGGAAGAACACAAACCUAUUCAAAACUCAUUCGAAAAUUCCAUAAUUUACAUCAAUAUACUCCUCUUAAUAUUCCACAUUUAAAAACAUUAAAAUCUCCCAACCGGCGGCGCCAGCCCCACGGGCAGCGGCGGCCGGAGGCCGAUUCCGGCGACCUCCAAUGCCUACCAAAAUUUAACAGCAGCUUCCUCUCAACCUACUCAACAACUUUCCUAACUAGCACAAACACAAAUUCCAAGUCUAGCUAGGGUAAUCGAACACAAACAUCUAAUGAGCCCUAGAACUUCAACUCUGAAUUUCUCCUUACCUAGCUCAAGAGGGAGGGAGUCAUUUGGAGGGAUUGUUGCACGGGAGGAGGACUUUCCAACAAGCCAAGCCGCUCCGGCUAUGGUGGCCGGAGGAGGGAGCUCCGGCGAUGGAGGGCUACGACAGUCGGACUUUGUGGGCAAACUUCCUCUCGAUCGGCGGCACUAGGGGUGCGGUCACCUACCCAUAAAUGAAGAGGAGAGGGUGGUGGUUCGAUGGGGACCAACUUGGUGGCCAGAGUUGGCCGGACGGCGGCAAGCAGUGGAGAAGAAUACUGGCGAAGGAAGAAGAAUCGGGGGAGAGAGGAGAGACAGUCGGGGAAAGAGAGAGAAAUUUAAGGUUUGGGCUUUCCCAACCGGUUCCCCAACCCACCAAUAUAACCCAAUUCCAAAAUUAACACCCCCAAAAAUAAUAUCCCAAUAAAAGUUAUCUUUUACUAGCUAAAAGUUACCAUUUUUACCGCCGUCACAUUUUUCUCCUACGAAUAAUUCCUCCGAAAAUAUCGUCCCUCAAAACCCCUCUAGGGACCAAUUAAACCAUAACUCAUUGACGGAGACAGUAAAAUUCUUAUUAAAAUCAAGCUAGUAAAUAGGUAAAAAGUUAAGGGUCGGGAUGUGACAAUGUAUCUCGGCCAACACAUUCUUGGUCAACUCAGCCAAACUUAAUGUAUCUCGGUCGUUGCACUCUCAACUAAAUCGGCCGAACUCAACGAGUCUCGACCAUGAUAUUCUCAACCGAUUCGGCCAAACUCAAUGCAUCUCGGCUAACACAUUUUGAGUCAACUAUGCCAAAUGACAAACUAUUCUUAAUCUCGGCCAAAUGGCCGAACACCUUCAUUUUCGGCCAAAUGGCUGAAUGCUUUCACUCUCGACCAAAUGGCCGAAUGCCCUUACUCUCGGCCAAAUGACCGAAAUACUUCACUCUUUGCAAGAUGGCUGAAUGCCAUCACUCUUGGCCAAAUGGUCGAACGCCUUUACUCUUGGCCUUAUGAUCGAAUGCCUUCAUGUACUAUCGAUUGAAUGACUGACUGUUUCCACUUUAAGCUGAAAUCGCUAAACUAAUUUGAUCAUCACCAAGGAGUGCCAAAUGUAGGUGCAAAUAGAAUCAUAACAUAUUCACAUUGAUUCAUAUAUAUAAAAAGUAUUAGGAAAGCAAUCUCUUGUAUCUUAUUGUAUCUUGGUUAUCUUGUUGAUUAGGAAAGUAUCAGUCAUGUGAAUAUUAGUAUCAAUUGUAUUCUGGUUGUACUACGUGAUUGUAGUUGUUUCCUUGUAGGUAAGGAAACCCUCAUGUAUAUGUAUUCUGUCGAUUAUCAAUGAAUAUUAUUCUAGCCAAACUAUCUCUCUUUUAUGGUAUCAGAGCAGGAAUCAAUCUGAUCCUGUCUCUUUGUUUUGCACUCUAUUUUCUCGUGCAAUCAUCAUCCUAUUAUCAUUCAUCAUGAGCAACCGUAAUAUCCUUCGAAAAGACAAUCGGCCUAACAUCUCCCUAAAUCUCAAUAAUCAGCUUGGUAUCGUCAAUGGCACCAUCAGGUCCUUUUCUUCAAAUUCCAAGAACUAUCUUGGUAUGUCCAAAAUAUCAUCUCAGCGCUGGAUUCUCGAUAGUGGCGCAACAGAUCAUAUCAUCUCAUCAUCAAGUAUGUUAACUCAUAGCAAAAAAAAUCAUUCAUUGCCUCCUGUGUUGCUGCCGAGUGGAGAGAAAGCUCAAAUAUCUUCUACGGGAUCAGUACUGUUAAAUUCACAUUAUUAUCUUGAUAAUGUGUUAUAUAUUCCAAAUUUCAAAGUUGAUCUUAUGUCUAUUAGUCGGCUCACAAGGGGAUUGAAUUGUUCAGUGACUUUUUCUCCAUAUUGAUGUAUUUUGUAGGAUUUAGUUUCGAGAAAGACGAUUGGUUUGGGUAAAGAACACAACGGUCUCUACUAUCUAGUGGCGUUAACGACGGAGAAAACUAAGCCUAAACCACAUUAGUCAUCAACCAUUCAACCUUCUUGCCACCUUACAACAUCCUCUGCCAAUCUGUGGCAUCGUCUUCUCGGUCACGUUUCAUCUCGUCCUCUAGAUUAUAUUGCUAAGCAUUUUUUGGAUAUUUCUAUUCCUUCUUAUUCAAAUCAUGUUUGCGAUAUUUGUCCGUUGGCAAAACAAAGUCGUCUCUCUUUUGGUACCAGUUCUAUCUCAUCUGUUAAACCUUUUGAUCUCAUUCAUUGUGACAUUUGGGGUCCCUACAAACAUCAUUCUCUUAUUGGUGCACGUUAUUUUCUUACAAUCGUAGAUGAUUAUUCUCGUUUUACUUGGGUCUUUUUGAUGCAACAUAAAUAGGAAACUCAGUCUUUGAUUAAACAAUUUUUGCAUUUGCAUCUACUCAAUUUUCAUCUCAAAUAAAAACCUUUCGUAGUGAUAAUGGGGCUGAGUUCGUUUCUCUUCGAAAAUUUUUCAAAGAUAAUGGAGUUCUUUUUCAGCAUUCUUACGUUUAUACGCCCUAACAAAAUGGGGUAGUAGAACGCAAACAUCGUCAUAUCCUCCAAGUUGCACGCGCUUUUAAAUUUCAAGCCAAUCUUCCUCCAGAAUUUUGGGGAGAAUGUGUUCUCACAGCUGUCCAUGUUAUUAAUCGUUUACCCACACCACUUCUUUCUUUUCAAACACCUUUUGAGCGUCUUUAUUCUUGACCUCCUCCUUUCCAUCACCUUCGUGUUUUUGGUUGUCUGGCUUAUGCUACAAAUGUCAAGGUCACACAUAAGUUUACCCCGAGAGCAGUCAUGUGUAUCUUCAUCGGUUAUCCCGUUGGUCAGAAAGCCUAUAAACUUUACGAUCUCUCAAGUCAUAAAAUUUUUACAAGUCGUGAUGUAAUCUUUCAUGAGAAUAUCUUUCCACAUCAGUCUCUUGUAUCCAAGCCCAAUUCUGGUCCAAUUCUUCCUCUAGCCCACGUCACUGGCCCAACUAGCCCUCCCACUAUCUCACAGAAUCAGUCCAAUCAACUUCAUCCUUCAUCUCUUCGAUCGAGUCAACCAACACCUCCGUCUGCUCCGUCUCUUCCCGAGUCGGCACCGCCAGUUCAACCCCUGCUUUCCGAUCCUUCUCACCUUCCGCCGCCACAAGCGGCGUCACAGCCCAGUCUGCCUCCACCAUUUACCUCCGAUCCUCACUGAUCCAAUUCCGAACCUCCGCCGCCUCCUGCCUCAUCCAAUCCCGACUCACCACAGCGGGGUUCACCUAUUUCUGGCGCUGACUCGCCGUCUCUUUCCGGCACCUUCUCGCCUCCAUCUCAGUCCAUUUCCAACCCACCCAGUCAAGAUGUCACCUCAAAUACCGAUCCUCACCUUCUCUUUCCGACGUCCCAAUAACCAGCUAUUCCAGAGCCACCACCAUCAAUGCCAAACCAGCAACCUGAUAUCCCUGCCCCACCACCAUUUGAUCAAGCACCACAGCCUCUCCGUCGUUCAACCCGAUCCACUGUGCCAUCGGUUCGUUUACGCGACUAUGUGUGUUCCCAAAUCACUGGCCCAAACUCGUCGCUUUCUUCGUCUCUAGGUUCUGCCCAAAUCAAAGGUACCAGAUAUCCAUUGUGCAGUUAUUUGUCAUAUGAACACUGUACUCCAUUGCAUCGCUCUCUUAUAGCACAGAUUACUCAGGCCUGUGAACCAAACACUUAUGCCGAAGAUGCCCCUCAUCCAGAAUGGCAAGAAGCGAUGCGUUCUGAAUUGCAGGCAUUGGAGGAUAAUAAUAUCUGGACUCUCACCCCUUUACCGGCCGGAAAAACUCCUAUUGGUUGUCAGUGGGUCUACAAGAUCAAGCAUCGAUCAGAUGGUACAAUUGAAAGGUACAAAGCCCGUUUGGUUGCCAAGGGUUUCACUCAAAUGGAAGGUAUCGAUUAUCAUGACACUUUCUCACCUAUUGCCAAGAUUAUUUCUGUUCGUUGCUUAUUGCCUUUGGCUGCUGCUCAAAGUUGGUCUAUUCACCAGUUGGAUGUCAAUAAUGUUUUUUUACAUGGUGAUUUUGAUGAGGAAAUUUUUAUGUAUCCUCCUCUUGGUCUUCGGCGACAGGGGGAGAACAUGGUUUGUCGCCUUAACAAAUCCUUAUAUGGCUUGAAACAAGCCUCUCGGCAAUGGUUUGCAAAGUUUUCUGAUGCUAUUCGUUCAGCUGGUUAUGUUCAAUCUAAGACAUAUUAUUCGUUAUUUACCAGAAAAUAGGGGAAGUCAUUCACUGCUUUGUUGAUAUGUGUUGAUGAUAUAUUAAUCACUGGUAAUGAUCUAGUUGCUAUUUCUACUUUAAAGAAGUUUUUGAAUAGCCGGUUUCGUAUUAAGGAUCUUGGUGGUUUAAAGUAUUUUCUUAGCAUAGAGGUUUCUUGUUCCAAGAAUGAAAUCUAUAUCUCUCAGCGAAAGUAUGCAUUGGAAAUAAUCAGUGAUGCAGGUUUAUUAGGUGCAGCCCCUGCUGACACCCCUAUGGAGCGUGGCUUGAAAUUGUCAAACAAAGGUGAUCGAUUUGUUGAAGGAUGCUUCACGUUAUAGGCGAUUGGUUGGUAGAUUGAUCUAUCUCACCAUCUCAAGGCCUGAUAUAACAUACUCAGUACAUGUGUUGAGCAGGUUUAUGCAUGAGCCACGAAAACCUCACAUGGAAGUAGCUUUACGAGUUGUCCGUUAUCUCAAGAACACGCUUGGGCAAGGUUUGUUCUUUUCUGCACAAAGUGAUCUAAGACUUCGUGCUUAUUGCGAUUCAGAUUGGGCUGGUUGUCCCGUGACUCGGAGGUCCACUUCAGGUUAUUGUGUCUUUUUUGGUUCUUCAUUAAUUUCUUGCAGGUCAAAAAGACAAAAGACUGUUUCACUCUCUUCCGCUGAGGCAGAAUAUAGAGCAAUGAAAGGAACUUGUUACGAAUUGAUAUGGUUGAGGAACCUCCUCAAAGAUUUAAAUGUUCUCCAUUCAAAACCUGCUUUGUUGUAUUGUGACAAUAAAGCAACUUUGCAUAUUGCAGCUAAUCCUGUCUUUCAUGAAAGAACCAGACAUAUAGAGAUAGAUUGUCACUAUAUCAGAGACAAGAUUCAAGAUGGUUCAGUGGUUACAAAACAUGUGAGUUCUUCUUUUCAGUUGGCUGAUGUUUUCACUAAGGCUUUGGGAAAAGAUUUCUUUAUUCCUUUGAUUCGCAAGUUGGGAGUUCGAGAUAUCCACUUUCUAACUUGAGGGGGAGUAUUAGGAAAGUAAUCUCUUGUAUCUUAUUGUAUCUUGGUUAUCUUGUUGAUUAGGAAAGUAUCAGUCAUGUGAAUAUUAGUAUCAAUUGUAUUCUGGUUGUACUACGUGAUUGUAGUUGUUUCCUUGUAGGUAAGGAAACCCUCAUAUAUAUGUAUUCUGUCGAUUAUUAAUGAAUAUUAUUCUAGCCAAACUAUCUCUCUUUUAAAAAGAGAUCUGUGCAUCCUGACUCCGCCCCAAUACUCUUUCUUCUGUUCUAAACCUCUUAGUAAAUUUUAAUUUUCUUGUAAUUUUCAAUUUUUUUUAUUUUGUCAAAAUGGGUGGGGUUGCUGGUGACCUCUCUCCCUUUUUUGGGUAAUGAUGUCACCAAUUAGCCUAUUAUUCAUGUGCCUUUGAAUUCUCAUUGGAAGUGCGAUGACUAUUUAGGAUGAGCUUAAUAGCUGAAAAUGAUGCUUGUACUUAGGUAAUGGUUCUUUUGUCAAUUAUACUGGGACGAAUCUUUAUGUGUACUCUUCGUCUGAUCCUUAUAAGAGUUGACCUGUUAUUUUAAAAAAUGUAUUAAAUCUUUCCAAAGGAUCUUACAUAAGUUUUUUUUUGUCAUUAACCAAUUAAUACACGACUCUUCUCUUGGAAGUAGAUUUACUACUUACAUCUUAAGCUUAUUAGGUGUACACCAAUUGAGGUCUUAGACAGCUAAAUAUUAUGUUCCAGAGAUUUAGGUAGUAAGUUUUGAUUUCUCUUGCUGUAGACUCUCUUUGAGCCUAUAUGUAAUCAGUAAAGGUACUUGUCUUGGUGAUUGUAAGCCUCCCUUAACUUACUCUGUGGAGGACGGCAUUUUGAUGUACAUGCCUUUUGGCCAUUGAUUAAGGCAUUAAGCAAUAUAAGUUAUCCUUUUAAAAAAAAAAAAAACACGACUCUUCUCACCAGGCAGUAUGCAGUGAUGCUUGCAACUUACCUGGGAGAGGACUUCAUCAUGAAACAUCGAAAGACGUCUGUAUUCUCCCGUUCAAUCUUUUGGUGGGAGCGGAAGAGGCGUCUACCCUACCCUGGUAACCUUUUUUUUUUUGGUAAACUGUUUGAGUUUUUAAGAUGUUAAACAUAAGAAAGAAAAUAAUAAACAAACUGAAAAUGAAGGUUAAAUUCGAAAAUUUUGGACCCGUUAGGCCUUCAGAAAACCUUGCAAGAGUAUAUGGCAAAACUCAUUCGUAUCCCAUCAUCACAUUCAAGAAACUCCUGUGAUUUGCGGAAGGUGCAUUGCCAAAACAUGUGAAGCCUUCAAGGCCCAGUAACACAGAAAGCAAGGAUCUUGUGCAUUUCUCAAGUAGAUCACAGAGAAAGAGACUACUGUUACAGAAGGUGGAAGAAGCAAGGGUUGGGAUUUGGUAAGAAAAGGGGAAAAGAGCUUUGAAGAGUGUCAUGAUUUUCACAGUGGAGUGGGUUGGGGAAGAAGAAGUUGCAUUUACUUAAGGUUUGGCAUGCGCCUAACCUAAAUACGCCAUAAUAUUCAAUGACAUUGAAAGAAACAGAAGCUGAGCCUGAGGCUACCCACUACAAUGACACACAUCAUGAAAGAUGUGAUGGCAAUGUGUCCUUUGCCGCCCCUCCAAGCUAAGAAACCAUGCAAGCAUGCAUGCUUCCCAUUACUCACGCUGAGUAUACAUUUCUCAACUCAUUAAAGAAAGAUGGUUUAGUACUGACAAAGCUUAUCCCGGCCUGUAAAUGAUUUGUUGGUAUAUGUUUUCGAUUACAGAUAAAUACUCUCUCAUAUUAUAUUUGAACAAAUGAAACAAUGUCACAUUUGGUGAACAAAAGUUUAAAUAUAUAACAACACGUUAUAGAAUUGUUAUUAUAUGAAAACACUCCAUGAAACACUAUCAAUGCAAGUUUUCAAUAGAUCGUACUUGUAGUGCAUUGUAAUACAACUUUAAAUGAUGAUAAUAUGCUUGUUGAUAACCUAUGAUGAACAAUAGAAAAAUGAAGAAGAUAGAAAAUUGAAGAAGAAGAUGAUAGAUCAUAUUCCUUGUCCCCACUCAUGUCAGUCAUGUGUAAAACACUCAUGUAGAUGAAACAUGAUUUAGAGAAAAGUUUAGUGAACAUAAUAAGCUUGCAACAAAACUAAAUGAACACCAUACCCUGUAAAACAUUGGACGUCAUUACAAUUGGUCCAUAAUUAGUUAAUUACCAUCUAAAUGGACCAUUGAAUAGGAGAAAGUGGAACUGCCCUCCAGUAGCUAGCUUGCAAAUUAACCUCGCAAUCAAGAUUAUGAUCCUUAAACAAUUGAAGUUGCUAAGGGUAUUUGGUAGUGUUUACAGAUUCCCAUCAUUCUGUUCCCUCCUCCUGAACCUCUUUUUCAUUACCAAAAUUCUAGUCCAAGCAACAACCACUUCCCACAACCUUAUAAAAGCCAUACUAAUGCACCCAAAAGGUUCACAAGAAAACUACUACAACAUUAGCUUCAAAGACAUUCAAACGUUAGAAAGUGAGAAUGUCUUCCAUUCUUCCAUUCUUUCUCUUGUUCUCUUCUCUAACCCUUCUCUCCAUUGCUAGUGCUCAGGAAAGAGCUCCUCAUGGACUAGCCAGAGAGAACCCAAUUGCAUUUUCACCAACAGCAUACGAUUUUUUUCAUCCAAACGCAAAACAUCCGGUUGCUAAAGACCCGUGUGUUGCUUCCAAUUGCUCGCCAUUGCCUAUUGCAGCCCAUGUCGAAGCAACUGAAGGUCAUGAGAGUAGAUUUUCUGGAUCACAGAAUGGGAAGACAAAGGUUGGAGCUGGUGGCAUCGUCGGCAUUGUCUUCGGUUUAGGAUUUGUUGUGUUUCUGGCGAUGGGAGUUUACUAUGUGAUUGUCGCACGCAGAACAAAAAUGACUCGGGCUAAUACUGUGAAACCUGAUGUAUGAGGCUUCAUAGCUUGGAGAAGCCAUCUUCUACCUCCCUUUUGAUGUUUCUUUUACUGUAGUCGAACCAAAUUAUGUAGUGUAUCCAUAAUUCAUUAUGUAGUUGCAUGGUAUUUAUGAGUAUGCCUAAUGAUUUACGAUCAAAUACGCUCAGAUUUCAGCAUCAAAAUAUGAUUACUAACUAGAAAUUAGGCCCGCGCUUUGCUGCGGGUUUUUGAAUUCUAUAUACUUAGUUUAUAUACAAAAUGCAAUUCACAACAAAAGAUUAUUGUAUAUGGUAGCACACUUUAGAAUUGUUCAAGACACAGGUAACAUGUAGUUAGAGUUUGGGAAAGGACAAAGAAGUAGCUAAGAUGAUGGAACAGGUUGGGAAAGAUAUAUCGUCAUACUUGUUGCAGAGAAAUUUGCUUGGUUCACCUCAUGUUAUAUUGCAACCUAAAAAGAAAAGAAAAAAAUUGUGAACUGCAUAAGACAUAGAAAAAGAAAAAUAUGCAAGAAGAAUUUGAAAUUUGUAUCAUAAUAUGCAAGAAAAAUAUGAAAUUAAUAAAGACAAAUGAAAGCCAAAUAAGACUACAACUGACAAAAGAGAAACUGCUUAAAAUCUAAUCAACUAUAGGCAAUCAGUAAUUCACUUAGUAACGGAAUAAAAAGACUAAUAAUCCAUUAAUAAAGCAGAGUAAAAUCUUUCAAUUGAGCGUGUUGCUUAAACUCCUCGAAAUGAUGACAAAACUAAGAACCUACACACAUAAGUUAAUAAUCAAAAACACAGAAGUUAAUAAUCAUGAGAAAAUAAGAAUGUAGUGAUGAACAUAUGCAAGUUCUAUUGACUAUCAAAAAAGAAAUUUCUAGUCUAGUACCAUUGUUUUGCUUCAGCAUUUCAUUGUCCCCUUCAAGGGCACUUCACCUAAGCUUCCAAUUCCACCAUGUAUGCCUCCAAAUAACAGACUAAUAUAGAAAUGUCAUAUGAUAUGCAGAUUAAUUAGUACCAAUCAAGUGUGAUCAGCACCCUUAAAACAUCAACUACAUGCAUUUAGACAUCAAAUAUGAAAAUUCAAUAUUCAUGGAAACUUUCCUGACCUUCAAUUCCACUUUCCAAAACAAAAUGAAAUAGUCAUAUACCUGAAUCCAAACUGGUUACAGAAUACAACAGCUGACAGUUCUUGAUAUUUGCUCUACUUGCAGUUGAUAUUUCUUAUCACAAUCUGCAAAAUGCAAGAAACUAUAUUGUUAGGUGAUACCUGCCUGAUUACACCUACUCCAUUCAAUUGAAUACAUCAAGAUGCAAAUUUAUCAAUUUCAUUUAAGUGCUUUCUCUAAUCAUUUUCAGUUCAUCUGUUCAGCGUAACUACACAUGAUGAAAUUAACAAUAAGCUAUAACACAAAAAGUUAAAUCAAUCUGACAUUGUGUAGGAAUGAAUCAAUGAUGUAUGAUGAUUGGGCAAUAACAAAAUCAAUUAUGUAUCAAAAAACAAUUAAAAUAGAAUACAAACCUGAAUAAGAAGAGAAAACAAAGAGACUGCAGAACAUUAAAUAAUUUAAAGUCCAUCUGAAGUCUCAUCUGAAUUCUUGCUCCAUCUUUCUCCCUCAGAUAAUCUAAAAUCCUGAAAACCCAGAAAGCAAAGCAUUGAUUAACAACCUUGACCACCUAUCCUAACCAAAAGCCCCUAUUAAACCACACACACUGAACAAAACCCAAAGCCUCAACACAUAGUAGAAAUCAAAACUUUAGCACAUUCUAAAAAAAUCUUUAAUCUCGUACUGAAUACUACUAACAAAUUCUUAAAUAGGAUGCUAACACUGAAAAUUAAGUCACUUGCAGCAAGUGAUGGGGCCUCUGACGAUUGCAAAACAAAAAAGGCCAUCUUUGUCUGCCAAAUUAUGCAAAUUCUAUACCACCUUUGCAUAUGAGUCCUCAAUCACCAUUUUAUUUCAUAUACAUGCACAGACAGAGAUUCAAUAGUACUGAAAUUAAGCUUAUCAAGAACCAAACUUUAACCACACUUCAGUUUUUCUGUUUGCCAAACAGAAUCUCACCCCACAAACCAUCCUACUCUUCAACUUGAGAACCCCAACACCCUCCUGACUAUAUUACUCGAUUCUACCUUUCAAGAGAACAACCAAAAGCAACACACAAAUUUAACUGAAUUAGAAGAGAAUGAAUUAAGAGAUCACAAACACAUAACACCAUAUCGUAAACCCAGAACACCUACCUUCUCCUGCAACACUGAAACCCGAAAUCAGCGUUAGAGCGAGUCAGGAUCGGUCUGCUUGCAGAGCUCGGCCUGGGAUCGCUGCUCGUUGACGGAGGCCAUCAGGUGGGAGAUUAGGGUUUCGAAAGGGGCCGGGUCGGGAGCGAGAAUCGUCGCGAGUUGCGCCUGCUGGAGCUGAGUCGACUCGGCCAUUGAAACCGGCGCGUUUUUAGGGUUCCGGUGGUGGCGGUGGUGGCUGCUGCCUCUCUCUCUCUCUCUCUGUGGAUUUCGGCUUUUGAGUUUUUUGGAGGACUGCGUGAAGAGAUGGGUGGCGUUUAAAGUAGACGUGGGAGUAGAGGAGUCUGGGUUCUCUUCGCUCUCUCCCUCUUUCACUUGACGUUUUGCAAGGCUGAUCGAGAAGCAUCUGGAGCAAAACAGGCGAGGGAAGUACUCGAAUUGCACAGCCCAACAAUGAGGGCAAAACCUGGAAAACUGACGAAUUGCAGCCCGAGCCCAAAACUGUUUUUUUACUCUAGAUGAACAGUGAUCAACAAAUAGAUAUAUAGUAAUGUAAUCUUCAAGGGAAGUUCGUGAUACACAGAAAUAAAGGGUCACCAGUGAAAUGCUAAAUCACUUGAGUCAUCUAAAUAACUUCUCUUUUGAAGGAAUGAAAGAAUAACAAUCCAGAAAGGCAGAAACCAUAAGACCUAAUCCCAGAGUGGUUAUAAGUUAUAACUAUCAUAAGCCCUAAUCCCAGAGUGGUUAUAUAUACCAUAAGACCUAAUCCCAGAGUCGUUACAAAUACCAUAAGUCGUGUGACCCAAACUAUCACCAACUAAUUGUCUUUUUACAAACUACUGAUGAUAGAUAAUCCUGAGUUUGUAUAAACAUCUUGGUAUACAUCUUAGAAUCUUAUUAGAAACGAAUGAAGUUCAGAAUGAACCCAUAUUAAACCAAACUAUGACACCAGACACCAUUUGAAUAAAAAAAAAUUAAAAAAAAGUUUGAAGCAAACAAAAGGUAAUAUAUAACUGGCAUCUUUGAGAUUGAAUUCUCUUUUCUCAAAUGAAGUAAAUGAAAGGUGCCACACAGCGGAAAUGAUUGUGAGAAUCAAACUGCAGGUUAGCAGGUAUAGCAUAUAGCAGUAUAAAUAGGGCCAAAUCGAUGGUAGCAACUGGAAGUCUGGAAGAUGGACUGUGUUUGACAACCUGGGCAUUUAGGGAAGGACUGCAGAGGCUAAAUAAAGAACUCUUAUCGUGAAUGUCGAGUGUCUUGCGACUUGAGCUGGAAGCUCCAAACAGAUCUGUGUUUUUGAAAAGUACCCUGUGCCACUCUAUUAUGAAUGAUAGCAACCCUAUCCAAGACUGGUCAUAGCUGAGUUGCAACCAUGUCCCAUUUGAGGCAUUAAUUGCAGUAGGCAAACAAUUACAUCUUCAAUGGUGUGAUCAUCAAUGGAUGGUUAUGUUUGCCAAUUUGAGCUGAAACCAUUCCAGUCUGGGGUGUACUGUUUUUCAUAUUUGACCAAAGAUAAUUUAUCAUGUAAAAACAAGAAAGAUAAUUUAUCAUGUAAGAACAGGACGGGCAUAGUCAUUAACGUAAAAUUGAAAACAAGAAACAAAGAAGUUGGCAAUAUGAUUAUGUCUUUGCAUCAUGGUCAAGGUGCAAGCCGUUCUGAUUUCUCAAAUUUGUAAAAAGAUACAAUUUGUAGGCAAAUUCUAAAGGCCACAGAAUAAGACUUCCAUACAUUAUACAGGUAGAUUCACUCAAAUAAAUCUACCAUCCGGAUGAAGUAAGGGACUCAAUAACUGGUCGAAAUGUCUCAUCCACAGCUUUGUUCCAGAGGUGUGCAAGCUCUGAGCAAGAUUUCCUUCCAAAUAAGGGCUCAAUCCUCUGUAAAAUUUUGAAAGAAGGAUUUAUAUAUUAUUAAGCACUGAAUAACCAAGUGCAGAGUAACUUUUUUAAUCUUCAUCACACAUGCUUGAUUCAUAAGUUUGGAAAAGUUCACAGCUACUCGCUAAAUGUGAGAACAUCCAAUAAAAGAGCCAAAUAAGCAAAGUUCACAGAAGGGCAUAAAUCUCGAAUUCACAACGUCAGUAAAAAGUUUUUAAACAUAUAAGUUCCGCGAAUAUAUGAAAGUUCAAAUUUGCAUAAAUGUCGUCCCCUCAUGUAUUUAAGAUUUCACUGGAGGUUAGGACUUACAAGUAUCUACUAAUGUACUUCAAAUACCAAGCAACCAAUAUAUAUCUAGAUCAAGUUUUCUGUUCUGUUUAACCAAACAUAUUUCUUUAAUAAACAGAUUGGCUUCUUGGCAAAUCACCCUUGGGUUUCUUUUCUAGCCAUUAUUGUUAAACUAUGAAAUGUCUUAUGAAGACUGGAACAUCCCUAUCAACACCACUCCAGACCCUAAACUCUGUUGAAGUGGUGUAUGUAGAACAUUAGAGCACAGCGUAUGAAUGUGUACAGAACAACUGUUCCAAACUUCCAGCCAAAACGCAUUAGCUAUUCUACUCUUGUUAUGUCCUGUUGGGAUUAAGGCUCAAUAGAACUACCCUACCCUGAAACAAUACAUUUUUGAACCAGAAUAUAGUUUAUUAUGGUAUAGUGAUCAUGGUUGAGCUUUAUUCACAUCAGCAAAGAUUUGGUAAUCUUCAGAUAAGUUUCCGGACAAAUCAAUGAUAGAAAACUGAUCUAAUCACUACUCAAAAUGAAGAAUACCAAUCAUUUUCUUUUGCAUUUUCAUUCCUAAUGAACAUUUUGUCAAUUGUAAAAGAACCACCAACUCAGUGCCCUUUAACGGAAACCAGUGGGAAGAAUCAUGAGGCCCUCAUCUUACAUUGACAGUACAUUAGAAAACCAAAAGCUUUUUCGAAAUUCUGAUCAUACAUAAUUAUCGGGUCAAUUGGGUAAAACGUUCAAAUCUUGAUAACAAGGUUGGUUAUGAAACUUGACCAAAAAAAAAAAGGUUGGUUAUGAACAAUAUCAAUCCUAUUUCAAACACAACCCAGGAACGAAACCAGCCAAAACGGUGCCUAGCGCAUCAAAUUGAAUAAGAGUUACCCGAUAUUGGGCAACGGAUUCAGGUUUCGUGCCGGAAAUUGAGCUGUAGAUGCUUCGGCGUUGAUCAAAUACAACGAUUGCGGUGACUAUGCUUCCAGCUGCGGCGCCCAAUAGACGCUCCUGCAUCGUCAAAUUUAGUUCAAUAAAAUUUGGGUUUAGGGAUUUUCGAACAACAAAGUAGGAAUCAGAUUGAAGAAUGAGUUUGGGUUACCUGAGCAAGAACGCUUAUCAUGGCUGUAAGAUUUCUCCCAAAUCCUCUGCAAAAAUGGGUCUCUCCUAUUCUUGAACCUCGCAGCUAAGAAGAGGGACUUAACUUGGGGCUUCGUUUUGUUCAUUUUUUGAGAUCAAAUCUAAGGGAGGCCCAUCUUAACAGUGUAAUCUUCGUAUUAUAAGAAAGUUUAAAGGCCCAAUUGAUCGGUGGUUAACUGUAUAUAUAAAGCAGUAGUGUUCACUUAAUUAGUUACUGACUAAGAAAUCAUGGCCAAUUACCGUUGGAUGUAAAUCUAAUAGUAGAAAGUAUUAUUUUAAAAUUAAGUUGUUUUGUUUUCAACUCUUAGAUUUACAUCUAACCGUGGUAGAUCAUAGAUUCCCUGGUCAGUAGGUGAACAUGACUGAGAUACACAAAGUCCUCACUCUCCCUAUUAAAAACUGAAGUAGUUACAUGUACAUCUUGAAGAAUGGUAGAAUUUUCUUCAUAGUAGAAUUUUCUUAGAUCAUAUACGUCCAUUUCAUAAGUUGUAUCAGAUCAUAUACGUCUAUUUUUUAGGUUGUAUGAAAUCAAUGACACCUCCCAGAUGAUUUCUCAAGGACACUUCCAUUUCAUGCACUCUCUAUUUGGCCUCACCCUCACAAGGACACUUACUACCUUUCUCUUCUAUCUACAAUAAAACCUCUAUAAAUAAAUAAUGUUAGGAACAUGAAAAAAUAUACUUUAGAGAGAAUAGUAUAUUAUCGAUAAAUGAAAAUAUUCAUUUUUCAAUAGUUAUUCAUGCACUCCCUAUUUGGCCUCACCCUCACAAGGACACUUACAACAUUUCUCUUCUAUCUACAACAAAAUUUUUAUAAAUAAAUUGUCACAUCCCGAUCCUUAAAUUUUUACCUUAUUUACUAGCUUGUUUAUAAUAAGAAUUUUACCGUCUCCGUCAAUGAAGUUAUAGUUUAAUUGGUCCCUAGAGGGGUUUCGGGGGACGAUUAUUUCGGAGAGUUAUUCGUAGGAGAAAAAUAUGACGACGGUAAAAAUGGUAAAUUUUAGCUAGUAAAAGGUAAUUUUUUAUUAGGGUAUUAUUUUUGGGGUGUAAAUUUUGGUAAAGUUGGGUAUAAUUAUGGUUUGGAUCGGGUGUGAAGGCCCAAGUCCUUUCUCUCUUCCUCUCUCUUUUCUUCUCCUCUUCCUCCCGAUCCCUCUCCCGAGUUCUCUCUCCCCGGCUAACUUCCGGCCGUCCACCUACCGCCGUCCGGCCACCGUUCGCCGCCGCUCCGGUCCCGUUCGAUCGGUCUCCAACCCAGCAUCCUCCCUGGCCCGGUGACAGCUCCCCUAGCGCCGUCGUGAGUGAGGAACGACGCCCAAAGCCGUUGGAAGCCGUGGUGGUUCGCUCGCCGGAGCUCUCUCCUCCAGCCACCAAAACCGGCGAUCCUUAGCUCAUUUUGUAGCCCUCCUCCCGUGCAGCAACCCCUCCAAAGAGCUCAUUCUCUCUUGAGCUAGGUAAGGAGAAAUGUGGAGUUGAAAUUUCUAGGGCUUUUAGGAUGUUUUUAGUCGAUUACCCUAGUUAGGCUUGGAAUUGGUGUUUGUGCUAGUUAAGAGAGUUGUAGAGCAUGAUGAGAGGAUUAUUCUGUCAAAAUUUCAUAGGCAUUGGAGGUCGCCGGAAUCGGCCUCCGGCCGCUGCUGCCGGCGUUGUUUGGGAGAUUUUUAUGGUUUUAAAUGUGGAUUAUUAAUGGGUGUUUAUUGAAGUGAAUUAUGGAAUUUUUGGAUGAGUUUUGGAUAGGUUUGUGAUUUUCCGAAGUUUCGUAUUUUGGCGGUUAAAUAAUGUAGAAUCCGGCCGUAGGAUUUAAGUCAUAUUUUAGGGGAGGUUGUAUUUACGGCUGCCGGUAUGUUCGGUGAAGGUUGAGCCAUUUUGAGUUAAGAAUGGUGUAGAUGGGCAAUGAUGGGUGUGUGGGAGGCUCACGUUUAAUUUUGCCCAUUUUGUUUAAUUAUUGGAUCUUUAGUGGGAAAUUAAUAUUAUAUUUGGAACAGGACGUGAGGAGGCUCGAGCAGACGAGGCCCCAGAUCGACAUCAGGCUUAGGCCAAAUUUGUGAGUGGACGUUUAUUUUAAAUAAAUGCAUGCUAUAGUUCAUGGUUGAACAAUAAAUGUUGCAGAAUAUUUUGACGAUUGUUAUUUCUCUUGGAGAGUUACCGAAAAUGGGAUUUUCGGUGGAUAUAAAUAUGUAUUUAUGAGAGAGUAUGUAUAUAAAUGCUAGCUAGCCAUACACUACCAGAAGAAAGACUUUAGCCGACGAAAAUAAAAAAACCAGGCCGACGAAUUUUUUUUUCAUCGGCUAAAGUGGACUUUAGCCGACGAAAUUUUCCUUCGUCGGCUAAUUUUAAAAUUUUCGUCGGCUAUGGUCAACUUUAGCCGACGAAAUUAAUAUUUCGUCGGCUGAAUAAUUUUUUUCGUCGGCUAUAGUUUGUGAACUUUAACCGACGAAAUUUUUAAAAGUUUAGCCGACGAAAUUUUUAACUUUAGCCGACGAAAUUUUUAAAAGUUGAGCCGACGAAAAAUAUAAUUUCGUCGGCUAAAGUGCCUUAUAUUUGCAGAUCUAGACAACAACUCAUCUGGAAAAAAAAAACUAUACGUAGAACCUUCAAACGCAAAAAAGUCGUGAAAUAAGAUAUGACCAUAAUGGUGAAAUACGUCUACGGUUGAAAAAUCACGGUAUUCCAGUAAAGUCUCGGUGCCGAUAGUUGCGGUCAAUGCAAUUUACUCUUAUUAUUCACUAUGCUGCAGAUUUGGCAUUUGGUGUCUGAUUGACUAUUGUGAUACAUUUCCGGAAGCGUAACAGCGCUACAAGAUGUAUAGACCUUUUUGGCCAUCUGAGUCCGUUUAGGGCUUCAAAAUGCAGUUUUCUUAUUUUCGAUUAGAGUUGACCGUUUGGAUCGAGCCUUUAACGUUGUCGAAUCCAGUUGAAUUUUUUACCAUAGACAUCUUUCGUCAUAAUGAUCAUAUCUGACGGUCCAAUUUUGGUUUGUGAAUUUUAGUCAUCGGAAUCACAACGUGUCUACUAUUUACCGUUAUUAUUCCCUAUGGGGGAGCCCUAUCAUCAGAAGGUAAAUGUUUCAAAAUUUUUAUAUGGGCAGUUGCGUCUCAUCUACGUGAGAGUUUUUUGUGUGGAAGGUUUGACCAAACUACGUAAUAUAGAGGGAGAUAUGAGCGUUUUCGUGUGAUAAGUGACGAUGGAUUAUGGUUGACCGUUUCUAUCGAGCCCUUAACGUUGUCGGAUCCAAUUGAAUUUUUUACCAUAGACAUCUUUCGUCAUAAUGAUCAUAUCUGACGGUCCAAUUUUGGUUUGUGAAUUUUAGUCAUCGGAAUCAUAACGUGUCUACUAAUGUUGUAUAACUUGUUUAGUAGGUUAUACAACUUUGUGAACCAACUCUACAGAGGAAGCAAAAUUAUCAAAAAUCUCGUGAACUAAGAUGUGUUCAGAAUGGUGAAAUACAGCUAUGGUUCAAAAAUCACGUAAAUCGGGUAAAGUCUCGGUGCCGAUAGUAGCGGUCAACCCUAUUUACCGUUAUUAUUCCCUAUGGGGAGCCCUAUCAUCGGAAGGUAAAUGUCUCAAAAUUUUUAUAUAGGCGGUUGCGUCUCAUCUACGUGAGAUUUUUUCAUGUGGAAGGUUUGACCAAACUACGUAAUAUAGGGGGAGAUAUGAGCGUUUUCGUGAAUUUAUAGACUUUUGCCGACGAGAUAUUAAAAAAGUCGUCGGCUAAGGUAAAAAAAUUUCAAAAUUUUUUGGGCGGUAAACCAAAGUUGGAGGAAAAUUUUUAAAGGACUUUAGCCGACAAAAAUAUAUGAAAAGUCGUCGGCCAAAGUCGAAAAAUNNNNNNNNNNNNNNNNNNNNNNNNNNNNNNNNNNNNNNNNNNNNNNNNNNNNNNNNNNNNNNNNNNNNNNNNNNNNNNNNNNNNNNNNNNNNNNNNNNNNNNNNNNNNNNNNNNNNNNNNNNNNNNNNNNNNNNNNNNNNNNNNNNNNNNNNNNNNNNNNNNNNNNNNNNNNNNNNNNNNNNNNNNNNNNNNNNNNNNNNNNNNNNNNNNNNNNNNNNNNNNNNNNNNNNNNNNNNNNNNNNNNNNNNNNNNNNNNNNNNNNNNNNNNNNNNNNNNNNNNNNNNNNNNNNNNNNNNNNNNNNNNNNNNNNNNNNNNNNNNNNNNNNNNNNNNNNNNNNNNNNNNNNNNNNNNNNNNNNNNNNNNNNNNNNNNNNNNNNNNNNNNNNNNNNNNNNNNNNNNNNNNNNNNNNNNNNNNNNNNNNNNNNNNNNNNNNNNNNNNNNNNNNNNNNNNNNNNNNNNNNNNNNNNNNNNNNNNNNNNNNNNNNNNNNNNNNNNNNNNNNNNNNNNNNNNNNNNNNNNNNNNNNNNNNNNNNNNNNNNNNNNNNNNNNNNNNNNNNNNNNNNNNNNNNNNNNNNNNNNNNNNNNNNNNNNNNNNNNNNNNNNNNNNNNNNNNNNNNNNNNNNNNNNNNNNNNNNNNNNNNNNNNNNNNNNNNNNNNNNNNNNNNNNNNNNNNNNNNNNNNNNNNNNNNNNNNNNNNNNNNNNNNNNNNNNNNNNNNNNNNNNNNNNNNNNNNNNNNNNNNNNNNNNNNNNNNNNNNNNNNNNNNNNNNNNNNNNNNNNNNNNNNNNNNNNNNNNNNNNNNNNNNNNNNNNNNNNNNNNNNNNNNNNNNNNNNNNNNNNNNNNNNNNNNNNNNNNNNNNNNNNNNNNNNNNNNNNNNNNNNNNNNNNNNNNNNNNNNNNNNNNNNNNNNNNNNNNNNNNNNNNNNNNNNNNNNNNNNNNNNNNNNNNNNNNNNNNNNNNNNNNNNNNNNNNNNNNNNNNNNNNNNNNNNNNNNNNNNNNNNNNNNGCAUUAAGGCGUGACGUGAGCGUUGGACGCGAGCGUAGUAGCCCUAUAUAGACCCAUGAAUUUAUAUAAGGAGUAUGGACGUGUGUAAAUACAUACAUAUAUUAUAGAGUCUGAGAGGCUCGAUAUUUUAUGAGAUAAAAGUUUUAUCGCUUGCGGCAUGCAUUCGAUUUUUCCUUAGAAAUUGAUUUGGGGAAACAUAAAUAUUUUAUUUAUUAAUUUAUUUUUGUCUACUCACUCUAACGUUAUUAAAUGUUUUCCCCCUGGGCCCUUCAUUUUAAAAAAUGCCCAAUCUGCAAAGUUCGGGUUGGAACUAGUAGGAGGCGAGGCAUAGUCACCCGCAUUUCUGCCAGUUUUCAUCAGUAGGUUACAUGUUCAACCUACUCGUGUUUUCUUGCUUCUGCUAGAGUCUAGUAGCUCUGGAUACUUUGGGAUUAUUGUUUAUUAUUUCGGUGGUUUGCUCGGCUUGAUGAUUUGAUGUUUAGAAUUUCUGAAGGAUAAUGUUUGCUUUUAUUAGCUGGAUAUUUAUGUGAAGUUUGGACGUGUUGUAGUAAGAGUGUAAAUUUGAAAUUUUUGAGUUAGGGUUGUCCAUUUUCAAGGGAGGUUUUAACAAUCUUUUCGGUAAAUUUUCUUUGGAGGUGGUCCCCGCACGACUUACUCCGAGUUUCAGGGUGAAAUUUGGGGUGGGUCGUGUCAGUUAAAUAAUGUUAGGAACAUGAAAAAUUAUACUUUAGAGAGGUUAUUAUAUUCUCGAUAAAUGAAAAUGUUCAUUUUUUGAUAGUUUAUUACUUUAUAUAGGGCUUUGUUGUUAGGAGUUUCUUAUUUGUUAAGAGUUUCCUUAAUUUUUCAUAAUACAAGGAAAAAGCAAAAGACUUUAUAUAGAUAUUUUGAGAAAUUACUAAAUUGAGGAAUUAAAAUUGUUAAGAGUUUUCUUAAUUUGUAUUAUUAUGAACAUUAAUUACUUUUUCUUUUAUUUAUUUUAUUAAUUUUUAAUAUUUUUGGAUGAUUUUCUUUUUUGGUUAUUAUGUCGAGACGACCCUAUCCCGUUCUGAUCCGACCAGUCACCAAUCGGGACGGGACGGGACAUGAUCAAUUCUUAAAAACGAUAUUCCUAUAUCGUCCUGUCCUGCCCUUUUAUUUUCAGGACAGGACAAGAUUUACCAAACCCCGUCCCAUGCCUAACCUUAGCCAAAACGGUCCAACUUCUAAUCAACUACAUUACCUAUAACCUCUAACACUUCCCGAGAAACCGCCAUCAUUUUUUUUUCUUAAACAGAUACAGAAUGCUAAGAACAUCUUUAACAACGCUAGCCAUUUUAUAAUCAAAUUUUAGCCAAAAUAGCUAAAAAGUCAUUUUUUUGGCUCGCCACUUUAGAAAUCCCUCUACACCAGUACUCUAUAUUUCAACUAAAGUUUGAUUUAUGUCAUCAUUUAAAAUAUAAUUCAUUUAAAUGUGUUUUAUUAUUACAUAAAGGGUUACAUAAAAUGACUUAAAAAUGAACACUUUGAAUUAACAUAAAUUAUAGAAAGCCUCAUCUUGUUAGCUAAGAGCAUCUUUAGCAGACACUAUAUUGACUCUUUAGCCAUUUUGGAGAGCGAGUUUAGUUUUUUUAUCAGUUUUACUAGCUCUAGCAGACUAGUAAGUGGCUAGCUAUUUUAACUUUUAGUUAUCUCGCUAGUUAAAUAUAAUUUAUGUAACUUAAAGUAUUCAUUUUAAGUCAGUUUAUGUAAUAUCAAAACACUUUUAAAUUUACUUUUCUUUAUUUAAUCAAUAAUAUAAAUCAAGCUUUAGUUAAAAUAGAGAGUACCGCUAUAGAAGAAUUUCUAAAGUGACCAGCCAAAAUAACUUUAAUUACAAAAUGACUAGCAUUGCUAAAGAUGCUCUUACUAGUCUGCUGGAGUUGGUAAAAUCGAUAAAAAACUAUACUCGCUCUCAGAGAGUCUGCUAAAAAUGCUGUAAGCGAACAAUGAAUUAUAGUAAAUUAUAGUGAUGCUAGAAAGGAAAUUAUAGCAAAGUGCUCCCCUUUAUUUGAAUACCCACCUACGGCUUUGAUUGUUAUUACUUCUGCAAAAGCUACAACGUCAUUCCUUGCGGUAGUCAUUUUUUCCCACUUCAGUCAAUGAGCAGUUACUUUAUAUUUUACCCUAUUUUGAUAUGAAGGGAGACAAUCUAAUGACAAUCUUAUAAUGAGAAUCAAGUGAAGACUUUGGCUUAGUUUGGUAUUACUGUGAGAAUACUCAAUUUUUUUAAAAAAACUUAGUUUUAAAAAAGCAAUUCACAAUCUGCUUCUAAAAUCGUGGUUAUUUAAACUAAAACGUUUUAGAUAUACCUUGAUCCUCAUUAUAAAAUGAUGAAUAUAAGUCAUUUUAUUCCCCAAAACUUAAUACAAAACUGGCCCUUUGAAUGAAUUGGUUAGAUGAUAUGCAUCUUGAAAUUUGAAAAAUAUUGAAUGAACUUUAAAACACUCAUCUAAUCGUUAUUUCAGAACAAUCAAAAGUCCUCAUUUGAUCUGCUUUAGAAGCUAUCACUUGAUAUAAAUACUUUUCUUAUGCAUAUUAACAACUCAUGGGGACAUUUGGAAGUAAAACGAAUUUAACUACAUUCUAAGAUGAAUUUUGCUAAAAGGCACAAAUCUUCCGAGAUUUAGAUUGAGAAUGCGCUUGAGAGAAGUUUGAUUUUUACCUCCUUGGCCGGCAACGAGCACUUUCGCCUUUGUCGAACUUGCAUUUGUUGGUUAUGUUUGGGUCUGGAAUGUGUUGGGCUCCUAGCGACAUCUGAUGUGGGCAUGUGGAUCAACGAGAGCUUGGUGGCAAGUUGUGAGAUUAGGAAAAGGGAAAUUGUAGCGACUAGCGGGGUUUAGUGUAUCUCUCGAUGGCUUGGUUUGCUGAUCACCUUGGAGGCGCGAGUUCGGAUGAUGCGGGGUAUUAGGAUUUAUGUGGCAUGGAAGCGUGGUCAUCAGAUCAAACCGGUCCAUUAUGGAUUCUAUUUGGUAUGGGGAUGAGUCUGCUUGACAAGAGCGACAUGUUUCCAUGUAGUGGUAGGGAGAGCCAGAUGAUGACUACAACGAUCUAGCAACUAUUUUGGCGCCGUGCAGAUGGUGGUAUGGUGAUGGUGAUCAUGGUAGAGUUGGGCUUGUGUGGCGGCUUGGGUCUCCCUUGUUUCCUUGGUUGAGAUUUGGGCUUGGGCCAUCAUUUUGAGCCUGGUCUUAGUUGGUUUAUUUACCUUUACUUAUUUUAUUUGGUUAGUCUUUGUCACCUCUUUAGCGUGUGAUAAGUUCCUAUAAUUAUUGUGUGGGGCUAGUUGGGUUGUGUACCUGUGUGUGCACUUAAAGUGUCUUGUAUGCUCUAAGUAAGCAACGAGUUUCUUACUUCGGUAGUUUCCGAACUGCUGCUUAAUCCAUGGGUAAGCAAAAGACAACCUGGAGAACUGAAACAUCUUACUAAUCGCUUACUGGUGGGGUGAAGUUAAGUGUCGUCCGCUCUAUUUUUCGACAACAAGAUAAUUGGAAAGAUGAAUCAUGGGAUAUUAAGAUAUGUAAUCGUAUAUUCGUGUUAGAUAUUUAGUGAUCUUCACCGCUAUAUCAAAACAAAUGAAGUCGUUAGUAAAACAAUUUUCUUUACUAGUUAGUUGGUGCUUGUUACGAGAGCUGUAUUUUGUAGAAAUUUCUGAUAUUGCCUCAGGAUAUACUCUAGAUGCUUAUUGUAAUAAGAGAUUUAGGCUUAACAUCACCCCUUGUAUUCAUCAGUUUUAUUAAUUAAGGCUAGAUGGUACUCUGGUAGCCGCAUCAGCUCUCCCUUUGAAAAAUAUGAAGUUUUCUGGGAGAAACUUUGAGUACUUGACACAAACAGUUGAUCUUUUCAAUGCUCUAUUGUCUAAUUUACUCCCAAUAAUUAUUGGAAGUUGCUACAACAUUGAUCUUGAAUAAGGUUUUGUACUAUUUUGGUGUAGUUGACACAAACAUUGGUCUUUUAAGACAAGAAAAUACAAGGGUUCCUAGCAUAUAUUGUUGUCCACCACUUGAGACCAAAACACUUCAGUAUCCCAACUUGGCUUAAUAGCAAAGUUGUCUGCAUGUGACCCCCAGCCAAAGGUCAUAGCCAGUGUCAUGUGAGUAUUCCUAACAAGACUUUUGGACCAUCUUAGACAGUGACUUGGUACCCAAAAGUCCAACUCUCUAGUCCCGUACCCUCCCUCCUCAUUAGUACUUCAAUACCCAUUUGCUCCAUCAAUACAUAACAAUGGGGCAACCUUGACAGAACAUGAAGAAGAAGUAACAAAUAGAGGUGUUCAGAGAAAUAAAUACAUGAAGAAGAAAAGAAGGGAACAAUAGAGUUCAUUGAUUAAAUCUGAAAGAGAAAAAGAAGAAGAAAAAAAACACAAAAACGAAGAAGACUCGUUGUUUAUGAUUGUUUGUUUGUUGGUGGAAGGUUCAAAUCAUUGCCCAUAUAUAAUGUACUAGCUUCUGUUUUAAUAUUUUGCAUUAUGGUGUGCAAAGUCAUAACAAUGAUUAGGUAGUUUUAUUUGGCAAAACAAUUAUUAGGUAGUUGGAGCAUAUAAUUAACAACCAUAUAACUCAUAUUUACAGCCAUUAAUCCUCACAUUGUUCUUUUAUAUGUAAUUCGUUGUAAUCACUGGGAAGUUUGAGAUUUUGAUGGAACUGGCCCUGAGACAACAGUUCCUAACAAUACAGAAGUAAAAACUAAUGAUUGUUAUAAACUUAUAUUAGUCUCCUACCCUCAUUAUUGAAUAGGCCAAACCCCCAAUGUGAAGAGGCCAAAAAUCAAGGGCAUUUCAAGAACAACUGUUGUUUUUUUGAGUCAUAGGAACAUCUGGACCCAACUAGGAAGAUCUUAUGCGCCAUUAAUUAUGCGCUUGUCUUUGGCUGCUUUCUUCUGGGAACCAAGUCUUUGUUGCCAAUGCAAACAACCUGCAAAAGGGUCCUCCACAACUGCAACAACACAAGUCUCUUCGGUAAGCUGGAAAACCCAAAACAAGAGCUGCUUUUUUCAUAAUUCAAAAGCUCCAUUCUUGCAGGGCAUGGUCAGCAGUCGGCUUUUAUUUUUCUGUUUCUAUCUAGACUUGCAUAUAUAACAAGUUCAGACCUUGUCUAGCUCAGGACCAGUGAUUAGUAGCUGUGUUGAAUCAAUGUCUUAGGAUUUAAGAACUCUGACUUACUAAAUAAGUUAAUUGCAGCUGUAGCUAUCUGUUUUAACUUUUGUGUAUCUUUCUCUGUGGUUGUGCUGGUGUUCUGCUUUUCUUGAGAAAUAAUAAACCCAGAUAUGUUUCAAGAUUUGAAGGUGUUUUCUUUGAGAAUCCUAGAUCUUUUCUGAGCAAGAAAAGUAAAUAUCUUUGAGAAAAAAGUUACCUUUUUUCAAAGUAAAAGGAAAAACUAGUGGUUAAAGUAGAGGACUUGGGAUUCACAAUACGAGUGAUUGAGAAAAGUUACUGUAUCUGGGUUUUGAGACCUCACCAGUUUCAAACUCUUUCUUGUGGAUGUUCUGGCAUUCACUUUUCUGGGAUUCAAGCUCAGCUUUUUGAGAUUCCCAGGGAAUCUCUUGGGAUUUGGAAUUAAUUUGGAAUUGUGGGGAUUUUAGCCGUUAAACAAAGCCAAUGACGGUCAAGUCCAUUUCAACAAUGACAGCCUGUUGUGUCGGUUUUACAGGGUUUUUCCUUCUGUUCUUAUCCCCACUCUCUUUGCCCUUUCUGAAAUCCAAGUCUCAAGAAGAAUCUGAAUUGUCUGAUACAUACUUGAUUUAUAAUUUUUUAUUUUUUUUGGUUCAUAUCUUUUGUAGUUUGAAAUCAUCAAGGGUAUUUGAGAAGUGGGUCUAAUGCCAAAUUGGUUCUGGGUUGCUUCAAUGGGUUGAUGCUUAUUGACAAUGCGCUUGUUCUGGUGGCAACAGUUGCCUCUGCUUAUACUCAUUCAGAUUUUACAACCCAGCAGAACAAGUUACAAAAUAUAUGGUACUCUCUCUCUACUCUCUAGUCUUACUUGUUACAAUGCAAUUCACAAUAAGUAGCAAACUCAUCCUCCAUACUGUUGUUGCUUUGAAUAUGCACAUGGUGAUUGGAAUUGUCUUGUAUUUAGGCUUUGUAGAGCCAAAAAUUUGGAGUUUCCCAGAUUCAAAGGUUCAAAAUAUAUGAGUCUGGUUAGAACACUUGCCAGGUUUUCCUUUUUGAACAUUGUUGGUACAAGAAAAUGUGGGGAUGGAGAUUAAGAGGAUUGUAAGCUGAUCGCUUGUAAAUACGUUCAGCUGUAUAGAAAUUUACUUUUCAAGACCAUAACAGCAGCUCAUAUCAAGCUUAUUUUGUUGCCACAAAUUAUAUGUUUUUGUACAUGUUCAUGAAUGGUAUAGUAAAUGUUCUUACUUAUUAUUCGUUUGGGUUAGUAAAUUUUCUUUCCUUAAUUGUGCUUCUUGUAGCUUGUAGUUUUUUUUUUUUGGAUACAUUAAUAGUGAUUGUAGUUGCUAGAGAAGAAUACUGAUGUUUUAUUCCUUUUACUUUUCCUAUAGCUGAAGCUUUACUGACUUUCAAUAGCAGAGUUGAAAGUCCUGAACUCUCCAGUGGUCAGACUGGAAAAUAUCCAUGUCUAAAACAAUGGACAUUACUGAAAUAUUAUAAACUGCAAGACCCUUGUGUUGUUUCUCUGUAAGAUCUCUCUCUCUCUCUCUCUCUCUCCCUCUCUCUCAUGGUGUUGUAUGUACAUUAAAUAUCAACAUUAUUGGAAUUAAAAACAUAUUACCGACUUCACCUGAUUAGAUGCUAGUGUUAUGAACUGGUUUGAGUUCUUGUGACCUGUAUAUUUUGGUGGUAAUGAUCAAUCAUGUAAUUCUAGGUCUUACUUCAAGAAUCCAUUUUAUGUUUCCUGUUUAACUAGUUACCUCAAACAAGUUUUACGUAGGCUCUAGUGGUCCCAAGUCUGGUGGCUACAUUGUAACAUCGUUUUAGUACAUAUCAAGUUUCUGAUAUCUGCAAAUGAUUACCAAAGAACGAUAUUCAUAUUGGUACAUUUUACUAGGUGUUGAAGUGAAAUACAAGUAGCUUAUAUUCAUAGCAAUGUUUUAAUCAAUUUUGGUUUUAUUUUUUAUUUUGACUUGGUUCAUCUUUUUCAUCACUCAGCAGCAAAUUUCCUGGUAUCUCUUCAAUUCCCCUGCGGCCUAGCAGAGUCAGCUUAGCACCAUUUGCUCCAAGACAUUUCGUGACACAGUCUUCAAUCAAUGUACAAAAAGAGAUCCAUAAACCCAGAAACAGAAGGAUAGCACACAUAGUUGAUGGGGACAGAAGUGUUCCAACACUCACACCUGUACAAGCAGCUGGUGACAAGAAACCAAAAAAGAAAGUUGCAGCCAUCAUUGGUGGAGUUGCUGCUGCUUUGCUUGUGGUUAUUGUAGUGAUACUUGUUUACAUCUAUUUAAUGCGUGUCAAAAGAGUGGUGAGGAGAACAUCUGAUACAUCAUCUUCUACACCAUCCCCCCAUGGUAAGUUAGCUAUGGGGACACUUUUCUUCUGCAUUCGUUUCUAAGUUGUACAUUCCAAACUGUUAAGGCUGUGAUAUGGCUAGCUGUGUAGUUAAGUAAAUAAGUUUCUUCUAUCUUUUCACUUCUUUCAGUUGAAUGGACAAGAGGGGACACAUCCCCCUACGCGGUUGCUCUAUCUCCAUAUGACACACACAACUUGAGGCAACUGACAAUAUUGGAACUGGAGCAAGCUACUAGCAAUUUCAAUGAAAACAAUAUCAUAGGCCAAGGCAGAUUUGGUUUGGUCUACAAGGGAUUACUCCAAGAUGGAACUAUUGUGGCUAUCAAGAGACGCCUACAUGCUCCAACUCAGUAUUUCUUUCAAGAGGUAAACAAGUUAGCAAUCAUUUCUUCUCCACUCAACCUUGACUUUCUUUGUGAGGUAGUGUCUAGACCCUCUUUUGAUGGAACUUCUUAGUAUCUUGAUUUGUCUUGAUCAAAUAUAGGUGAAGCACAUAGCUCGUGUGAACCACGUGCAUAUUCUCAGGCUCAUUGGUUAUUGUCAGGAUUCAAGUCAACAGUUACUUGUCUAUGACUAUCUUCCAAAUGGAAAUGUCGGGAAUCAUCUAUAUGGUACUCUCUCACUCACUAACUUACUCAUUCACUUAGCACAUGAUUCUCUAUCUCUAUCAUUCCAUCUAACCACAUUGUUAUGCAGAUGCUGAAGGUUUACCUAUUGGAAAGUUGAAUUUACGGCAAAGGUUAUCGGUUGCUUUGGGAGCAGCCAAAGGUACAUCAGCUAGUUCAACUUCUAGUGCAAGCCUUAAUUUAUGUUCUUCAUAAAUAUAUUACUUUUAUUUUGGACCAGGACUUGCACAUCUUCAUAGUUUGGUACCUCCCCUCCUGCACAUGAAUUUCAGGACAAGCAAUGUUCUUUUGGAUGAUAACUUUACAGCCAAGGUGUCCGAUUAUGGACUAACCAGACUGCUCAAUAAGGCUCCCUAUACCGGAUCAUCUUCAGCCAUAGACUGCUUUCUUGACCCAGAGUAUGUAAUCUCUCUUCAGUCCACUAAAUUAUUAUGUGAGCUACAAGAUAGAAUGCAGAUAGCAUCUCUUGGUCUCUGUCAGGCUAAAUUAUAUUACCAGAUCACAUAAUGUGUCAGAAUGACAUAUGCAAGGAAAACAAGAGUAAGAGUCCUCCACUAGUUAACUCACCGAAGAUUCUUGCAGGUCAUUUUUGCAUGCCAAGUGAUUUGUUUAGUGAAAUUAGCACCUAAUAUUGAUGUUGAUCACUUUACUGGAAGUCACCUAAUGCAUACCUCUAAUACUGAUACUACAGAAAGUCAUUUCGCGUAGGUUUUACCUUUUUCUUUUUGUAAAUUUAAACAUCUGUAACAGAGCAUAGAUGGAGUUCAACAAUGUAACUUGAUUGCCACUCUGUUGAUCUCAUGCUGUCAGCCCUUGAUUUUAUUUUGCUAUUAUAUAAGGCUAAGUUUCAGUCCAACAUUGAAUAGCUGUGACAUUCUUAGUGCCUUGUAACCAAAGUUGCUUUGAGUUUUGUUGAAUAUCCAUCUGUGAAAAGAAAUCUGCAGGGUUUAAGCAACAGCUUAAUUUGGUACUGAUGUCUAAUCUAAUCCUUUUUCCUAAAGGUUAGAUUCAUUGAACAAAUUUUCAGAAAGAGGUGAUGUGUACAGUUUUGGUGUCUUCUUACUGGAAUUGAUCAGUGGAUGUGAAGCAAAUGGCAGAUACCAGUUGAAUUCGGGGGAUAAUCUCGUAUUGCAGGUACGCAAGUCUUUUCAUAAAAGCCAUUAUUAGUGGCAACUUUAUAUCUCAGACUCUCAGUUUAUGCAUAUACUACUGGUUGCAACCUUUGUUCAGUUGUGAAAUUCGCAUAUGUACUAUUAAUGUGAAAAAGAGUAACUAGGUGAAGUACAUCUAUACUUGUACUUGUUUCAAAGCUUUCGGUUCUUACAAGAUUGUGUAUUAAUUUGAAGGCAAAGGAUUGUGAGGAUUUGGAGAGAUUUGUUGAUAAAACAUUAGGAGAAUAUUCAAUGCAAGCUGCAACAAAACAGAUGAUGGAGUUAGCAUUGAUGUGUAUAGAUGCUAGUGAACAAAGACCACACAUGAAGAUUGUUGUUCAAGAGCUCGAACGGAUUCAAGCAAGAGAAACUAGCCAUUUUCAAAUUGAAGUUGAUGAAGAAAUAGGUGCUGUAACUCUUGGCAGUGAACUUUUCAAAUGAUGCCUUCUGCUGUAACAGUCAUCUUUGCAUUUGCAUUCCAUUACAGAUUUGAUUGGUUUGUGAUUAGUACAGAAGAGAAAUAGAAUAUAUCAAAGCAUUCUUGAAGUAUAUAAAUCUAAUGAAAAUGGUACAGAUUGAUGGGACUAUCUGCCUCUGCUAUUUAACAAAGUCUCUUUCUGGGUUAAUGGUUAAUGUACAUGUUUAGCCCAAUUUCUGAAAGCUGUAAAUAUGCAGAGAAAGAAAGAAAAAACCAAGAAGUUUUUGGUUCUUACAAGCUGUAGUUGUAUAUUUCAAAUUAAAAAGAAAAAAAAAAGAAAAAAAAAAAGCUGUAAUUGUAGUAGUGUGAUACCUCUUAGCACUGUGCCGGGACCAGCUAAUAAUUCCUCUAGUACGAUGAGUUCGAUGAUAAGAUGCGUCAACAAGGCAAAAAACAAAAUACAAAAACUGCAUCAAAAAGAUACAUGCAUGAAAAUUAUUUUAUAGUAAAACUUGUAAUGAAAUAGUGUGAUAAAUGCAAUCUAAUCGUCUAUUCAUGUUGGUUUAAAUGCACUUUGCUGUGAACAUCUCUAGUCGGUCUUCCUCCAAUCUAAAUGCGCCUCCAUCAUUUUCUCUUCCUCUUUCUCGUACUCUUAAUUUCAUCUUUUGUUCUAAUUUCGUGAUCAAAUUUUAGAAAGCACGCCCUCCCACUUACAAAGGAGAGUCUACCUUGUGAUUCUUUUUCUGUGCAUGCAUACAGAAAAAAAAAUAUAUACAUUAAUGAAUAUAUUUUGGUGGAGAUAGUUUUUAUCCUUAACUGGAUUUUCUUCUCAUCAGCCAGUUCAUUAUUAAUGAACCGUGUCGCUUUCAUAUGUUCUGAGUUAGAAAAACAAGGCUGCAUUUUCUGCAUUUGCAAAAUACAUCUCCCACCUCAUUACUCAUUAGUUAUUCAAUAAUAUAGAACAAUGACAUUGUUUAUGAAAACAUAUAUAGUUCAACAUAUAGCUGGUCCAACAGCUACUGCUCAGCAAUUAUUCGUUCUCCCAAAGUUCAAGUUCUUCAACCAUAACAAUAUCAUUCUUCGAGGUAUUCUUCCAAGAUCAAUGACGAAGCAGCUUCGCUCCAAGAGCGGCAAACACUUCCACAGCGAAUGACAUCCUUGACACUUAAGUGAACAAAUAUCUGUGAAAUGAAAUCUUUCUCUAGCUUUACCCAAUUUCGGAACUUGGAGUUGUUAUUCGUCAUCGUAACAAAGGUACUUUUCCCUGCAACCAUCAUAGAUCAAAACCAGGUACUGUAUAAUAGUAUCAGAUUAAAUUAAGCAUUGAAUCGAAAACUCUAGUAAGUGACCAUUUUCUUCCAUAAUAUUAUACAAAUUAAGAGAACAAAUAGCAAAUAGUGAACCUCAUUUUGUUAGAUACUCUAGUAGUGAACUGACUGAACUCGAUCUUAAAACAGAAAAUUGACAAGAUUAGACGAUUUGAGUCAUGUCUAUCACUUCACGCAUGCCUUAGGUGAUAAACAAAUUCCAGACAACUUAACAGAUGUCCACUAUUUGAGUAUGUAGGAUACAGACUCACACACAACAUUUCAGAUGAAUGCUGAAACCUAUGAAUAACCUUCACUACAUGAUAAAUGAUAUAUAUGCAACAAAAUCUCAUGAGCAAUAAGGUAAGUCAAACUACUUGACUGUUUCAUCUAGUACCGCUUAUAAUUUACAUCUGCUAAACCACAAACAAUUUAAAGUCAAGGAGGCAAACUUAACAAGGGAGACUGCAUUUGCAUACACAAAAGGGUGAUCAAAACAAUAAAAGAAGAAGGCAGUAGUGGUUCUUUCUAGGUAAUUAUGUUAACUAUUUUUUCUGAAAGAAGAAACGAAUAAUAUAAAUAGGGUCACAGUAGUACUGAUGUUACAUAGCGCUUCCAAGCGUAAAUCUUUACUUUCAAGAACUCCAAAAUAGAAAACUUUUCUUGCUUCUAAUUUCAAUGACAAAAAGAUAGAUCAUGGUUCCCCUUCAAGCAAAGAGAUCACCGCCUAGUAGGAAACAAGAUUAACAUAAGAAGUGAAGUACAUAAGAAGGUAAUUUGCAGAACAAAACCAUAAAAGUACUCAAUCCAUAAUGGAUACAUUAUUCACUUUUACAGAAACAUAUAAGCUUCGAGAAUAUACUACAUCUGUUCCCUACGCAGUAUUGAUGCAUCAAGUAUAUAAGCUUUUCUGCAUCAAGUAUGAACUCACAAAAGUCCAUAACGGAAAGUUUAUUCAGUUAAACAACAGUGAAGCAUUGAAAGCGAAAUCGAAAUAUUAAUGAUGGUUCAUGAACAUAAUUUAUUAUGAUUUGAGAACAUUCUAAGAAAUUCGACAAAUAACUGGAAUUAAAUAUAUAAAAAAAAGAACAUUUGCGCUGUAUUAAAUGUUAGAAUCUUUUAGAAAAUUCCUGCUAUUUCUUCACAGAAGAAUAUAAUGGUUAUAUUUAAGUUGAUCCUGUCCUGACAUGAUAACAGCAUGUUGUUCUUCAUCACGAGUCAAAUAUAAUCAGAUGAUGGUACGAGAAUUAGAAACCAGAAUAAUCUCACUGAAAUCACUCAUGUCGAAAGCAGUUUAUUGGAAUAUGAGGAUCCUUGAUUAAUUUCCAAUUAAUCCACUUCAUGUUCAAAACAUGAUUGUGGGUAUAUUGGCUAUUCCUAUUCAACACAAGAUUUCCAAAAUACAAUAGGACUAAAGUGACAAGGUGACAUGAUUCGGAUUGAAUGUAAUUGAAGUUUUGCAUGAUCAGAGGUAUCAAACUUGAAAUCAGAAAUGCCUCUACAAGGUAACAGAUUUAAGCAUCUUGUUUAUGGUAAGUUGAUCCUUUCUCUGACCAAAUUAAGUAAGUAUCUUAAUGCUUGAUUUCUAAAUCAGAAUAGAAGAUAUUUUGGUUGAUAGGCAUUAAUUGAUCUCGCAAGAUUACAUGCAAGUCUAUGGUCUCAACAUGCGAGUCUUUAUUACAGUUAAAAUGAUGGAAGAUAACUGUGUGAAUGCUUGAUAAUAGCUGGUUGUAAUUGGAAUGUAAAUGUCAAUUAUCUGAUUGCAGGUUUCAAGCAAGCAUUAAUUUGUGCAAAGAUAUAAAUGUGAAAAUGUCUAAUUGCAGGUUUAAAAGCAAGAAUCAAUUUGAUAUUUUUGGAAAGUGCAAGGUGAUGGUUGGCAGAUUGCAUGAUUUCCAAAAUACAAAUUAAUUCUGUCAUUGAGUGCAUUAGUUGAGGGGGAGAAUUUCAUUCUCCAUAAAUAGCUACCGCUGAAGAUUGAAAGUUUCAAGCUUUUUGAACAUUAGGAAAAGGCCUUCAUAGUAUUGCCUCUGAGUCAAAAUAUUUCAUGAUAAUGUUCAUAGCGUGUUGAGAGAUUGAUAACUGAUUGACUGCUUCUCUUAUUUGCAUUGUCAGAUUGCACUUGAGAUUGGUGAUGCAUUAGUGAUCAAGGGAGAUAGAAGCAAAGAGUCACAACUAGUUAUGUUGAAGAACCAGCUCACAGUCUGAUAGUGAUAUAGUAUCAGCAAGCAUGAUUCAGUCUCUCGUGUGUGGAGAUCAUUUGAAGUGUGUGGAUCUGAAGAGAAGAAUUCUUGGUUGUGUUUAAGAACCAAGUGAUCUGGUUGUGUUGUAGAACCAGAAAAGAAAUCUGAUAGUGUUGAAGUAUCAGUUACUGGAUCUCAGUUUCUCUUGUGUAGAGUUACAUGAAUCUAUUCUCUUGUGUAGAGUGAGUGGUUGUGUUGAAGAACCAAGUAACCUGGUUGUGUUGAAGAACCAAGGAAUACUGAUUGUGUUAAGAAUCAGUAAACAAGAACUAAGAGUGUUUAAGUCUUAGUGUGGAACUAGUUGUGUUUAAGAACUAGUUGAACUGAAAGUGAUGUAGUCUCAAUACUCUAGAUUCAUUUUCUCUUUGUAGAGUUACAUAAAUUAGAGUCAUUUGUGUUGAGAUAGAGAAUUGUAACCAGAAGUGAGACUUGUGGUGUUAUAGUUGUGUGAGAACUAUACCUCUUGUAAACUUUGAUUUGAAGAUUGAAGUAAUAAUCUUGCUUAGUGCUUUUUCCCACAUUGAGGUUUUGCACCAAACCAUUUGAAAUAUAUUGUGUUGAUUAUCUUUGCCUACUUAAUCCAUUUUAGUUUCUACAAUGAUUUUUGAGAAAAUAGUAAGAACUACGGUAAACAUGCAUUUCACAGCAAUAUGUGAAUGAUCAAUGAUGUGAUACUUGUAUGAAGCAUUUUAAAAUACUUUUUAGAGCAUAUGCUUUUUCAAUGUCUAGUCGAAGAGUACCUCAUGCAUUACUGAAUUUAUUAAAUUUGAGUCAAGUUGUUGGAAAAAAAUUGUCAUAUAUCUGUGAGAUUCUAUUAUAAUCCUGAUAAUCUGAUAUGAAACCUUAAAUCUAGAAAAGUUUUUUUUUUUCUCAAAAAGAAUCUCAUGUAUUUGACAAUUAAUAAGAGUUGCGUGUUGAUUGUUUGCUUACCAAAGUUUCAGAACCUAAUAUGUCAGUGAAGCUUUUUAAAGAGAAGAACCACCCAUCAACAACAUCAUUCUUAUUAAAACAUCCAUCCUCUUCAAGAAAUCAAGGCCAAACCAACCCAAAUAAAUUUGUAUGGUAUAAAAAAGAAAUAUAAAACAAAAGAAAGCACACCAUUAACAGUUUACUCAGAUCUCACAUAAGAAACCAGCAAAUCAAGUAUAAUCAACAAAAAUAUAUCUGUAUCAAAUUCCACUUUUUUGAGCUUGAAUCCCAAAGUAAGGUAAAAGAAAGGUUACCUUCUCUUAGAUGUGUUUGGUGCUUUUAGUCUCUUAGGAGGUGUUUGGUAACACGGACAAGAUAGGAUUUCAAAUCCUAUCCUGAUAACACUUGACUAGAUUAGAUUUAAGAUAUCCAUCUCCUUUUCCUUUAUCAUGUUUGUUAAAUAAGAUUGAAAAUUAGAUAAGUAAAGGUUUUUAAAAAAGAAAAAAAUGAAUUGAGCUCGUGGCUCUAUAGAAAAUGUCCACCUCCGAAACGACGCCGUAUUGCCUCCGACGACGACGCCGCCGUUCUCCGCUGUCCGGCCACGCCUGUGCGCUAGAUCGGUCGCGUUUUGAUCGUCUCCUCCAACCCGUCAUGCCUGUGGUGGUAAAUCGGAAUGCAUCAGUGAAAGUAAAGGUUUCUAUUUUCUGGGCAGUUAUGCUCCGGCGAGCUAGGGUUUCCGGCGACGCUUCGGGCUGCUUUAGGACAACUCUUUAGAGGUAUCUGGGUUGAGAACGACUCCAUUGUUCAUCCGAAAUCGACUGGGUAAGCUACUCCUGCGUCGAUCGAUCCGAAGAACUCUAGAAGAAGAAACCCAGAUCCAUCUACAGUUCCUUAGAAAUAGAUCCAAAUCAUCCAAUCUCACCCUGCCCUUUUGUUUUUCUUCUUCGGCAGCAUGUUCUUGAGGAUGAGGGCGGCAGAGGUAGACGAGGGAGCCGCCGACGCGCUGGGCGUAGCGUUCUUGAGGACGCAGACGACUCGGCCGGUCUAAGAGGUUGUGAGUUGUGACGGCUGCGGUGGUGAGGGUGAUGAAAAAAUGGAGAUUUGAUGAGAAGCGUCGUUCGUUUGUUUCCGUCAUAUCCAUAUGGAUAAGAAUAAUAACACCUUCCCAGCAGGAUUUUAAAUCAAGGUUUGACAAGAUUAAAAAUUUCUGCUUACUUAAUAUCUGAAUGUCUAAACACAACUCCUAAUCAGAUUGGCAAGAAUAAAUCUUGUCAGGGGACCAUAUCCUGGUAAACAAACACCCCCUUACAGUUUGAGAUAACUCAGAAAUGAACCAGCUGAUCUGUAUAUAGGGGGCAGUCAGCUAAUGAAUUUACAGGAAGAACCUCAUCCAUCUGUAACAGCACACCAACCAUGCUAUAAAACCUUGAGAAAGAACCAACAGGAAUAUGCCAAUUCAACAUCUAAGGUUGUUUCAGUAACCUCUAACUGGAAAAAUAAAAAAAUUGGUUUCAAAGUGUCAUUCAACCCUGGAUGAUAUUUAACAGGAUUAAAAGAAAAAGGAAACUCCAUAAAUGUAAUCUCACAAACAUGCACGAAAACAAUUUAAAAGAGAGCGCAAUUUAAUCAACAUGCAUGUGUCUAUGAGCAUUGAGUGUACGAAUUCUGCAGUAGAUUUUCAUCGGAUUGGAUAUGUUUUCUUUCCAGUUCAGCAACAAUUGUCAUUUUUGUUAAUCAAAUUCAAAUUCAUUUCCUUUUAAUAUGAGCUAAUAACAGAUACGAUAUUGGGUCAAAUUAGUUAUUUUCCUAAAAUGGAUUCUCAUUCUCAUCUCUUGCUGCUGUAUUGUCUUUAAAAUGUUUUCUCUGUACGUGGAUAUAGCUGUUCUUCGCACUACAUUCCUCUUCUUAAUCAAGCGUGUUAGUGGUUUUUCUACUUAAAUUUUCUACGUCAAGUAAUGAUCAUCUAUGACCUACUUCUAUGGAACUAUGGAAGGUUUAAUUCAUAGAACAUAUCAGUUUUCUGCAAAUCCCAGAUUGUCUAUGAGGUCAAAGAACAAUAACUACGAAGAGAUUGUCGGUCUAGCUAGUCAAGGAAUUAAUUCUUAAUAUCCUAGAAUAAGAAAAGAAGCCUUUACAGAAAAUAUUUAACUUCACUUUAUAAAUCGGAAUCUGCAACAUGAAAGGAAAUUGUCUAUUAAAGAAAAUUUACAUCAUAGCAUGCACAACACCUACAGCUGAGAAAUUAUACUAACAAGGUCAGCAAUAACGACAAUGUGCCCCGUGACAUGUUAUCUCCUUAUCUAACUGGAUCAAUGGGCAAGGGUACUCACCUCAUCCUUAAAAAUGCCUUUAUCAUAUCGAGAACAGAGCCAAAUAUCCAUCUGAAUUAAUCUGAAAGGGCAAACUUGGGAGUAGCCCGUCUGACAAAAUAGAAACUUCUUUAGCCGUGAAGCCUCUUGAAGGAAUCACUCAUCAAGUUGGGAGAGCGCAGACAAAUAUCCGGGGAUCGGAGAUUAGUCCAAUAUGAGGUAGUGACAUGUAACUCUUCUAACUGCCGUGUUUCUCUGAGCAAGUGAUGUAUAACAUCCUUGUGCACCAUGUUGCACUCAAUACUUAAGACCUUCAAACUUGUAGCAUAUGCAAGAAUAUUCUCAACACAAUCCAUACCAAACGGGCACAGCAUAUUCAGCUCGCUGAGGUUCUUGCAGUGCUGACUAAUUGCCUUCAUGAAUUUAAUAGAAAAACUACCUAUAAUUGUCACAUCCCGACCCUUAUAUUUUUACCUUAUUUACUAGCUUAAUUAUAAUAAGAAUUUUACCGUCCCCAUCAUUAAGUUAAUAGUUUAAUUGGUCUCUAGAGGUAUUUUAAGGGACGAUUAAUUUCGGGGAAUUGUUCGUGGGAGAAAAUAUGACGACGGUAAAAAUGGUAAAUUUUUAUUCGGGUAUUAUUUUUCGGGGUGUUUUAUUUCGGAUUUGGGUGGUAUAAGAAGGUUGGACCGGGCCAAAGGGUGGUCAAGCCUAGCCCUCUUUUCUCUCUCUCUCCCUCCCGGUUUUCCCGCACCCGAACUCCCUCCCGCAGCCGAUCUUUCUGUCGCCGGCCAGCCGCCGUCCGGCCACCAACCGCCGCCGCACCGGUCCCGUUCGGUUGGCCAUCAACCCAGCAACCUUCUUGGACCGGUGACAGCUCCCCUAGCGUCGCCGUGAGGAAGAUAUCGGGCCCGAGAGGUCCGACUGUGUUAGGUUUCACGUCGCCGGAACUCCCUCCUCCGGCCACCAAUCCGGGCAAGCUUGGUACGGUUUUGUAGCCCUCCAACCCAGCAGCCUUGCCCUAAAAGGACUCACUCCCUCUUGAGCUAGGUAAGGAGAAAUUUGAGGUGGAAGUUUUAUGGCGUUUUUGAUGUUUUUAGUCGAUUACCCUAGUUAGGCUUGGAAUUAGUGUUUGUGCUAGUUAGGAAAGUUGUAGAGCAUGAUGAGAGGAUUAUUCUGUCAAAAUUUCAUAGGUUUUUGAGGUCGCCGGAAUUGGCCUCCGGCCGCCGCUGCCGGCGGAGCCGCCGCGGUUUGGGAGAUUUUUAGGGUUUUAAAUGUGGAAUAUUAAGGGGAUUAUAUUGAUGUGAUUUAUGGAAUUUUUGGAUGAGAUUUGAAUAGGUUUGUGAAUUUCCGAAGUUUGGUAUUUUUGGCGGUUAAUUAAUGUAGAAUCUGGCCGUAGGAUUUAAGUCGUAUUUUGGGGAGGUUGUAGUUACGACUGUCGAGUAUGAUAUUUUAGUUCGGAUCGUUUCGAUUUAAGAAUAUCGAAGUUAGGUAAUGAUGAGCGUAUUUAUGGCUCUCGGGUAAUUUUGCCUAUUUUGAUUAAAUAUUGGAUUAUUAGUUGGGAAAUUAAUAUUAUAUUUGGAACAGGACGUGAGGAGGCUCGAGCAGACGAGGCCCCAGAUCGACAUCAGGCUUAGGCCUAAUUUGUGAGUGGACUUUUGUUUUAAAUAAAAUGCAUGCUAGAGUUCUUGAUUGAACAAUAUUUGUUGCGGAAUAUUUUGACGUCAUUUUAAUUUGACGAAUUUUAUUUCUCUUGGAGAGUGACCGAAAAUGGGUUUUCGGUGGAUAUAAAUAUGUAUUUAUGAGAGAGUAUGUAUAUAAAAUGUUAGCUAGCCAUAUGUGUCUGUCCACCUUAAUGGCGUAGCAUAUAGCCGCAUUAUGGUGUGACGUGAGCGUUGGACGUGAGCGUAGUAGCCCUAUUUGAGUGUUUAAUUCAUAUAGGGGGUAUGGACACAUAUUUAUACACCCGUCUGUCCACCUUAAUGGCGUAGUGUAGCACCGCAUUAAGGCGUGACGUGAGCGUUGGACGCGAGCGUAGUAGCCCUAUAUAGACCCAUGAAUUUAUAUAGGGAGUAUGGACGAGUGUAAAUACAUACAUAUAUUAUAGAGUCUGAGAGGCUCGAUAUUUUAUGAGAUAAAAGUUUUAUCGCUUGCGGCAUGCAUUCGAUUUUUCCUUAGAAAUUAAUUUGGGGAAACAUAAAUAUUUUAUUUUAUUAUUUUAUUUUUGUCCACUCACUUUAACGUUAUUAAAUGUUUUCCCCUGGGCCCUUCGUUUUAAAUUGCCCAGUCUGCAGAGUUCGGGUUGGAUCUAGUAGGAGGCGUGGCAUAGUCACCCACAUUUCCGCCAGUUUUCAUCAGUAGGUUACAUGUUUAACCUACUCGUGUUUUCUUACUUCCGUUAGUGUCUAGUAGCUCUGAAUACUUUGGGAUUAUUGUAUAUUACGUUUAGAAUUUCUGAAGGAUAAUUAUGUGAUGUUUGGACGUGUUGUAUUAAGAGUGUAAUUUGGAAUUUUCGAGUUAAGGUUGUCCAUUUUCAAGGGAGAUUUUCUCAAUCUUUUCAGUAAAUUUUCCUUGGAGGUGGUCCCCGCACGACUUACUCCGGGUUUCAGGGUGAAAUUCGGGGUGGGUCGUGUCAAUAAUAGUCAAUGACUCAAGCUUUGGCCAUUUCUUUGUAGACUUGUAAAUAGACCGGAUCUUAAUUCGGGGACCCGCUCCGGAUAAAUGGUUUUUAAACGGGUUUGAAUCGAAAAUUUGAUUCGUGGAUCCGUUAACCCGUUUACUGAACGGAUUGAAUACGGAUCGAGGUUGAUCCGAUCCGUUAAGAACCUGGAUCCGUUUUAAAAUAAUUAAAUAAUAUUUUUAUAAAUAUAAUAUUACUGAUAAAUAUUAAAUAAUAUAAUAUUUAUUUAGAUAACCUAAACGUCUAAAUUGCGUCUAAAGUAUGAUUUGAUAAAGUUGAAGAUUACUGAUGCCUAUAUUUUUUUUUAUGCAUUUUGCUAAAAACAUUGGAGGUUUAGUAUUUUGGUUAUAUUAUAGUUUAUUGUUAAGGAGUAUUUUGGCCAUGUAAUUUAACUUUUGAUGUAAACCUUUAUUUUGUUAUAAUAUUUCAUUAGUGUUUUAUGAAAACUUAUGAUAAAAUUAAGAUUAUAAAUGGAUCGGAUUAACGGGUCGGAUAUCCGUUAACCCGCCGGAUCCAGAUUUGGAUCGAGCUAUCAAUAUUCUGACGGGUAACGGGUCGGAUCCAGAUCUAGGUCGAUCCGCUCCAGAUCCGGCCCAUUUACAGAUCUAGUUCUUUGCAGCUUCUUCAGAAUCAUUAACUAGUAUAAAUUUGUCCUGCACUGAUAGAACAAGGAUCUUUUGAGAUUUGGGGUUCUGUAAAAGAGAGAACUAGUCAAUUUACGUUUCAUCAAAUAACCUCUAUAGAACAUUUUGGGAAGUAUGAACAUUGACCUUUUAGAAAUAAGAAACAAGUGCGGACUUGUUAUCCGAGAGUAGGCGUGGAAGAUCAAGCAAGAUAUAGAUCCACCACAUAAUCUGGAACCGCUAUUGACAAUAUUCAUAAUCAUCUGGCUAGACUGCUCGCAUUGUCGAUUGAAUCGAAGAUCUUGAUUUCCAGCUUACUCAAGUCAACUACCUCCCAGAGGCAGGGUUCGGAAGCUGCUUCCCGCCAAGAUUUGCAAACAAAUGCCCCACGUAUUAAUUCCACAACAUUAAAUGUCAUGAAUAUACGUAUGAGUAUAUCCUUAUCCAUGUCUGCCCAUCUUUCAAAUCCUGAGUUUUUGUUUGUCGUCAUACUAGAAAAGAAGUGGCUGAAACCAUCAAUCAGAAGAAGAUACUGUGUAUAAGUGUAAAGAAUCAAUGAUUAAACUCAACCAUUGUUAAAGGAAGAAAAUAUGUUGCUGAUAUAUUGCUGAUUCGUUGCUGACGUGAUUGAUAGAUAGAUAGUCACUAUUGUGAUUAUAGGAGUGAAUGUAGGAUCUGGUUUAUUUGUAUUUAUUCCUUACCUAGAAUAACUUCUGGAACUUGUAUAUUAUAGCAUAGCUUUGUACGAUUGAGACUAUCUAAUAUACACUCAUUCACAUAUCAAUUUGUUUAUGGUAUCAGAGCACCGAUUCUGGUGUCUCUAACCCACUACUUCCGCUACAAACAACCCACUACUUUUGCCACAAACAAACACAAACAUCAUGGCUGAGGUCAUUGAAACCCCAGAACCACAAAACACCGAACUCAUUCCUUCAUCUAAAGACAAAGAUGUGAAUGAUUUUGACACACCCAACCCUUUGACCUUACACCCAUCUGAUACCACUACCAGGACAAGUACUUUAGCCGACGAAAUAUUUUCGUCGGCCUGUUAUCCUAAUUCGUCGGCUAAGACCUUAGCCGACGAAGGCUCGUCGGCUAUAGUGUCGUCGGGAAAGGGUCGUCGGUGAUGGCUUUAGCCGACGAAUCUAAAGACCAUCGUCGGCUAUUGUUCCAGACUUUAGCCGACGAACUAUUUUUCGUCGGCUAUUGUUCCAGCCUUUAGCCGACGAACAGUAUAUUCGUCGGCUUUACUGACAAACUUUAGCCGACGAAUAUCUCUGUUUCGUCGGUUAAAGUAUAUAAUUAAAAUAUUUAAAAAUAACUAUAGCCGACGACAUAGAGUCUGUUUCGUCGGCUUUAGUGGUGUUUAGCCGACGAAACAUACCAUAAUUCCGUCGGCUAAACCCUUUGGAAAAAAAAAAUUACUAUAGCCGACGAAUUGUGGCAUGUUUCGUUCGGCUAUNNNNNNNNNNNNNNNNNNNNNNNNNNNNNNNNNNNNNNNNNNNNNNNNNNNNNNNNNNNNNNNNNNNNNNNNNNNNNNNNNNNNNNNNNNNNNNNNNNNNAGGUUUUUGACGAGGCAACAGAUCAGCACCAUCGGCAUAUCAGCGCGCGGCACAAGGGGGAGUGUUCUAGGAUAUCUCUACUGUGUGCCUUGGCCUUAUGCCAAUAGGAUAUGUAGUUAGACUAGAUCUAUGUAUUCAUAUCCUUACCAUAUUGGUAUUGUGUAAUUCCCUAUAUAAAGGGCUCCUAUCAAUGAAUAAGAUGACUCUCUUGCUAUCUCUUUGUCUCUACACUUUAUUCUUCAUCACGAUCGUUAUUAUUCUUAUAUAUGUAAGUGAGAAUUGAACAUAUGAACUCAAAUUUGUCAAUUAAACUACCUAACUAAACAGCACACGGCUCACUGACCGUAGACAACAACUCGGUGUGACAUUUAUAAUUCAACAAGAAAUUUUGACUAUUUAUCUAUGUAUGUUAGAUCAAAUAUAGGGAAUGAGGUACAUUUUUUCAUGUCACUGUGAUGCAUUCUUUUUAGCUUCUACAUGAUGUUACCUUUCUUCCAUGUAAAUUUAUCUUUCUCAGAUGUAAGUCAUAAAUAUCUCAUUUUGUGACGACUUUGUUGAACGCCUUUAUCUUUGAGUCAGUUUUUUCAACCCGUCACAAAUUAAAGUCUGAUAAAAUUAUAAAUCACCACUGACUACCUAUCCACAAUGGAGCUUGAAUUCCAUGAAUUGGUGGGGGAAGAAUAGUUACCUUAUGGGUUAUGCACAAACAACUCCACAGGAAUCGAUGUGAAAUGAAGGAAAAAUUUCAAUUGUACCAAGGAUUCAUGUCAUUCAUCUUUAGCUAGCUAGUCGCAUUUAGAUUUAGAGUAACCAAAACUGAGCAUGAUCCUCAGUUUGAGUUUUCCAAGCAGUGGUAAGGAUUCCUUUUUUAUGUAGCAUGUCUAGAGAAGCACUCUAGAAUUUGGAAGUAACAAACUAUCAACAGAUUGGUAUUAAACCAAUAGUUUGUUUCAAACUAUUAUACAAGUGAAGACUAGAGAUGAACAAAAAUGCAAGAUUGCAAGUAAAUUCUCUCACACUUGGUUAAGUAUUACAUUUUACAUGGUUUCUAGUGCUAGAUUACUGAUCAUUUUAACAAAGGGCACAGGACACUUGGAAACAAUAUCGAACCUAGACGGAAAUGAGGCAUGGCCAAACAGAGAUAAACUCAACAAGGCAAGCUCUCUAAGAGACAACCUUGAGGAGAGGAAUCCUUGCCAGUAAUAAGGAUCCAAGUCAAAGAAAGCAUCAAAAAACCUUCUACUUCCAUUAAGAUCAAGCUUCAACAAAGUUUCCAUCCCAAAAGAGUAAUAUUGCCUUACACAUCUCCUCUCAGUUGUCCACAAACCAUUCCACGCUCGUUCAUGAAGCGAUUUCCCUCGGAUCAUUCGAGUUGAACCAAGGCACUCUGCAAUGGCCUCAGCUAGUACCGGUGCUAGAGCCAUUGUCCGAGCCACCAUGUAACCAGUUGAAGGGUGGACAAUCCCAGAAGUCCCUCCAAUUGCCAUAACGCUUUGAGGUAUCCGAGGGAGCGGGCCUCCCAUUGGAACCACACACUUCUCAACCUCCAAUAUCCUCUUCACUCGAAUCCCCAAAUGCCUUAGCCUUGCCACCAUUCUUUUCUUGAUCUCCAUGUAAGAUAAAACCGGCCUACUAACCAGUGAAGUCUCUUCCAAAAAUACCAAGUUGGAAUCAAAUGGCAUUGCAUACAGAAAAGCAGGGAACCUAGAAUUACCAGUACGCAAGUAAGGUUCAUUCCCUAGAUGAGAAUCCCUCCAAUCCAUAAGAACCAUCUUAUCCAAGUCAAAGGGGUGACCUUCCACUUCAGCCAAAAUACCAUGAGCAAUCUGAUACCCAUGAUUCCUUGGCUUAUCAUACUCUAUGAAACUACUUGCAAAACCACUAGCAUCAACAACUAAGCUUGCCUUCAACUCAUUCCCAUCAUCACACACAAUCAAAGACUCAAACUCUUUGUGCUCAAUUUUCCAAACCUUGGCCUUGUGAAAUUUGACUCCAUUGGAGAGACACCUCUCCAUCAACAAUUUCUUGAGCUUCUUUCUACUGACCCGACCAUAAGGACGGUCUAAAUACUUGGUCUUAUUAUCAUCAAUAUGAACACAAGCCAUAGGCCAUGUUUUGUCUAAACAACUUUCAAGCUCCAAGCUCUCAAACUCAUCAACCCAUACACCAUAGUUAUUUGGCCACAUAGAAAGAGGUGAAGGAUCAACACAACAUACCUUGAUGCCAUACUGUGACACUUGCUCAGCUAAACGAAGACCAGCAGGCCCUGUGCCGAUGAUGAUCACAUCCACUCGAGACCGGCUACUCGGGUCCAACCGGGGCAGAUCAAAAUCCAACACUUCAGGUGUUGACUCUGGUUUCAAGUCCAGGAAAUUCCCAUACUUGCUGCUUUGGACUCUGGAAAAUCUCUUUCCUGUGUAAUGGGGUUUGGGGAAAGAGCAUGGAGGGCUGGAUGCAUGGAAGAGUUGACUGAUCUUGGUUGGUAGUAGCAGUGGUGGUGGUGGUGGAAACAAUCUGACGAGGGUGUCCAUCAUAGAGUGGGAUGAAGAUGACAGAGAAGAGGGACAGAGGUUAUAUAAUAGAAGAAGAAUGGGAGAUAGAGACAGAAUGGGAAUCUAAAGCAGUAGUAUGAAAGUGAUGCUUUUCUAAAACUUGGGUAGAGCAGCAUUUGUGUGGGGUAAACGUGCUGCAGGCCAUUUGUCGGGCAUUUAGACAUGCAUGAAACUCCACCCACAUGCGUUACUGAAACAAUUGAAGCCGCCUUGAUUUGGUAAUUGCCUAAUUGAAGCCGCCUCAUUUUCAGGUCUAGUUUGAUGUAUCCGGCGGGGGUAUUUGUUUGACUGGAAUCUAAACUACAAGAACAGAGAGCAUUUAUAUUGUCAAAAAAUAAAGAUGUGAUCAUCCUAUGAUCUUGAAGCAAAUAUUGUCCAAAUUCCUGAGACUCGAGCUGAUUAAGCGAGGGGAGAAUGUCAAUUUCACAUCAACUGAGUUCAUUCAAAUCAGGUGCUGCAUGAAUUGGGUUCCUCAUAAAGAUGAUGUGCAAUGUGUGAAAAGGAAGGUUUCCAAAACGGGUAAAAUAGAAGAGAAUAUGGGAUUGAUGAACUUGAAAACUUGAAUCAUCAAAUACAACUAGCGGUGUUUUAUGAUUUUCCAUUCGUAACAAGUGAAGUCAUUCAUCCAUGUCCCGGUGUUCAUAAAAUACCGAGAUGAUAUUAUAAUGCGACACUGGAAAAACAACGUCACAGACUUUUUGAGGAACCCGACAUUCCAAGUUAAGUUGCAAAGAAAAUAUUACAAGCUACAAAUAAAUUACUUUCAUAUACAACUAAAACAAAAAACAAAAAAAAGUGAACCCGUUAAGCACUGAUUUCCUUUUGAAUAUAGAAUGAUGGAGAUUGUCUUAACAGUUUUUGUUACAUACACAAAUACGGGAAUUAAUCAAGAUCUGCAGGACGGUAACGUGAUUCCUCCACAACAAGCAGCAAUGAUAAUGUACAGGAACACAACAAUCAAACAUGUCAACAGGGCCCUGUGCAAAUUAAACAAUUUUCAAUGUCCUGAAACAAUCAUAGAAUUACUUUCCAUCUAGAAACUUUUGUUUGACAAGCAGGAGAAUUCAGCAAGAAAAAACGCAUGGGUUAUAUUUAUUUCAUUUUCUAAUAAACAUAAUAUCAUCAGUAACAUAAAACAUGAUGACCACUACAAGAAAAGAAGGGCACCAUGAAACAGAAUAGAGAUCUGCAUUCGAAAAUAACAAUAGUCCACAGAUUUAUUCUCUUCAGAGGUUGAUAUCUUAGAUGAGUUCUUAGCACUAUUAGAAAAGCAUGAUCAAGUAUUCUUUCACAAAAGAUCUGAGAACGAACUGAUAUAUUCAAAACAAUGGCAACAAAUCAGUGAAUCUACUAGGUAAAUUUGAAAGAAGAAAAAGAAUGGGAAGCUUGCAAAUGACAAACAAGAAGAUUUACAGGUAUGAUUUGACUUCUCAAACUGCAACCCAUGUCAGGGAUGCUGGAAUUAGAGAGUGACUACAAUAGAGAUUGGCUGUUCUAGUGAGAGUUUUACUUUAGACUAAAAUACAAGAAAUGACAUUUCCUUCCAACUCUCCUUAAGUUGAAAAAGCCGCCAAUCUUUCCUACAGGUGUGAUAUAUUCAUUCCAUUUCUUUUGAAAUUAUUAAAAGCAAAGUAGAACAAUGAAAACAAAACAGAAGGUUUACUAAACUAGUAAACUCCAACUUCAAACAACCCUCUUCUCUCACCCCAUCUCUCGCAUCUCUUUCUGUGAAUCACUCAACCAUUUUGCUGUUGCUACUGCAAUGCUUCCCAUUCAAAUUCAUUUGGUUCCACUCAUCCUAUCUCUAGAGCAAGUCCUAACCUCAUUCAAAUUCCUAACACUCACUUGAUUAAAAAAGCAGGAUUCCGAUUUUGCUGGCUAUUCAUGAUUACACUAGUCACUUCCCAGCAUGCAUAUCUUAAGGAUAAUUACUUCUUUCUUCCCCACUAAAAAUUUCAGUCUUUUGGCAUCCGCAAUUUUUUAUUUUAACAAUGGAACAGUUUUAGCUUUUCUUUGUUCUUGUAGCCCAAGUUGGUUAGAAGAGAAGCACCCUCUAUGGAAGCUAGAGAUCAAAGCUAUUGGUACAAAAGAAUGCCCUUUUAGUUAUUGCAAGCUUGAACUAAGGCCCCUAGAAAGGGUCACUCGUUAGUUUCACUCUUUUGGUUUUUCUACAAGCGCAAAGGAGCUGUAAUUGAAACCUAUACAGGAGGCUAUGGGCAGCCAACCAAGGCAAAAAUUGGUAAUCAAGUAAAAGAGCUAUUGGAGGAAUGGUGCCUCAGUAUCUUCCUGUCUACCUUGUUCUCUUUUUCCUCCCACCAUUGUCUAUAUUCUCUAGCUUUGCUGAGACUACAGCAGCUAUAAUAAUACGUAUCCGUUUAGAUAGGAAUUUUAGCUUUUUCUAUACCACACAACCCCCCCCUCUAAAUCUGAAUCUGAAGAUGCACCCGCCAAGCUUCAGUUCACUACUGGCACUAGCUCCUCAUUGAGUGGCAUUGAUAAAAUACAAAUUUCAAAAUGCGAUAUACACCCAUUGAUGUGUGCCAUAUUCUUCUGAGACCUCGGUUAUUUGAUAAUAAAACUUAAGAAUUUUGGCUUCUGCCUAUAAAUUUUUGCCCCCACCUCCCAAAAAGCUCCAGAAGGGAACAGGUACAUUUCUCCUAAAACAGAUGGAGGCUGAUUAUGAUUCUAUCCUUGGCGCAGCUCUAUAAUUCACCUGGUCGAGUUCCGGUUGUAGGCCUAAAAGAAAGAAGACUAGAGAAAAUUUGGACUCACUUCAGUAAAGUUUUUUAAAAUUACACCAAACAAUUCCCAUGAAUCAGUUGACACACAUUGUUUUGAUAUAAACCACCUGCGAUCUCAUUACCGGGAUUAACAGCAGACAAUGAGAUUUGUGCAGAGCUACAGAUGCCAAAAAUAGUGCAAACAUUAUACAAUAUUGAUUAAUGACUUCUACGAAUGCCAAAAAUCUUGUUAUUUAUGACUGACAGAAGAUCCCUUGGAAAAAGUACAAGCUUGAUCCAACAAAAACAACAUGUGUCUUGAAAACUGUACAGAAAAUUCCAUACCAACUGAUUAACUGGUCUCUUUGGUUAUUUCUCUUCUAACACUUUUCACUUUUUUAAAGACUUGUCUUUCCAGGUCUCUAAAGCACAUAAUUUCAUAUUUAGUGUAUGACUUAAUCCUCCUAAGAUUAGAUUAGAUCUAUGGUAUAUUAGCAAAUAAAAAGUACUUACAAGAGUUUGGCAUUUUUCAUCCACAGAGCUUGACGAAGGCGCUUUGACUGUUUCUUGAAGUGAAAUGCACUGUCUUGCAUAGUUGCAGUUUUGUCAACAAGGAGUUCAAUUCGGUCGCCUCUCUCCAAAAUCUUUUCUAUGUUGUCGACCAUUAUAGUUCGUAUCUGGAUAUCAGAUAACUCAUUGUGAGAACAAACAGAGAUUUUCAAGAGCAAUCAACAACCAAACAUAAGGAAAUAAUAGAAAAACGCAGGCCAUAGCAGACCCAAAAAGUUAAUGAAAACAGUUUUGAAGUCCCUGUAUCAUGCAAAAAUCGUGUCCAACGAAACUAGCUCCUGAACUUAAAAACAAUAGCUACAUGAACUUUUCAAAUAUAAUUUCCAUCAUUUUCAUUAUUUGCAGCUUGCAGUGUAACUUUUUGCUUGUCAUUUCAAGUCUUUCAAUAAAACCUCAACAUGUCAUAUCAUCAAUUUCAUCUCUAGCUUACACUAUUAGUUAAGGAAACCAAUUAUUAGAGUGGGGGAACAAAUCUCCACAGUCAUAUAUCAACUUCGCCACUAGCUCAAACUAACACUUCCAAAAAACACAAAAUCUUUGGCCAAAUUUUUUACAAUAUUUCCAUCAUUUGUUCAUUGUCAACACAAACAUUUCCAAGACUCGUAACGGAAAAUCAAAGACGAGCACAAUAAUACUUGCCUCACCAACUUCGCCUCUCACACGGUUGAGAGUAUCAGCACUGGGAUUGCUGGAGAAAAACUCCAUUUGCUGGUGCAGCACUCUCGAAAACUCGUCGUUCAUCGCAUAAGCAGGAGCAUAAGGCGCAACUCUGCCGUAAUUCUUCAUGAAUCUCAUGUGCACAUCCUCCAAAUACGCAAACGGUAUCCUCCCUGCAUCAAAACAACCACAACUAAACCAAUCAAACACCAAAACACAGCGAAAUUCGAAAAACGACAUGAAUCGAAGCUAGAACUCACUGCCGAAAGUGUCGUUGGCCAUGCAGAGAAAGAUGAGGCCAUCCAAGGUGAGUAUGUGGAAGAUGUACCGAUCCUGGGAGAAGCAAACCCUGGAAUCGGCGUCCGGCGGGAGCUUCUCUAAGAUCCGGCGAGCCACGGCGCCUGUGUUUCCGGUGACGGCGCUAAACUCGGCCAGCACGACGGUGCCACGAGCGACGACGGCGUAGAGUAUCGCCAUGUCCGUCCCCGAUUAGGGCCCUGCGCGCUCUCUACUCCGAUCUCGAUCGAAUCCAAGUCUCACGGGCCAGUUUUGAACCUGAUUGACUCAGUCUAUUUAUAUAUUUUUUUAAAUUUUUUUUCCUUCAAAAUUGUAAUAUUACAACAAAGAAGUGAUAAUUCGAAUUUAAAGUUUGAAGUUUGAAAGUAAGCGCAACGUGAGCAAGUUUGUUGUUACCGGUGAGUCCACGACUUGUUUCGUUCGGGUGUAUGAUAAUUAAAGAUUAAAAUAUCUGUAAUAUAUCCGAUAUUUUUUUUUUUUAAGGUACCGAUAUAUCUAUAAGGGAUCAAUAUCUUAUCUUUCAUCGUAUCUAUGAUAUUUUCCCGAUAUUUCUCUGAUAUCGUCUCUGAUAUUUAGGAAAUAUCUCUGAUAUUUAUGAUAUUUCUGAUAUAUUAAAAAAUAUUUGUAAAAAAAAACUGAAAUGAUAUUCGGAAGAGAAGUAAUUCUCUCAAGGUAUAUCUCAAUGAAGAGUGUGGGUCUCGAGUGAUAUUUAGGAUAGAAGUAAUUUCCUCGAGGUAUAUCUCAAUGAAGAGUGUGGGUCUCGAGUAAUUCCCUCAAGGUAUAUCCCAAUGAAGAGUGAGGGUCUUGACUCUUGAGUGAUUUCCGGAAGAGAAAUUCCCUCGAGGUAUAUCUAGAAUAAAAGUAAUUCCUUCAAGGUAUAUCUCAAUAAAGAGUGUGGGUCUGGAGUGAUAUCUAGGAUAGAAGUAAUUUCCUCGAGGUAUAUCCCAAUGAAGCGUGAGGGUCUUGAGUGAUUUCCAGAAGAGAAGUAAUUCUCUCGAGGUGUAUCCUAAUGAAGAGUGGUGGUCUCGAGAAGAUGAUGAUGAAGACGGUGGAAGCGGAAAAAGUGGUGGAAAUACCGGGUUUGUAUAUGGACAAUCUUCUACAGUUAGUGGAUUGAACAAUUUUUCAUCUGAAGAAAAUUAUAAUCAUGCCUCCCAUGAUCAUGGCUAUUGAAGUACUAGGUAUGGCCGUAUGGAGCGCAAGAGGAUACUAUGUAUGGGAGGAGGACUAAAGGUUCGAAUGAUGAUCAAGAUGUUGCUUCAGUUGUGCUAAGUUUUGAGUCUAUCAGUUUAGGUAGUGGGAUUGGAACCUCAAAUGAAUCCCAAGAAGGCAAUAAUCAAUAUGGCUAUAAUGUUUACGGCUAUAAUCAAUGUACGGAAGUCAGUGAUCAGUCAUCUAGUUGGAUUCAUCCUUACUAUCUAUUUAUAGGGGAAACAGUCGGUUGCUCCAAAGACAUAUAUGAUUAUCAUAUUCAACACUACAAUUCGUACUAUUUGAGUCAUAUGUCUUUGUCUGAUUAUUAUACUUUUAUGGAUCAGCGUGCGUUUUAUCAACAACCUAGAUUCUCAUUUUGGAUGUAGAUGAAGUUGACGUUUGUAAUAUUUAUAUGUAAAUCCAAUAAAUUAAAUAUUUCAGAAAAAAAAAAUUCUUCCCAAAAUCCUGAUAUUUUUUCCUGGAUUUCCCCGAUAUAUCCAAUAUCUGUUUUUUUUUCUUCAAAUGACCAAUAGAUACACCGAUACCGAUAUUUUAAUCCUUGAUGAUAACAAAGUUACGAUGUUCACAAUUAGGAGCUUAUGGUUUACGAUUCCGGUGAGUCCAAGACUUUCAGAAUUUUGUGUAGUGUGUUUCGGGCAACAAUCUUCAUUUAUAUGGCUUGUAGAUAUAAGAUAUUAUGUGGAUGGUCUAAGAUCAGAUGACGUUAAGACAUAUGUAUGGUGAUCUUCACAUAUAAGAUAAGAUUACACUAUAUGUGCACAUUAUGUAUUAAUAAUUAUAAAAUAGAGCUGAAAUUUGCACUCUUUAAUUUACAAACCACACUCCCUGUAAGUUAUUUUUACCAAAUGACCCCUAAAAUUUUGCAAAAUCACAUCUCUACUAAUCCCCACCUUUUCUCUUUAACUGAAAAUGAACCUCUAUCUGGGUUGAAAUACUAUCAUCACCAACAGUUUUCUUAACUCAUCAUAUAUAUAUAUGAUGUUGGUUUGCAUUUCUCUUCUUGAGUAUAGUGUCUUAUCGAUUAAGAAAGAAUUCAUAACAAGAUUGUGUUCCUUUGAUUGAUUCUCUAUGAUGAUGAAGUUAAUUAAGAAAUAUAAAAGAUUGCAACGCAAACCCUUUGCCCAGUUUGCAUUGUUAUGGACUAGGUACUUCUUUCAACAAGAAAUCAAAAGCUUACGUUUUUAGAUAAGAGUACACAUUCAUGUAAUCUCAAUUAAACCAAUCCCUUCAUCAUUGCUAAAGCCAUUCUGAUUUAAAUGCAAAUAGGAGGACAAAAAACCAAUUACAGAGUGCAUCAACCUUUACCAUGAGCUCCCUCGCCAUGAACCCUAUUAAAUUGAGUCUUAACAAUUAAAUCAAAAGAUCCUUAGAUAUUAAAACAACUCUCAAGCAAAGUAAGAACCAUAAAGAAAUAAGCAACAAGAGUUUGAGGAGAGAGAAGACGACGAGGUAUGCACUGUGUAAGUGAUUGAGGGUAUUUUUGGCAAAUGGAAAGACAACUUAAAGAAAAUAUAAUAAAAUAAGAGUUGUGAAAUCCACACACCCUAAAUUGAAAUCCACACACCCUUUUUCUUUUUUUGGUAAUUUAAAUUUUAUCUUUUAGUGACUUAAACUUUGUCUUUUUGUGAAUGUGUUAACCAAAAAAGGAAAAAGGGUGUGUGGAUUUCAAUUUGGGGUGUGUGGAUUUCACAUCCCUAAAAUAAUCAAAAUGAGUGUGGUCUGUAUUUAGGGAAUGUAAAUUUCAGCUCCCUUAGAAAAUCACUUCAACCCCUCUUGUUUUGGAAAUAGAUGCAUUGAUAGUUGUUCAAGAGAUAAAUAACUUAGGACCAAACUGGUCUAUUGAAUAUGCAUUAGGGUGAGUUUGUUUCCGCUUUUAGGCUGCUUUACUUUGUAGUAAAGUUGCAUAAAGUGUUUGGUAACUUUGAAAAUGUCCUGCUUUGCUUUGAAGCAUUGGCCUUUUCAAGCCAAAAGCCAAAGCAACUCCUACCUUGAGUUUGGAAGCAGAAGCAGCGCGCUACUGUAGCGAUGAAUUAAUGAAUCUUUUAAAAUACCAAUGGGUACCCCUCAUGGCUCACAUGAAUUACGACCCAAUAUCAUUUGUGAAAACGCUGCUGCUACUUCAUUUGCGUCUUCUCUUUCAGUUCUUCAACUCUGCCACUCUCCUUCACAAUUCACAAACGUCAAUCACAACCUUGGGAUAAAAGAGAAGAAGGAGAUCGUUUGAUUUUCUGGUGAUUUCUCUUCUUCCCCUUUUCGCACCUGAUAUAUGAAGUCAGGAAAUUGUUUACUUGAUUUCCAUGGUAGUUCCACACUUCCACCGCUGAAUGGUUGUACUUGGAUAGAAGGUAGAACUCAUUCUUGUUUAUUGUUUAUUUGUAUUACAAAUUCAGUUGAUGAGUAAUUGGUAGGUUUAAAGAGAUUUUGAGUAAUUUUUAUUUAAGGUAAAUUCUUAUAUUGAUUGUAGUUGAAUAUUUGUUUGAUUGUUGUGGUUUGAAGAAAUUGAUAGGUAUGUAGUUUUGGGUUUUUUGAUCAUUGUACCUUUGCUCUGAUCAAUGUGAAAAAUGUGAUCGUUACAACAAUCACAUAAAAAAAGUUUACACUUUCUUUAUUGAGCCUAACCUUCAUAAUUAGGAAUUGUAGAUUUAUGUAAAAGCUAGGUAAGAUUACAACCAAGUCUUGAUAAAGUCCACAACACAGUGAUGGAAACCAUCUUUGUUGCAGUUUUUAUGUGGUUUUGUAAUUCAUCUUUGUUGUUCCUAUUGUUAAAUUUUGAUUGUUUUGCAAUUGAUCUUUGUUGGAUGUACUGAUUAGGCAUCUCAAUUUCUUUGAUAUCAAGAGGAGUUAGAAACAAUUGGAUCAUACCUUUUGGACUGGGCAUCCUGAGAUUAUUUGUAAUUGACAAAAAAUUUUAUGCAGGGUCACAAUUUUACAGUUGAAGCUGAUGGGUACUAUGUGGAGCCAUUUGUGAUCAAAAACAUAUUCUUUUACUCUGGUGAGACAUACUCAGCUUGAAACAUGAAGUAGUAAUUGUUAGUGGUAAAAUCAAAGGACAUGCUAAAUGUGCUAGUGCUUUAUAUAAUUGGAGCAUUCAUUCCAGCAACACAGAGAUCACAGUGUAACUUCUCAACUGGCUCAACAAAAAGAAUUUAAUUUGAGAAAACCACCUUCUUUUCCAUUGUAAUCUACUUCCUUUAGAGUGCAUGGUACGCAAAUGUCUUUCUUAAUAUUCGUGUUUGCUAGAACUUAUGUGGAUGCAAAACAAAUUGCACUUCUUAUCCAUUUGGUCUGAGAUAUUUUUGCUACAUGACAGGUCAUGAUAUGUGGUCUGAUAGGAAUACAGAGAUUAUAACUUAACUGGUCUUGUGUUGUAAUCAAAGAUAAUAAGUUCAAUACCAUCUCAAUUUCUUUUCAACCACGACACUCUAAAAUAAUUUUCUAAGUGUUCAGAAUACGGAGAUGCACGUAUCGAUACAUUUCAACUCAGUUGGAACAUGUCAGAUGGUCAAGGAACUAGAGAGGUUAAGAAAGAGGCUCAAGGUGAAGUGAAGUUAAGUUAUUGUUUUUUGUUGUUGAUGUAACUUAUAGCCAAUGUAUGGCUAGUUGUACAAGUUUGGAGGCUUUGUAAUCAGAUGAUGUCUUGUGUAAUCUAUAUAUGUUGCCUAUUAAUUUGAUCCCAUAGUUAUGAACUUGUGAUUAUUCUAUUUGGUUCCUAGUUAUCACUUAAUCAAUUCUCUUAACCUUUCAUCUUAUCGUUGUGAACCUGGGAAAAGUGUGAGGUCACAUACAUAUUAGAAAAUUACGGUAUACACAAGAAAGAGUAAAAUAACUGGAGAAAUUACGAGUACUUGAGAAAUGCUACUUAUAUGGAUUGAAUUCCAUAGGCCAUGACUGAGAAGUAAAUAAAGAGAAAAGAUUUCUCAUGUCCAAAUGGGUCAUUGCACAUUCUCAAAACACUUUUAGUUUUUACUUACCAAACACUUUACCACUACUUGUAACACUUGCAACACUUAUGAAAAGCCAGUUUACCAAACACGCAGUUAUUUUGCUUUCCAGCUACUUAUUCUUAGAAUAAGUAAAAGUCAGCUGUUUUUGGAAGCCACAACUGUACCAAACACACCCUUAGUAGAAGAGAUGAAAUCUUUAUUAAACUUAUUCUCUUUCAAAGUUUUUUAAUUUGUGUGGAAGUGUUUUCAGCUGUAAUCAUCUAGUGUGGUGUGUUUUUAUUGCAAAUAAGUGUUUGUACUUGUAAUUAUGAAUACCUAACCCGAGAAUGAGGCUCUGGGUUUUGUAUUUGUAGUUAUGUUGAAAUAAAUAAAUUCUAUCUUGUACCCAUUAUUUGGUCACAAAAAAAUUUAAUAAAUAUAUGCAUAUUUGAGUCUGCUUUGUGUUUCUAUUUUACAAAUACUUUGCUUUUAAGAAUUAAGAAUUUUCCAUACUAAAACAACAGUGAUUCCGUCAUAUUAAGUAACUAUUUAGACAAUAAGUCGUUAGGUGAAAUAGUGGCAUGUUGAAGGCUAAUUCUUAUGGUGGUGAGUCUUAGUCUUAUUAAAUAAAGUAAUAAGAAAACUUAAAAAGAAAUAUCUACCCUUUUUUGUUUACUACACUAUAACGGAAUAGUUGCCAAAUUUAACGGAAGUAUGUCAUUGAUAGCAAAGUAGGAGUUUAGGUACUACAUUGACAGCUUUGUAAGUCUGGGUAUCAAACUGACUGAGACACAAGAGUUGAGACACUGUUGGUGAAGUUUUCUUUUUGUACAUAUAUAGCCCUAGGAAAUGUAAUCAGAUAUUGCACAGUUAAAUCAGAAUGGCUAACCGAUAUGCUUAAACAGUGAUGCAAACUUAUCUACUACUUUAUAUAUGCAAUUAGUUCUUCUAAUAUAAAUCACUUAGGGUACCAUUUAUAUAUGUAAAUUAAGAAUUGAAAUUUGUUUAGUCCUUAUGGUUUGAAGUCGACAUCUGUUUAGUCUUUCUAGUUUUAUUUUAAUCUGAAUAGUCCUUAAAGUCACAAUUUUUCAUUUAAAUAGUCCUUAUGGUUUUAUUUUAAUAUGAAUAGUCCUUAAAGUCAUGAUUUUUCAUCCAAAAGCCUUUCCGACAAUUUUCUCAGUUAAAGGCCAUAAGGACUAUUUGGAUGAAAAAUCAUGACUUUAAGAACUAUUUAGAUUAAAAUAAAAUUAUAAAGACUAUUUAGAUGAAAUAUAGUAACUUUAAGGACUAUUCAGAUUAAAAUAAUACCAUAAGGACUAAACAGAUGUCGACUUUAAACCACAACGACUAUACAAUAUUUUACCCUUAAAUUAAUAAAACAUAUUUUAACACUGGUUUAGUAGAUAGUAAUCAGAAGACUAGGAACUCGAAUAUGAUUAUGACGGUGAAGUUAGAAGCCCUAGCGUUUGUCCCUCGUUGUGUUCAAAACCCUUUUCAACAUUCUAUCAAUCAUCUAGUUUGUUUUACUCUUUUCUCAUUGUUUACAAAAAUCACAAAAAAAUCUUCUUAUUUUCUUGUUAGUCAUUAGCAUAUUUUGGUCAAUUAGUUAGAGUUGAAAGUUAGUUAUCCAUCCCUAGUUGGAACGACCUCGUAUUUGCAUAAGCUAUACUACAAACGAUUCGUGCACUUGCAAAGUUAUUAAAAUUUGACAACAUAACCGAUUUCAACAAUCCAAGAAUCCGACCUGUUUGCAACUUUUCAUAGACUCCAUAUAUAUUUCUAAUUUUAAUGAGACAAAGGCUUGCAAGUAAUCUGUUCCACUACAACAAUGUGGAGCAAAGGUCACACACCUGGUGUGGCCUUUGGGGGUGUUGUAUUUUUUGUUAAGUGUGGCAAAUGAGGGUAUUAAUGUAGGUAUUGGUGAGGUAUGAGGGAAAAUGCCACACAUGAUGAUUUGCAACACCUCUAAAGACCACACAUCUUGUGUGGCCUUUGCUCCAUCUUGUUGUAGUGUCCCAAGGAAACAUGCAAAACCAAUUACCAAGCAAAGCCAGGUUGCUUUGCAAUACCUAAUAUGGUUCACAGCUUCACAUAAGCCGUACACUUCUGCAAGCACAUGACAGGUACAACACAUGAUAUAAUCUUGAAACCUUAACAAGACCCUAUUACGAAUUUAUUUAUGGAAUUACAAAAAGUAAUCUUCUUAGUUUACUUAAACUUCUACUGUCAAGAUCAGUAAGUUAUCGGUGAUAAGCUCGAAAUAUACGCAACAUGCCUCACAUUAUACCUUAUUGAUUAGUUCAAAGACACAUCACUUAUUUUGCAAAGCUUGUUCUUUAGCAAAAAUAGGAUCGAGACCUUCCUAUGCUAAAGAUAACCAAAAUAUUUCAAAGAAUACAAUGUGAUUAUUGUGGACUUAUCCAUCCAGAAAUGACGGACCAUUAAAGUACUUUAUGGUUUUAGAGGAUGUUUCGAUACGCUAGUCACAUGUCGAAUAAUUAUCCACAAGAAAUGCUGCAUUUGAAAACUCUUAGCACAUCUUAUACAUCUAAGGGUUCACCACCCUAAUCACCAAGUCUAUAGGACUUGACAAUGCUAAGAGUUCACAUCAAAAGUAUUUGAUGAUUAUUGCUUGUUUAUCAGAAUCGAUGUAAAGCAUCUUGUACCCCAUUUGCAUACACAAAAUGGUCUAGCAGAAGCCACCAUCGAUGGUGGCUAGAGCACUGGUUACGCAAACAAACCUGCCUAUAUCUGUUUGGGGUUACGCAAUAUUGCACACAUACUUACUUAUUCAUUUUUAGACUCACUACUAGUCAACCAAUUAAUGUGUACCAGUUGGUAACUGGACAUGAGCCUGAGAUUUACACAUAUUUGGUUGCACAACAUAUGUGUCUAUUGUGCCCCCACAAUGUAUCAAAAAUGGGUCCUUAGAAACGAAUAUGUAUUUAUGUUGGAUACGAACCUCCAAUAAUUACAACCGAUCUCACAACUCGAUUUGCAGAUUGUCACUUUUAUAAGACAAUAUUAUCGUCGGUAGGGGGAGAUAAGAAAAAGAAUAAUCUAUGGGAACGACAUGAAUUUUCGUGUUUGUCCCACUCUGUUUCAUCCUGAUCCCCACAUAAUCAAUAUUUAGAACGUAACAGUUUCGAUGCCUGAUGCGUUUAAAGAUAUUGCUCAAGUGACGAGAUCACACAUACCAACUGCAAAUGCCUGCAAGGUCAAAAGUCCCCAAUAAGGUGCACGUCACCGCAAAUAGAGGCGAUGUAACUACACUUAGUGGAGGUGUAGUUGAGGUCGUGGCUCCCUAAAGGAAGAGGGGGAGGGCACUUACUCGCCCAAAGGAAAAAGGUGGGUAAGGCACAACCUAAUAAUCAUCAAUGUAGUGAAUCUCUGUCAUAAGAUUGUCUCUGAUUACAAUUAUGUUCAUGAAUCAAUACUGGAGGACACUCCGAUGUUUAAAUGAUUCGUGAGACAAAAUCUCAAUGAAUUACAAGAGUAUACACAUUGAUGAUAUAUUCGCACUGUUGCUCAAGAAACUAUAGAGCACGAUGAUAUUGAACCAGGUUAUGUUGAAGAAUGUCAACAAAGAGCAUAUUGACCUAAAUAAAAGUGCAAUAUCCAAGAAGAGCUAUUCUCUGACAAAGAGACAGAUAUUUGGUUUUUGGUAGUGCUAACCUUAUCAAGUGUAAUGCCCGUAGGACAUAAAUAAGUCUUUGUCAAAAAAUGUAAUGAGAAGAAUGAAGCCUUGAAGAACAAAGCUCGCCAAGUGGCGCUAAGGUUUCUCGCAACGCUUUAGAUUGACUACGAGGAGACAUAAUCUCUCAUAAUGAAUGCAACUCAUCGAUGUGGUUACUAGUUAUCUCCAUGGGGAUCUUAAUUGAGAGAUAUUUAUUAAAGGGCCUAAUGGCCUUACACUAUCCAACUCAAGUAACUUUAAACCACGGAGUGCGUUUGCAAUUAGAAUUGAAACACUCACUAUAUUAAAAGUGACUACUUUGUUGGGAAGGGAUAUAAAUGAUGAACUAUGGCCUCAUAAAGGAAACAGGUUCGGAUUUGCAAUUAUAGUCAUCUAUAUGUUGAUGCUAUGAAUAUAGUAGGUAUUCUUGAUGAAAUAAAAGAAACCGCGAGCUACAUAAAAUCCGAAUUGAAAUGAAUAAUCUUGGGAAACUCAAUUAACAAUGAGUUUAUGUCAGUACCCACCCUGAAUUUCACCCUGAAAUCCGAAGUAAAUCCUGCGGGGUCCAUCUAUCUUCAAGGAAAAUUUACUAAAAAUUCAGCAUAAUCUAUCUUGAAAAUGAACAACCCUUACCUGAAAAAUUCCAAAUAAACAAUUCUAUUAAAAAUCAUCCAUCCUCAACUCCUGGUGCCUUCAUGCUCCCCAAGUUCAUCACAUCUCCCAAUAUAUCAAUUAAUCAUCUAAAAGCAUCCCACAACCAACAACAAAGACAUUUAAUAAUUUACUACUGGUCUUUCAGAGCAUAUCUAAAGAUGAAUGAAAAACAAUGAAAACGAAUAAGCGAAAGCAGCCCCUGACUGUGCCUCGACUCCAUGUACGCUCGACCUCAUUUAAACUUAUCCUGCAUACUGGGCAUUUAAAACCAAAAGGCCCAGGGGAAAGUAAUUUAAAAACGUUAGAGUGAGUGGACAAAAAUAAAUUAAACAAUUUAACAAAAUACGUAAUUUAAAUACUUUCCCACAUUUCAGUUUUAAAAACUUAGCUGCACGCAACUUUCGUAAAUCAUAUAACUUAAAUUCCAGAAACCCAAUAGAAUGGACAAACCAAUCCCGCUGGUUAAUCAAAUAAAGAAAUCUCGUAAGAAGAGAUAAACCAACCCCGCUGGUUAAUCAAAUACAUAACAGAGAAAAAUAAAAUAACAGGAAAAGUUAUCACCAUGUAAGAGGAGCCUCCAAGGCUCGGGUCGGUGCCUCCCAGACCAUAGUAGCGUCCCACGCUAAGUGCUAAACUCACCUAUGGUGAGGACAGCUAAUAAGGCUAGCUAACAAUAAAUAAAAAUAUCUGAUCGGUGCCUCCCAGGCUAUAGUAGUGUCCCAUGCUAAGCGCUCGACUCACCUAUGGUGAAGACCGCUAAUAAAGCUAGCUAGUAAUGAAAUAUAAGCGACCCUAUAUUUUGGUGACUAAAAACAUACGACAUCACUUAAAUCCAUUAAACUUCCCCAAGAUCAUAUGAAUGGUACGGUUACGGUUCCCAACCGUACUUGAAAAUCAUCAUAAGAAAUUAUAUUAAAACUCAAUGACGUGUCUCACACGUCAAAAUAUUCUCAAAGCCAUAAUAUAAGCGAGGUUUAAUUAACAAGUAAAAAUCGUAAUUAAUAUCUCAAACCAAAAUACUCGCUAAAAUAUUCUCAAGGUCAAGAUCGAUAUUCCACAAAUAAAUGCGAAAAUUAUAAAUAGCGAACUACCGAUAAUCCCAUUUUCGGAAAUCUUUUAUAUAAAUCUCAAGUCCACAACUAAAGCAAUCAUAAUGAAAUCCAGAAUUUAUAAAGAAUAUCCAAACUCAAAUACCAAAUUAGUAAUCCGAGCUCAAAUUCAUAAAUCAUGACCCAUAAUUAAUCAAUGCUUCAAACUUAAAUACUUUCCAAGAUCAUUUCGUAAGCCGAAAUUAUAAUAUAAGUUCGGAAAAUAAAAUAAUAAAUUAUAAAAUCUUGCAUGCAUAUUUAUUUAAAACCAAAAUGUCCACUCACAAAUUUAAGCAUAAGCCCGACGAUAUCCACAUCACCACUCAAGCGAGGUUCCCUUCGUAUCCUGGCACAAUAAAUAUGCUUAGGACCAAACUUCAAUUCCGGAAAAUAAAUACUUGAAUAUAAACACCCAAAUCUCUUCCGCUUAACCCACUACUCUUACUAGGGUUAAGCUUACCGGAUUCACACCAAACUCCACCACAACCUUAAUUCAUCAAUUCUAACAUUCUAGAAUAAAUACCAAGGAAAUCCAACGGCCAGAUUUUCACUAUAACAACCGCCAAAAUUCUCAAUUUUUGAAAAAUCCCAAACCUAACCAAAACUCCUCCAAAAAUUCCAAACAUUACAUCAUUAAACUCCUCUCAUUAAAACAAACUCAAAAACAUGAAAAACUACCCCUAAGCGGCAGCGGCGCCGUCUGUUCCGCGGGCAGCGGCGGCUGGCCAGCCCAAUUUCAGGCGACCUCCAAUGGCUACCAAAUUUUGACACAAUUUUCCUCUCAACAUUCCAAACAACUUUCAUAACUACCACAAAGUCCAAUUUCAAGCCUAACUAGGGUAAUCGAAGACAAACAUAAAAAAAAAUCUCAAUUUCAAACCUUAGAAUUUCAAACCUUUGAUUCUCCUUACCUAGCUCGAGUUAGGUCGAAUCCUUUUAGGGGUUUGCUGCUGGAAGGGAGAGCUUCAAGACGAGACCGGUAGCUCUGAUUUUUUUGGCCGGAAAAAGGAGUUCCGGCGAGAACACCUCCGCGGCACAGCCGUGACUUCCAGGCGAUCAUGCUCCUUCACGGUGGCGCAACAUGGGCUUCCACCUACCUAGACUUGUUGUCACAUCCCGACCCUUAUAUUUUUACCUUAUUUACUAGCGUGAUUAUAAUAUGAAUUUUACCGUCUCCGUCUUUGAGUUAAUAGUUUAAGUGGUCCCUAGAGGGGUUCGGGGACGAUUAUGUGCGGAGGAUUAUUCGUAUGAGGAAAAAUACGACGACGGUAAAAAUGGUAAAUUUAGCUAGUAAAAGGUAAUUUUUAUUCGGGUAUUAUUUUUCGGGGUGUUUUUAUUUUUGAGUUGGGUUGAUAAGGGUGGACCGGUUGGGAGGCCCAACCCAUUUCUUUUUUUUCUCUUCUUCUCUCUUUUCUCUUCCUCCUCUCUCCCGUGCCCUUUCCCCCCUGCCGGAUCGUCCAGCCGCCGUCCGGCCAGCCACCGGCCGCCGCUCCACCCCAGUUCGGACCCCCAUCUCCUCCUCUCCCACCCCGGCCUAGCCCCCGAGCCUCUAACCCGCCGGAAACACCGGGAAGCAUUUCGCCGGAACUCCCUCCUCCGGCCACCAAUCCGGGCAAGCUUGGUAUGGUUUUGUAGCCCUCCAACCCAGCAGUCUUGCCCUAAAAGGACUCACUCCCUCUUGAGCUAGGUAAGGAGAAAUUUGAGGUGGAAGUUUUAUGGUGUUUUUGAUGUUUUUAGUCGAUUGCCCUAGUUAGGCUUGGAAUUGGUGUUUGUGCUAGUUAUGAAAGUUGUAGAGCUUGAUGAGAGGAUUAUUCUGUCAAAAUUUCAUAGGUUUUGGAGGUCGCCGGAAUUGACUUCCGGCCGCCGCUGCCGGCGGAGCCACCGGCGGCGCCGCCGCCGGUUAGGAGAUUUUUAGGGUUUUAAGUGUGGAAUAUUAAGAGGAGUAUAUUGAUGUGAUUUAUGGAAUUUUUGGAUGAGAUUUGGAUAGGUUUGUGAAUUUCCGAAGUUUGGUAUUUUUGGCGGUUAAUUAAUGUAGAAUCCGGCCGUAGGAUUUAAGUCGUAUUUUGGAGAGGUUGUAUUUACGACUGUUGAGUAUGAUAUUUAAGUUCGGAUUGUUCCGAUUUAAGAAUAUCGAAGUUAGGCAAUGAUGAGCGUAUUUAUGGUUCUCGGGUAAUUUUGCCUAUUUUGAUUAAAUAUUGGAUUAUUGGUUGGGAAAUUAAUAUUAUAUUUGGAACAGGACGUGAGGAGGCUCGAGCAGACGAGGCCCCAGAUCGACAUCAGGCUUAGGCCAAAUUUGUGAGUGGACGUUUAUUUUAAAUAAAUGCAUGCUAUAGUUCAUGGUUGAACAAUUAAAUGUCGUGGAGUAUUNNNNNNNNNNNNNNNNNNNNAGUUUUCAUCAGUAGGUUACCUGUUCAACCUACUCGUGUUUUCUUACUUCCGCUUGUGUUUAGUAGCUCUGAAUACCUUGGGAUUAUUGUAUAUUACGUGUAGAAUUUCGGAAGGAUAAUUAUGUGAUGUUUGGAAGUGUUGAUUUAAGAGUGUAAUUUGGAAUUUUCGAGUUAGGGUUGUCCAUCUGCAAGGGAGAUUUUCUUAAUCUUUUCAGUAAAUUUUCCUUGGAGGUGGUCCCCGCACGACUUACUCCGGGUUUCCUUGGAGGUGGUCCCCGCACGACUUACUCCGGGUUUCAGUGUGAAAUUCAGGGUGGGUCGUGUCACUUGUAGAGGAUGCUCCAAGCUUCAAUUUGAUACCAAGCUUGCCGCCUAUCUUGGCCGGAUGGCGGCGGACGGGGGCGUUGAAGUCCGGCGGUCGAAACUGGCGCGGGAGAGGAGAGAGAGAGAGAGAAAGUAACUUUCUGAUUUCUACCUUACCUCUUCUGGUAAGUUUCCCUUUUUAUACUCCCAACUGAAAUAAUAACUAUUGUUUUUAGACCAUAACUUCUUCAUACGAACUCCGUUUUAAGCGUACCACGUGUCCACGAACUCUGUUUAACGUCCUAUACGACUUUCAUGAAGAAAGUUUUCCCAAAUUUUAGACGAAGGAAAAGUCAACUUUUGAAGCCUUAAAUAGUAAAUGGUUACUCAAAACAGUAAAAGGUCAAAGUAACCUAAAAAUCAAUAACCGCAAAUUAAUUGAAGAACCGGGAUGUGACAGUUUAUGGAAUACUAAUCCACCAGUUUACAUGUGUCUAAAUGAUUCUCAAGCAUUUACAUGGACAAAAUGUACACUGUUAGCACUCCCAAUGAUCAGUCGAUGUUUGGAUGUAAAGAAAAAUCCAUUUCGUCUAUAGAAAGAUCACGAAGAAGGUUUCAUAAUUGAAACUCAUUCUCUAAAGUGCAAUAGGCGCGACCCGAUAAACUCAAUCGGAUAUGACAUUCUCAAAGAAUUUGUAGCUAAACUUAGCUCAACCCUAACGCAAUGUCAUUUGGAAGAUAUAAAGAAUGUAUCUUAAAUGAACUAUUGACUUGAUUUUGUUUGUGAGCUGUACUUGGUUGGUUAAGGUGUUUAACUGACAACUUUGAGGUCAUGAGUUUAAACUUCACGACAUAUGUAGGGUAUAUAUCUUAUUAUUAAAAAGGUUUUUUAUGUAGGGUGUAUACCCUAUUAUUAAAAAGUUUUUUUUAAAAAAAAAAAAAAAAAAAACCUAAAAUUGACUUGAUUUUAAAUUUUUCUAUGGGCAAAUGAUUUGUAAACUACUAGUUAUGUAAUCUUCCAUCUGACUGACUUCCUAUGCUUUUUCCUUUUCUCGUUGGACUGACUGCGUCAAAAAUACAGUUCUUAAUAGCAGAUGACCAUCCUUGUUGAACUUUUCAGUUUAACAAACAGACCAUCAAAGUGGGGACACGAGUGAAUUUGCAUAAUGUACAGAAUGUUUUCAAUAGAUUAUAAUGGCUGGGAAUUGCACACGUCUUAGAUUCUGUCAACACAUAUUUUCUUACAUAACCAAACUUUUAGGAAUCGGUUUUACUUGCUUCAUGAUACAAAAGUACUUUUAUUUUUACCCAUCACUCACUUUUACAAUAGCAAGUGUCAAAAAAUAUUAGAAUUUAACUACACUGAAAUUCUACCAAAAUAUAAUCGAUAAGUGCUACACUUAGAUUAAGUUAUGCCUAUCAUUACUUGUUCCUUCCAAAUUGAUAAUUAGCUGAACUUUAGAACUCGAUGAUCAGAUCAUACCGUAAGUGUAGGUCUGAACUUUUUUUGCAUCGAAGUUCUCAUACUUAAACUUUAAACAUGUAUGGCUCAUUACGCACACCUAAGCGUUAUCUUUUUCUAAAUACGUAUCGGUUUAGAGUAAGUUUAGCUGCUCCCAUUCCCAUAGAGGUUGUUCAAGAUCAUCAUUCAUUUCCCAAUCAGUAGUCUCUGAUGCUUGAAGAUCAGCUAGGUCUCCUGAAUUUGAACCAUGAGUAUCAGACGAUGAACUUGUUUUUUCUGCCACCAUUGUUGCUUGGUGAGAUGAAGAAGUACUUGCUCCCAGUAAAUUGUCACUUUGUCGAUGUGAUGUGUCGCCGCUUGCUUCCAGCGGGCGUCUAUCAAAAGCUCGAGAACUCCCCGAUACUAUGUACACUCGACACAGUCGGAACUCAUUCCUCAACUAUAUAUAGUAAAACACAAGAAAAUGUCACCAAAUAUGUACGAAAUGGGUAACUAUUCGAAUUUGGGCAAGUAAAAAGCUGGAAGAUAAAAACUCACCUUGGGAUUGGUAGUAGUAGUAGUAGCAGGGCUAUUUCUAGUGGUAGCAGCUGAGGGAGCUGCUGCUGCUCCUUCAAUGGCUCUGUACUCGUUCAUCUUCCACUUGGUCUUUCUUCCCGUCGGAGCUUUCCCUUUGUAGAAAACCAUCGUCUUCUUCACUCCAAUGACUCGAUUAUCCGACGAGUAAACAUACCCCGGGGAGCCAGUGGCCUUCCAGUAGCCGGAAGCCGUAGUCCGGUUAGGUCUCCCUCCUUGCGCUUCUCGUUGCUGCCUCGGCGUAAAGAAGAACCACUGCUCGGUGUCUCCACGGCACAACUCCGCAGCAUACCCUGCAAUAAACUGGUUAAUUUUUCAUACAAAUGUACUAAAUUUGUAGUAGCUACAACUCAUUGCAAAGCUUCGGUGGGAUUAAUUGAAGUGCAGGAAGUACUUGGGAGAUCCCAUGGCUCUGUGCUGUAAAUGUCGAGGUCGGGAAUGACGCGGCGAAUGCUGCCUUGGCGCUUGGAUUCGAGCUUGUUGAGGAGGUAGAAGGAGACGAGUUCUUCUUCAGUUGGGUAGAAACGAAAGCCUGUUGUGGGUUCUUGAUGAUCCAUCUUUGUAUGUAAAUAUGGGUGAUAGAUAAUUUUAUGUUUAAGUUUGUGUUUUGGUGAAAGAGGCAUUUAUAGGGAGAGUGAAAGUUGGGAAAAGUUUGGGGGAUUUUGGGUUUUGGUGGAAACUUCCACGCGCUUGUUGGAAAAUGAGGUACUUGUUUUGUCCUAGAAAUGAUGAUUGUGCUGAGGUCAUCCAAUAACUAUACCUGAAAACCUCGUUUGAACAAGUCCUAUGCUCCCUGUCUUGCCGUAAUUUCACUCUUUUCAGGUUUAUUAUCUCUCGCUAAAAUCAAGCCAGCCAUAUUUAUGAGAGCGAGUGUGAGAUACAAUGGUCAUGAUAUUAGUAUAUAUGCAUGUAAUGUGACGUAGAUGACCGGAGUUUAUAUCCAUUGUGUAAAGAUUAAUUUUGUGUAGAAUGUGUUCCACAAACUCAUAUCUUUUAUCCGGCUUAAUAUUGAGUUCAAACUCAGCUCAUGUUUUUUGUCUGACUUAAUACGAGCUGAACACAAGUCGAACACAAACUGUUUGAGACAAAUCUUGUUGCAUGACUACAUCAACAAGCAGAGCAGUGCCAUCAAACCUUCACCAAUAAGUGGACACUCCAGUAAGAGAUGGUGACACAAUUCUGUACAAGAACUAAUAUGUGUGGCUCAACUGAUUUUGGGGCCGGGGCAUAAAAAAAAAUCCAAAACAUGUUUCUUACCGCAACACUUUUGACAUCCCUUUUCUAACCUAAAGCCAAGCUAAAAGAAAGCUUCAUCAAAUUGUGAAUUGCUUAAAUUACCUUUCAUGUUGAUAAAAAAUCACUUAAAAAGAAUUAUCCUAGCUAUUGUGUUAUAAGAAAAAAAAAACAUAAUACAAAAUGAAACAAGGUGGUGACAAAAAACCUUACACGUUUUCUCUAUUCAUCAAUAACACGUCCAUCAAUAUCACACGGGUAAGAGUAUAGUUUCCAAUAAAACAAACCCGAGUAUAUAAUCAGCCCUGAGCUGAGACUUGGUAGUAAUUUUCAACUUUGGUAUUAAAAAAAAUUAAGAAUAUAAGAUAGUCGCAUGUUCUUGUUGAAGAGAACUCUCGAAGUACUUAAACAUAUAUAAUAACUCUUUGUUUUGUCGGAUGAGAUACUCUCUUCAUCUAGUAAAAAUCUUUAAAAAGAAAAUGGUCUUGCAAAUGUAGUAUCAAAAUGUGACAGGUAAGCAAACGUGAGCUGGAGUACUAAGCACCAAAACCAUGAGCAUUGACCCAAAGAGAAAUAAAAGGCAGCAAAAAUCAAAUUGAAAGGGACAUAAAAGAAAGAAAUGUAUAUAUUUUGGUGAUAGACUGAUUCUUUUCCAAUAGAAAAUACAGAGAGUAAUCAAAGACCUAGUCCUAAUGGAAGGGGACAUGAUCGAGUACACAUAAAGAUGGAUAAAGUGUGUCGAUGGCACAAUCACAAUCCAAACCCAAUCUUUGGACGCGGGUUUGGGAAAUUUAUUCGUUUACCUCUUCAGACCCGCGUUAAGCUUAUUUGUCACUCCCAACUUUUAUGGCAAGGUAAGGUAAAGGGCAGGGGCGGAUCUAGGUACAGAGGACCGCAAGAGUCCUCCUAAGAUUUUGGGGUUGAAAAAAGAUAUGUUUUUAUGAUGUAUAAUUCAAACAUAUAUUUGUCUGAUGGUGACGCUAAACUCUAGAUUAUCGGAAUCAAGCUAUUCUCGAGUUCUUAUAUUCUUCCCAUCUGUCUCAAACUCUUAAAUAUAACUUAUAAGUAGGUGAAUCAUACUUAAUCAUAUUAAGACAUUUCAACACCUUAAAGAUGAUUAGUUUGAGACAAUAAUAAUACACGAGUCACGUUUGUUGUUCUUUAACAAUAGACCAUGCUUGUCGUUAUGGACAUGCUUUUAUGCAAGGAGUAAAAUAUCCAAAAUAUCUUUAAUAUUUCCUCGAAAUUUCUAUUUUUUACAAUUACCGAUAUUAAUUUUUAUAUUUUUCUGAUAUUUUAUAUUUAAUAUAUUUUUGGUCAAAUAUAUAACUUUUAGAUAAAAUUUGGUAAAAUUUCUAUCGAUAUUCGAUAUCAUCUCUAUAUAUCCAUCGAGAUUUUAUUUUUUUAAAUUAUCAAAAUUUCCAUAAUCGUCGGUAUUUUACUCCAUCGAGAUUUUAUUUUUUUAAAUUAUCAAAAUUUCCAUAAUCGUCGGUAUUUUACUAUUUGCUUUUAUGUGUAUAGCUUUCUUUAAUGGGAGCAAUCAUAGGGGCUUUCCAUGCGAAGUAAGAUAACGACCCGUGUAGCCUUAAUGAAAGAGUUAACUACACCGUCAUACUUAGUAGCUUCACCUUUUUGUGUUCUUUGGGCAAGACUCAGUCAACCUGGAACCAGCUAAUAGCCUAGGACCCCAUCGUAUGAAUCUUAAACUUGCUACGAGUCUCUCAACACACGCUCACGCAUAAAAACAUAAACUUCCUUUAAAACUACUUGCAAACAAAAUCAGAAACUCCGACCAUUCACGGAAAAUAUAGAUGUUGACAACAAGGGCAACAAGAACUCCCUAGUCUUCACACACUCAUUAGUUGUAAUGUGCUCGCGCAGUGCUCCUUAUUCAUAAAAAAUUUCCCCUCCAGGGAACCUGCUUCUAUAUAAAACACAAACCUAGCAAGGAAAAGAGGAAGAAUCAGUUACCGUAACUGAAGCAACAGUUGCACAAUAUGAACAACAUCCCAACAUUCUGUGUAAUCCUUCGAGUAAACAGCUAAGCUUAAUGAGCUUUCCCUACUGUUUCAUGUCAGCAUGUCUGCUGUAACGUAUAGUUCAUAUCAGUUGUAAACUCGUGAAAUCUUUUGACAUAUAUAGACUUUAGGAUAUACAACACAUUAUAGAAUAGUGGAACAUUUGCAGGACCCUAAUACCAGAAAAGGCAAAGACGUAUAAAUUGAUGAUAAGCAACAUCUGCAAUAAUAGUACACCAAGUUUUACUCUCGAGAUCCUAGAUGAUAAGCUCUAAAUCUAAGCAGCAAUCUGAUUACCGGAAGAAAAGAAAGAUGUAUACAAUAUUGGGAAAGCCAGAUCAGUACCCUUGUACCAUCCAUGAGUUACUAGGUCUAAGUUUAUUAUGCUUGGAGAUGUCACAGUAGCUUCGCAUCACCAUUGCUGUCAAAGCCUAAAAGAUAGAUGAAAAUCCUCAAGGCGUUGAACCAGCGGUGGAUUUGGUUCGAGCUCAUUUAAAGAUUAGCAUCUCAGCUACAACUUCUAGCAGUCUACUAAAAACUGUCAUGAAUAAAUGAGAUGCUAUUCAAAACAUUACAAAAUGACCAGCAGUCUCCAUCGAUCAUUGAGCUAAAACUGGAAACCAUUACCUAAAAGAACGGCACAGAAUUGGGAAAUAACCACUUCAUUCAAGACAAAUAAUCAUUCACCUUUUAAAGAGGACAGAGUCGCUGCAACUCAGCACUCCAGUCAAGAAAAGUGUAACCAAGGGGAAGGUUUUUCAAAGGUUUACACAAUGAGGCUACAAAUCUGAUAGAAUCCCAAUUUAACUCCAUGUCUCUCCACCUCCCCUUCCCAUAAAAAUUGGGUCAUUGGUGUCCCAACAAACUACACCACAAAAGAGCCAGAACAGCCAAAACAAUCGUAUCUCCAAAGGGUAAUCAUUUUUCUGUUUGCCCCUCUCCUCAUGACAGCAUGCCAUAGCAGUUUGCAGAAGGCUUCAAUAGACUUGAUCCCGGGAGGAGAUACACAAGCAAAGGGCUUCCUCGCAAGCAUAUUACAGAUGUACUUAACUCUAUCUGAGUGACUGGCCUAGUGAAAAUUUCCACCUUCAUUGGAACACUCGUCUGUUAAACCAUCUUAAUAUGAUCAAAAUGAGGAUCCAACUGAUUGAUGAUCAAAUGCAAGAAAACAUAUGCAAGCUAAACAAGUGAUGGAGGAGUACGAUGCUAUAGUUUCAAUGGUAUCAUUUUUCUUCAAAAAAAGAAAAAAGAAAAAAAAAUAAGGAGAUUAAGAGUUGAAGAGAUCAACCCUCAUUACCAGCAAAGAGCUUUACUAAACAGAAGAAUCGGAAAAAUGGAUUAUAACAUUGGGAGAUUUAUUCUCAACAACUUUGGAAAGAACCGAUUUCAACAAUCCAAGAAUCCGACCUGUUUGCAACUUUGCAUAGACUCCAUAUAUAUUUCUAAUUCUAACGAGACAAAGGCUUGCAAGUAAUCUGUUCCCAGGGAAACAUGCAUAACCAAUUACAAAGCAAAGCCAGGUUGCUUUGCAAUAGCUAAUAUGGUUCACAGCUUCACAUAAGCUGUACACUUCUGCAAGCACAUGACAGGUACAGCACAGGAUAUAAUCUUGAAACCUAACAAGACCCUAUUAUGAAUUUAUUUCUGGAACCCCAACAUCUACAAAAAGUAAUCUUUUCAGUUUACUUAAAACUUCUACUGUCAAGAUCAGUAAGUUAUUGGUGAUAAGCUCCAAAUAUACGCAGAAAUGCAAUUACCAAGACCAGCAAGCUGUAUAAACAGGAAAACUAGAACAGUACGCUUCAGUUUAACAAACUUGGAUAUGUUACAGUUGAAUGCUCUUCAUAUUAUCAAUGCUACAAAUCAAUUGAAGAUUCAACUACCGGACUCGGUCCGCACUUGUUUGAACUUACAACAUUCUUCUAAACAGUAGAUGUCAAAAGAAAAAAAAAUCAUGAGAUUAUUAUUAUUAUUUUGGAUGAAAAAUAAAGAUAUUUUAAUUAAUAAGAUAUGAAACAUGACCAGCAUCCCCAUGAAAAUGUACAUCCAGCAAAACUUCAAAAAAAUUAAAAAAAACCACAAUCACACAGAAUUGGACAACAUAAACCACAUAAAUCCCAUUCAAGGCGAAGAAUCAUCCACUUUCCAAGAAAAGACAGUUACCGCAACAUGUACAGCAGGUCCAUUAAGAAGACGUGUCUACUGUUUGGAAAUAGAAGGCUAAGAAUCCGGUUCAAUCGCAAAUAACUCCAAUCAGUUCCAACUCCCAUUCUCUUCAGGAUCUAGUUAUCCUGUUACAACCAAAAGCAACAGAAAAUAGCCAAACCAACAAAGAUCCAAAGGAUAAUCAUUUCUUGUUGGCCCUGUCCCCGGGAUCCUUGACAACAGCCCCUAAAAGUUUCUAGGCCGCACCCACAAUACCCCAUACAUUGAUUUAUUUGUACUUGUAAGCCUAGAAUGCAAAAAACAGAGUUCCAUAUUUACACUCAUAACAGUAGAUGCUUCGGCGAGGCGAAAAGAAUACAAAGCGGCUUCUUCUCUGAGGCAUACACAAGUAAUUAACUGCUUAGUGAAAAUUUGCAUCUUGUCUUGUUAAAACCCAAAAUUUGCACACACCGGUGGUUCAAAUCAUCUUUAAUCAACAGUAGGAUCCAAUAAAUUGAUGAUCAAACGCAAGGGAGAAGACUAGAUGAGUUAACUGACCACAAUCUUUCAUGAAUCUGGCAUUUGUAAUUCAUAAACAACCUAGCUUAUUAAAUGAAAAAGAAAGAGACUAUAAGAAAGUGGAGAAGAAGUCCAAAAACGGGCAAAGCUACAAAACAAACAUUCAAAACAACCAACACCAACAACAGAUCUAGGAGAAGCACAGAAAUGUCAAACUUCAACAAGUUAUGAUGUCGGAUGGGUGGUAUCAUUGCUAUUUGAAGAAAUCCAAUAUAUGCUAAAAUACAAGUUUAGAAGUCAAUUCCACACCAGAAGAAAUUGUAACAUUGGGAGAUUUAUUUUCUAAAAAUUCAGAGAGAACCACUUUCGAAAAUCUAAUAAGACUCCCACCCAUUAGCAUAGACUCCAUGAAUGUGAAAGUACUAAUGUUUUUUACAUCCAUCCAAUUCUAGUUUGAAUGAUUCAUUAGCAAUUAUCUACCCUUCAAUAGCGUCAGCUGAAUGGUAGUUUAAUCGGAGUAUAAAUGGGAAAACUCAUAUCUGUUCGUAAGAGGCUACAACCAAUAUGGUUAAGAAUAAAUACCCAAACAAUCAAGCUUUCACUUCCACUUGUUGAGGUCCAUGCUCCAGCAAUCCAACCCCUUCCCUCCUCCCAGCUUCAGCAGAAGAUGCAUACUUCUUCUGGUACAACGGAUUCGACGUCAGGAUCCUCAAACUCGAAUUCCCAUUUAUCUCCAAAACUUCAGGCAAGCCAUUACCACAGCCCUUGGACAUCCCCACAUCAAUCCGAAUAGCUCUCUCAUUGCAAGCACCAUUGAUCCCAAACUCUUGAAUGGUAUGACCCAUGAUCAUCCUCUUAGCACCAGGAAUAGUUGCCAAAACAUGUUCCAGCGCCGAACAAUCACACUUGUCGGCGAUUUCAUCAGAAAACUUCCUCAACCAAACCACAGAGUUCCCCCCGCGGCAAUACUCCGGCGCCAGUCUCCCCUUCACCCCAUUAAUCCACUCCCUCACCUCCUCAUUCAUCUUCUCUAGUCCAUACUUAACAUGCUUUGCCAAAAGCCCGCCGUGGACGAAAACCGAGUCCCCUAUAACCAACACAGUGACAUUCUUGGACAAGAACCGACUAGUAACUGGACCAUCAGGCCUCAGCGCGGCAAUUCUGGCCCGAAAACCCUCUGCAGACUCGCCCUUCACAUUAUUGAAUACACUUGGCAGCCCCUCGAACGGGUCCCGCGGCUUCUCCAAGCCUUUACAAAGAGACUUCAUCCUGUUACCAGUUGUAUACCAAUGUGCCCAAUUCACAAACUCAUCCAAACCCUCCUUGGUGGCGUACCUGAAAUCUCCUUCCACAUUCAUGAUCUCGUGGUUGCCGUGCAUGGUAAUCACGGUGCCGCCGCAUCUGGCGGCUUCGCGUCGCAGCUUCUCGAGGAAAUAGAGGAUCUUGAGCUCGUCGCCGCCACGGUCGAGCACGUCGCCGACCUGGACCACGGUGGCGGAUCCUCCGGCCCAUUUGUCGGAGGCGUCAAUGAGAUUGGCGAGGCGGAGGGAUUGCUUGGUCUUGGCGAGGUCGCCGUGGAGGUCGCCGAUGGCGAUGAGACGGUCCUGCGGAGGGUAGUAGGUUUGCAAGGGUUGAGGGGGAGUGGGGGUUUCGGGUAAGAGGAAGUGUCCGGUGACGGAGAAGUCGACGAAGGUGUCGACGAAAGAGGUUAGGAGAGCUGGGAGGUCUUUGCAUGAUGCUGGGGUCUUCGCUUUCAGGUCUUCCAUUCUCUCCUCUCACUCUCUCAACCAGUUUUUUUCUAUUUCUUUGGGUUUUUGGGUCUGCUAUUUUUUUGGGCUUUAUAACAACACAAGUCAAGAGUAGUGAUUUUGAUUUUACAAUGGGAGAAAAUUGGCGAAACGUGUUUGUUUUUUGUUGAUAUGUAGGUCAAAGGUUAGGGUCUAUUCGUGCGUAUAAAUAACAUGACGGGUAAGAAUAACCGGAAACUUAUUUUAGCAAACACAUUACGUCAACCAACUUAUAAACAAAUAAACUGCAUGUCAUCUAGGCAUUAUUCAUCAUGAUACAAAGGUAGAUGGAGUUGGGUUUGUGAAUAGGGAUAACUCGGGGAUUGUUGUGGCGGGAGGUGGUAAGGUCAGAGAUUACUUAAUCUGAAACAUAGUGAGUUGCUGAGUUUUGGUUUGGUUUUGAAUUUUAUAUUGGAGCAAGGUUUUGUUUCUGUCAUUAUUGAGAUAGAUGCUCAGCUAGUGUACUCACAAUUAAGGUUAGAUUAUGGAUCAAACACUUCAGUUUUGGGACGGCUUUAUGAUGACUUGAAACUAAAAUUGCAUAAUCAGGAGGGUGUCAAGUGUUGAAAUAUUCAGACCUUAAUGACAAGAAAUGUGAAAAGGUUUCAUGAGUUUGUGACUUUUGAGUUGCAUAAAGAAGGUGGAUGGUUUUGGAGUUACGGUGAAGGCGUAUGAACAAACAUGAGUUAUGAAAGAUUCAUGAAGCACCAUUGUGGGAGGAGCGCUAAUGAGUGGUCUAGAUGGUUCCUCCUUAGUUUAUAUACAGAGAGGUCAUCAUCUCAUCUCAUCAUCUCAUCCAAUAGCAUCAUCUCAAUCAUCUUCAUCUAAGUAGAGAGUGAAGAGUGUCCACUCCAAGUUGAGUGUAGUACUUUGUAGCAAAACAAGUAUGAGAGAAAACAUUUCCUUGAAGUUGUGUAUCUCUUGUGUACCCAUUGUUUGAUAGUGGAGGUUCUUGUUGUUGCUACCCCAUGAACGUAGGCACAUUGUCGAACCACGUUAUAUCUGGUGUCUCUUUUCUUUGCUCUUUUAUCUCUUUGCAUUUUAUCCUUUAUGUAGUUUGAGUAAUUACUUGUAUUCUAUUUAAUUUUCCCAACAGUGGUAUCUGAGCCCUUUUCAUGGGGUAUGGCGUUAAAAUGAAAGGCUUAAGAAGUAUCAUGGUUCGACUCAACCACUUAAACUAGAUCACAUGGAAGCCAAGAAUGGAGAACAUUCUAUCUUGCAAAGAUUUGAAUGAGCCAAUAGAAAGAGUUGAGGCUAAGCCAUAAGGGACUUCAGAUCAUAUUAUACGGAGAUGAACUGUAAGGCAAUCAGCCAUAUCCGAGAGUGGAUGGAUGAUAGUGUACUCCACCACAUGGCCAAUGAGACCGAUGCAUAUGAGUUGUGGACAAAGUUAGAGUCAUUAUUUGAGAAGAAAACCGCCGCCAUGAAAGCUUUUUUAAUCAAAGAGCUUGUCAAUAUGAAGUACCAUGAAGACGUGAGGGUCACCGAGCACCUAAACAAUUUCCAAAGCACAAUCAAUCAACUAACCACAAUGGGCAUGACGAUUGAUGAUGAAUUGCAAGCAUUGUUGUUAUUGAGCUCGUUGCCGGAUAACUGGGAGACCUUUACUGUCACUAUAAUUAACUCUGCUCCUGAUGGUAAAUUGACUAUGGAUAAUGUUAAAAGUAACAAGUUGAAUGAAAAAGACUAGAAGAAAAUUUUCAAGCUCCAACAAUAGCCAAGUGUUUGUGGCGGAGAAUAGAGGAAAGAGCCAGAGCAGAUGACCCAAAAGUCAUGGAAAUAGUGUAAGCCAUUCGAGAACAACAUUCAACAGAAAGUGCCAUCAUUGUGGCAUCUUUGGCCACAUGAAGAAAAAUUACAACAAAUUGAAAAAUGAGAAGAAAGAAAAGAUGGCUACACCUAUCAAAGGAGGGAGGACAAAAGUAUCACUGCCGCUGUUGCCAUAUCACAUAAGGAAUGUGAGGUUUUUUGUCUUGAUGAUGAAUGCCUACAUGUUGACGAUUCUCCUGGUGUUGCAUGGGUCGUUGAUUCCGGAGCAUCUUUUCAUGCCACUCUAACAUGGAGUUCUUCACUACAUACAAAGGUAGUGACCUUGGGAUUGUGAAAAUGGGCAACGAUGGUUACGCUAAUAUUGCAGGAAUUGAAGACGGGAAGAACGUUCAAAUGUCUUCGUAGUGACAAUGGCGAACAAGUUCAAAGACUAUUGUUCGAAGCAUGGCAUCAGACACACAAGGACAGUUCCUUGCACUCCACAGCAUAAUGGUGUAGCAGAGAGGAUGAACCGCACCAUUUUGGAGAAAGUGAGAAGCCUGUUGAAAACAGCCAACCUGGCAAAGGAGUUUUGAGGCGAAGUAGUGGUAACAACCUGUUAUCUCAUCAACUGAACAUCAAGUCUAUCGUUGGGCUUGGAGACUCCAGAAAGCAUAUGGACCGGUAGAAGUGCAUCAUAUUCCCACUUGAGGGUAUUUGGGUGCAAGACAUUUGCACAUGUACCAAAGGUGAAAAGGUCAAAGCUAGAUGACACGACUAUAUCAUGCAUCUUUCUUGAGUAUGACAAUGAAGAGAUGGACUACCGACUAUGGAAUCCAAGGACAGAUAAGUUAUUCAUAAGCAAAGAUGUGGUGUUUCAUGAAGAUCAAGUCAUCUUAAUUUUUUACAAGAAGACAGUUGAAAAUGCAUACCACCUCACCUACUCAUCACCGCUCCAAUAAGAAUCUAGAAACCUCAAGAUAUGAUAAAUCGGGUCAACUUAUUGGAUUCAGAGAGAUAGACUAGCAUGAGACUCCUCUACUUUUGUUUUAGUACUUUGAUUUUUAUAUAAACAUUGUUUACCUAAUGUACCAUAAAUCUUAUCUAACUUAUCAAUAUGUAUGCAUGGUACGAAAUUUUUUACCAAACCUAGUCAAUCUUGGAAAGCUGUCUUAAACCCAAAAAAGUUAACAGUUAUCCAAAUUAUUGUAGGUCUUGCAAUCGUUUGCUUCUACUUAAUGAAUGAGGAAAAGGUUUUGGUUUAUUAUGGGUUUCCUUAGCAUAAAUCGCUUAGCAUAAAUAGAGAAUAUGCUAAGCAAUUCACACAAUUUGAUGAGUACCUUGAUUUCAAGCAGCAUUGUUAAAUCAUCUCAGGUAUUGAGGACUUGGUUUUCUGACAAGUAAUUCAAAAGAGUUGAAGGUCGAUGGGGAUCAGUCUUGAAGAUUUGACAAAGAGGGAGUACAGUAAGUCUUUUGAUGAACUUUUGGCAAAAUCCAAAGAAUUUGCAACAAACCCAGCGAAGAACUUGAAAUUUUGAGAGAUUGGAUUCUGCAUGAUUUGAGUUGUAGAAAAUUCACAAGAGAAGGAAAAAUUUCAACGAGUAUCUUCGAUCCCAAGGAGAAGACUGAAAAUCGACAUUGUAUAGUGAAGAACAAGAUGAAAGCUCUUUCUACCAAGCCAUGUAGUGAUAUAAUGAUUUGCAAGAUGAAGAAGCUUCUGAUCAUCGUUCUGCAAGAAAUGAUCAAUAGAUGAAACAGAAGCAAAGUCCUAAGGCAUGCAGAUAUUGUUUCAGCAAACACAAUAGAAUGAAGAAGAUGAAUGUUUCAGCAAACAAAAAGAAGCUUCUUCUCCUUAUACUUAUGUAUGUACAUGUCCAGAUAUUGCAAUUGGUGUUGUCAGUAGAUAUCUAUCUAACCCUGGCAGAAAGCAUAGGGAAGCUGUCAAGUGGAUACUCAGAUAUUUGAGGGACACCUCAAUGUUAUGUUUGUCUUUUGGUGGAUCAGACUCGUAUUGGAGGGUUUCACAGAUGCAGAUUUGGUAAGAGACCUUACUAAUAUAAAGUUCAUUACUUAUUUACAUUUUGUGGGGGAGCUGUGUCAUGGCAGUCCAAGUUACAGAAGUGUGUUGCCUAAUUCACAAUAGAAGCUAAGUACAUAGUAGAAAACGAAGAAGGGAAAGAAAUAAUAUGGCUGCAAAGGUUCAUUCAAGAGUUGGGUGUGAUGCAAGAAAGGUAUGUGGUGCAUUGUGAUAGUCAGAGUGCAAUUCACUUCAGUAAAAAUUCAGUUUAUCAUCCACACACUAAACACAUUGAUCUACGUUAUCAUUGGAUACGAGAUGUAGUGUUAAAGAAGAUUUUGAGCUUGAGGAAAAUUCACACCAACAAGAAUACUUCUGAUAUGUUGACUAAAGUUGUGCCGCAACUGAAAUCGGAGUAUUGUAGCAAGUCCGCUGAGAUGGACUUCAAAUAGAAGUCUCACCUUUGUAUUACCCCGGAUUGGUCUGGAGGGGAGAUCAUUGAAAUAUCCAGACCUUAAGUCAAGUGUUGGUUAGGAAGCCCCAAAAGGGCUUCAUAUCGGGUCAUUCACGACUCAUCUAUAGACAAAAUGACAUUGUCCCAAGAAGAAAGUGUGGAUAAAAUGAGAAGAAGCUAGGAGGAAUGAGGAAAAUGGUCCUAAAAAGGAGACAAGGAGCUCCCACAUCGAAAAUGAAGGGGACGACCCUCUCCCACAAAGUAUAUAAAAGCAAGCAUAAGCUUCCAAAACAGGUAAGUCCAAAUUCCUACUUUAUUCUCCUUUUGAUCUAGUCAACAAUUCUGACAUAAGCAUCAAAGUGGAUGCCCUAGGUAUACCCGAGGUCGCCCUCUAACGUUGUUUGUUUUGACAGGAAAAUAAGAUGACAAAAGGAUAUUCAUUUCUCAAAGACCCGCAAUCCAGUCUUGGUACCGUGAGCUUACCCGGAAACAGUUGGUACUCUCGUUGAGAGUCGAACUCAAGAUCUCUCGCUUCGUUGAGCCAUGGUUGAGAUUGCUCUAACAGGUGCCGAUGAUUCGGGUUCCGCCGAGGACCCGGGAAGGCUUAAUUUUUCCCCACCAAACUCUGAAUCCAUCCCAUCCGGAAACUGACCUUGAGACUGCUUACGAAUUGAUGAAAAAAAUGACUAUUUCGCCCUGAAAGAGCAAGCAUCCCGGGAGCAUGCCUCUCACGCUACUUUGCAAUCUCAGCUCAGCGAAAUGCAAAAAGAGCAACAACUUCUUUAUGCCACUCUUAAUCACAGGAACGCCUACAACGAGGCUCUUGAACGUGCCUCCCAUAUGUUUACACUCAAUUCAGCUCUUCCGGGACCUAGCCCGCACCCCCACCCCCACCCCCUAAUCCCGACACUAACGUCAUGAUGUCAUUUGGCCCCAACCCCAACAUUGUCUAUAUGAGUACUCCCCUUAUCCACCAAAGCCUAGAUGGGCCACCCCCACAACCCAGUGAACCCACCCCUACCGCUACCAGUAACACCCAGAUGAAUACACUUUCCGAUAUCCAGACACAGCUUUUGUUGCAAUUAAGCCAUUCCGUGACAAACCUAGAACAAUGGUUUAAUGACAGAAUCAAUACCUCUUCCCCUAGACCUUUUAUCACCCGGGUCAUGCGCCCCGGACCCUUUACUCCUCGAGUUCAAGCUGAGACGAAACCCCCAGAGGCAAAACCUUUCAAGAUCAAAAGAUAUAAUGGUACCGAAUGCCCAUAUCUACACCUUGAACUUUUUCAAUCCCAACUAGAUUCAACCCGUUACACAGACGCCCAAGCUGGUCACGCCUUUCAAGAAACACUAACAGAGGAAGCACCAAGUUGGUUCUUACAUCUCCCGGCGCACUCCGUUGACAAUUAUGAACACCUCACACAGAAGUUUGUCAACCGCUUUAUCCUUCUCAGGGAUAGCAACCGAACUACAGCCGUGUUACUGGCACAAAAAACUUCCACUUCUUCCAAUGAACCCCCUUUCCUCCUUUCUUCCCCUACCAAAACUUAGCCACAACUGCAUUCAGCUCAUCAUAGAGGCCAAUAGGAAGCUUGAACACGCUCACUGAAUAAGUGGGAAUAGCUAGAAGUACUGCUUUACCAAGACUUAAACGAAGUCAUUACUAAACCUUCUUGGAAGCAUUUUAUUUGACUGUGAAGCAUGGUCUGUUAUGAACUUAUGAUGCUGGUGAUUCCUAGAACCCUACUAUUGCAAUUCUAGUAGCUUCUAAUACAUAUGCACUUCAUUCCUUGUUUUCUUACAUCACUUUGCUACCCUCGCCGAACACAAAAGGUGGACGAUAUAGGUGAGCAGGCUACUCAACACAGACUGAAUUCAGGUUAGCAUUGCCCCUAGAUAAAUACCCUUUGUCUAUUACAGGGUACCAAAAAGUAAUGCAACAGACCUAGAUAACUAAAGUCAUUAAGAUUAAAGACAACUGCCUGUCCCUUUCUAAAUUGAUACCCAACCUCGCAUUUUUAGCAUAUUAUUUCCAAGAUUUGAAGGUAAUAAAAUAAAGUCCAACAACAGAAGGAUAUGACCAGUUUAGCCAAACUUUUCCUUCUUCCCAUGGUGAAGAAAAUUAUUGGUGCAUCAUGAAAUUGAAGAUAGGACACUACAAAUCUAUCAGAUUAAGCUACCUGGCUCUCCACCUGGGGCAUUCACACUAGAGAUUGAAAUACGAUAAUCAAUACAAGUCUAACAAGUACAUCUACUAACAGGGUGAAAAGAAUAGGAGAAGCAGGCUCCCCUUGUCUACCGGGUAAAAGUUCAAAGCUUCCUCUAUGCCUGCCCCUGGUUGUAAUAGUAAAAGAAACCAAAUUCAAGCCUCCCUCCAUACAUGAAAAACCAUGUUCAAUCAGCAACCAUGUCAGGGAUGUUUCAAUUCAAGGAAAGUUGGGCAAAAAGAAGUUGUUAUUUACUCUUCUAGUCCUCUCAAAAUGACCGAUUCAAGCUACAAAGGCUAAUGUCCCCCAGUAUGUGCUAAAAUAUAAUCAACCAAUUCAGAGUAAAUUGAGCUAUAUAGUGAAUUUAGGAGCUUACCUGGAGUUUGAUCACAUGUGAAUAUGAUCUCUUGUUUCUCAGCAACUUCUUGAGGAGAGUGACAGUUUACAAUUGUGUGCUUCCCAUGGGAUCACAGGUAGUCAAACGAGUAGUUGGAACAUUUUACUUCCUUACAUUAUUUAUGUUGAACACUACAGAUAUUCAACAGUAAAAGAACGAUAACCAGUUGAUUCUUGAUAAGAUCAGGAAGAGAGAACUAUUUAGUACAGAAGGAAAUCCUGGAGAUCUUGAGUUGUGAAAUGGUUCAUAUCCCAUACUUCUUGCUUCAGUCAUAACAUCUUACUUGGCAGUAAAUGCCAAUUUGUCAUUGAUACUAUACUUUCCUUCCUCGCUCUGAGCACAGUAACUAACUAAGCAAGAAAAAAAUACAACUAUCCACCUAAAGAACACCAAACCUCAUUCAAAAAAACAAUAAUAAUAAUAACACCAAACCUAAACAGAAUAUACAUUAAUGCCAAAGCCCAACAUGUAAAUAAGUAUGCCAGUCACAAUAUUGCAUCUAUACCAAAUUGUAAAUAUUUGUUCUGAAAAAAGGAACCAAAAGAUAACAUGUCAAGCGCAAAUACAACCAGUUACCUCUAGUCCAAAUGACAGUACAGAUCAGAAUAUCAAUUGCUACUGAUGGUUUAGAGCCUAUUGUAUAGUUUAUUUUAGCUCACCGCAGUGAAAUUACGUGAAGUCAAGUGGAAUGUUAAUUCUCAGGUCUGAAAAUGAACUUUCAAGGCCAUGACUGAUAAAAGAAUUUCUUAGUUUUCUAACAAAAUUGGGUUUAUCAUCAAGUCUGCAAAUUCACUUUGACCUAUGGAAGAAAAUUUUAUUUCGGCGAUUAAGGAUUGUAACAAUAAAACUUUGCCGAGGGAAAACAUACCGUAGAAUGGGACCUUAAGAUAGGUGCUAUAAUCAUUUUGUAGGUUUAACCAUGACAACAUUUUAUAGCCAAACAAAACAUCUAAAUAACUCUUGAGAGUAUGUAAAGGAAUUAGAGCAUCACCUCAUCAAUAAGGUAGUUUGUAUCACACAAGCUCUCCUCACACUUUGCCUCAUUGCUGCAACCGUGGUAGGCCCAUAGAUUGGAACAUAACAUCUGAACAGAAAUCAGACAACCAUUUGUUCUUCGCUGCAUAUGACUCUAUUCCAGUCCACAAGGUCCAUCUGGUGUGUGCCAUAUGAAGUUUGAAAUGCAUAAUAAUGUUGGAAAAGAAAAGAACUGAAACAGUAGAUGAUCUGAAUUAUAAGAUUAUAACAUAAUCUAGAAAAUUUCUGCUGAGCAAGUCAAAAGGUUAUCAAUCACUAUAUAACAAAAUGAUAAGAAACAACUUAACCGGCUGCAACUUUACAUUCCUCCAAAAUUUUCAGUUAACAUAAUUAAGAGUACAUAAUAAUCUAAUUCUAUUACACAGGGCAAAAGGAAUACAAGACAUUGUGUGGAUGCCUUUGUAUUACAAGACACACUUUUUUGAAACUCAAGGAUGAAAAAAGGAUAUGGGCAGGUUGCAGAGUUUUGCAGAUAGUAUGUUGAAUGCCCCAUCAAGUGGGAUACACACAUUUUGGGCCAAAAGAAAGUAAAGAGCACUGAGUGAAUAUCUUUGGGCCAGAUCAGAUAUGAAAUUUUUUACCAGCGCUCUCUUGGCCGACCAUCUGGCAAUACUGGAACUAGCACCCUCUCAUCAUUCUCUGUUGAAUAGCCUUCUUGAUUAAUUGGUUUGCUCUCUUCAUUGUUUAAUGUUUUCCCAUCUUCAUUGAAAUCUGGGGGUGUAUCUUCAUCUUCAUCACUCCAAUCAUCAUCGUCAUCAUCAUCAUCAUCAAACUCAUCAUCUUCAUCACUCAUAAAGUUAUCAGUCUCAGACCAUUCCUCUCCCUCAUCAACAGUUCCAUCUUGUGCCUCAUUGGUUUCUUCAGUACCAUCUGCCUCUCUAUUGGGAGCACCCCUUCUAGGAUACCGUGGAACUGCAAUAAUAGAUCGUAGCUUCUCCUUUAUAAUCAGCAGACGAUCCUUGUCUAUCAAUUGAGAAUCACGAUAUGCUUCCCUAAGGAAAACUGAAUCCCUUUCUCCUUUCAACGACACAUAAAACAUAUCAGGGUGCCUUAUCAGCAUUCCCCUGACCUGCUGAGAGAACCUAAACUCCUCGCGGAAAUGAGUAAGGUGAUCUACAAGAGUUUUCUUCUCCACAGUAAGGCUCAAGAUCUCAUGGACAACUGCACAAGCAUGUUUCUCUUUCUCAAUUGUACCUGACCUCAGCCCCGAGAAAUCAGAGUAAGGGGAAAUGUAAGGAAUGUCUCUAAACAGACAUAUUCUCCUCAUCUCACCCUUGGAAAGAUUAAGACCCCUUGGUAACUUUAGUCUAUUGAACUUGAGAGGCCUAUCUAUAAUUAAAUCCUUCUCUUCCAGUUCUCUAGCACGAUUUUCCUCUUCAGAUAACUCAGCAGCUGAUACAGCAAGCUCAGGAUCCCAAUGAGUUAAUUCUAAUGCUGGACCUCUCUCAGUUGCAACAACUUUAAAGUAUUGUGGGUAUCGAUGACAAAUUGUAUCACGAAAUUCUAAAGGAAGUCCUAAAUCAGUCUUCAAAUGAGCAAUCUUCUCCAACAAAAUCCGCUUAUCCAAUGACAUCAUCAAUAAUUUCCUCAACUUCACAACCAGCAAGUCUUCCAUCUCAUUUCGAACCUGCAACUCUUCAAGGUAAAGCCUUUCUGCUUCCGGCGUCAAUUUAAAUUUCAACGAAAAGACACCUUCCUCAACAAUCUCAAACACCGCCGGGAAUUUCUUCAGUAAUGCAAUAAAUCGCCUCUUUUUCUGCAAACCCAGUUCUCUUCUAUACCUACCUAGUUCUCUAAGUGACAUAAUCCUAUCAGGUUGGCUCACUAAAAUUUUUCUAAUCUUCAAAACUAACUUCAACUUCUUAUCCCUUUGGAUCACAUUGUCGAAAGGGAGUUCUUUCCUUCUCUUCACGGCAGCACGUAUUGGUCCAACUGGGACAUGUUUCAAAUCACCCAAAAUAACAUCUCUAUCAGGUAAAACCAAUCUAUUUCCCCAAAAAUUUGACUUUUCUGGCUCUAUCAUUGAGAUUGAGAGAUGGGUUUUCACAGACUGUCUGGGUCGUGAAAGAAAAGAGGACUUGUAAGACAGGAAAAAGGGUAAGGUAGCGGCGGGUAAAGCUGUGGUUGAAGAAAGCAACAGCCAUGGUUCCAUUGAGACCUGUAUCAGGAACAUGUAUCAAAACCCAUAAACCAUAUCAUCAUACUUUCCAUAAAAUUCAAAUCAACAAAAGCAGCCACUAGUCCUCACAGUUUCAACAGUGAAACCAGUACCCAGUGCUGAUUGAACAUAGCUAAAUAGCAAUAGCUAGUUACUCUAAACAAACAGUGGCACAAUAAAAAUUGUAUACGACUUAAUCAAGCCAGCGAAAUCCCACGAACCCAAUAACCCAAUUAAACCCUUGAUAAAUCUUGAAACUGAACUAAUCAACCAAAAGAAGCAAAAUUGAACACAGAUAUAUUACUUUGAAGAAGCAACAAGGAUUGCAUAGAGAGAGAGAGAGAGAGAGAGAGAAUGAGAUAGUAGAGAAGAUAGAAAGAGGCUUGAGUUGUCUGAAAUUGAAACUGAAAUAUAAACGAGAGAGCAGGUACGAGAGAACUAACCUUGUUGGGUGAAGGCACAACCGAAGACGAAGACAAGAGCAUAACAGAAAUUGAUUCUAUAUAUAUGAGCUUGGUAAGAAUUAAGGACUACUUUGUAUAAGAGAGAUAGAGGGCGGAAGAUAGAAGGAGAAGAAGAAAGGGAUGAGAGAGUGUUGAGUAAAGGUCGAAGCUGGAGGAGGGAAAAUGAGAACAGUCGAGUACAUAUGGGGUUGUGAUAAUGUGGAGAAAAUGUCACCUCCCAACCAAACAAAGACAGACAAGUAAUGAGUUGAAGGAAAAACAGAUGUGUGUCUCACAGUCAAAGUCAAUAAUCAACAUGAGGAUAUUGGGUGCAAGGAUUAAAGAUAAUCCUCGAUAUUUUUUCAAAAUUUUCGUUUUUUACAAUCAUUUAUAUUAAUUUUUCUAUUUUUUUGAUUUUUAUAUUUAGUCUAUUAUUUGUUGAAUAUACAAUUUAAUAUAAAAUUUUAGUAAAAUUUUCAUCGAUAUUCGAUAGUUUCUCGAUAUAUCUAUCGAGAUUUCAUUUUUUUCGAACCACUAAUAUUUCUGUGAUCGUCGAUAUUUUAGUCCUUAAUUAGGAGAUUAUGAUUAGGGUUGGGCACGGUCCCAGGUUGGCACCACUUUCACAGGGACCAAGACCGUCAAUCUUUGUCCGGACCGGGCUUGCACAUUCUGAACUCAGGGAUCGGCCUAAACCCGGACAAGCAGCAUACGGGCUGGUUUCGCCAGGCUUUCCGUUAUCGCAAGGCAACUGCAACUCCAGCUAGAAUAAUAUCUGCAAAUUUCCAAAAUACAAAACCCAACAAACUUCUAAAAUCCAAACACCCAAUAAAUUUCCAAACUAACCAAGGACAGGGCUACAAGGAUUCGAUGAAAUUCAUCUUCGUUUCAGGUGUGUCAUUUGCUUGGAGGAGGUAUUGGAUCUGGUAUGGGGACUGUUGAUUUCGAAAGUCAAGGAUGAUACUCACUUUCUUUGUGUUACGUAGAUGGCGAAGGUAAGACCAGAGAGGAGAUCAAGGCAUAGGGCGGCGAUGGCAUCUGGACGGCAGAGGCGACGAUGGACUCCAAUUGAACAACAAAGACUCCGAAUUGAGAGUGGCAGGAGAUUAUCGUUGGGGUUCUUCUUCGCCUUUAGAGUGGGAUAACUAUGAUCAACUCAUCAAAGUGGGAAGAAGAAGAUUGGAGAGAGGUCAAGAUGAAUUGAUCGGGCAAAAUGUAUUGAUCGGGCAACACGAGAAGAAUUGAGAGGUGAGAGAUGGAGAAAACCAAACUCAGAGAGUUUGAAGAUGAGAGAAUGAACAAAAAAAGGUAGGGUAUAAUUAGCAAUUUAACUUAUAGAAAAUUUCAUACAAGUCCCCUUUUGAACAUUUCCUUCCUCACAAAUCCACCCCAUCUUCUUUACCCGGAUAUGUCCAUUUUGUUUGCUCUAAUUAUUUUAUCCUGACCAUUUCACCCUUCACUACAAAAAAAAAGUAGAUUGGCCACGGCGCAAAACCGUCGCCAAUAGCAUUUUUGCCGUGGCAAAACAGUAUUCGCGACGGCAAAGCGUCCGUCGCAAAUAGUGGCGUCGCCAAUGCUAUUUGCGACGGCAAUUACGCAGUCGCAAAAAGAUACGACGGUGUAAUUGCCGUCGCCAAUACCAUUAGCGACGGUAUCAACGCCGUGGCAAAUGAGUUAUUUAUAAAGAAAAAAAAAUUGGCAUACAAAUAUACACUGCAAAUUUUUAUUAUUAUUUGCAUAAAAAACAUACAAGGAAUAAGCCUAAUGUUAGGAAUGGUACGUUUUAGGAAUCUUAAAACUAACAAGUUCACAAGAAAAUGAAGCAAGUUUACAAUAUUAUAGUUUCAUGGUAGUUAUAUGUCUCUCAAAAACAAAAAAAAUCUCUCUCCUCCAAGUUAGCAAGUGCCCAGCCAAGUGAUAACAUUCUUGCUGCAGCAACAUAUCCACAUAUCCUCUGUGCAAUUUGCUUGUCUCAGCAUCUUUCAAAUUAAUCUUUGGCACCAUCUGAUAAUUAAUGAAAGCCAUGGUUGAAUUUCAAAGUCAACUGCGCCUUCCUAUAUAUAUGACAUCAAAUAUACUCUCUCAGUCUAUGCACAAGUAUAUAUAAAGUUAGAGGUGAUGCAUAAGAUAACUAACAUGAGAGCACAGUCAGAAAGAAUACAAUGAAUGAAUUGAAUUUACUAGCCCAAAAUGGAGGUACACUCCAGUAAGUAUCUAUCUCUAAUCCUUCUUUACCCAAAGUGCUUUAUGCAUCCCUCAUAUACCUUAGAUGAUAACAUCACCUUUAUAAAUCGAAACAAACAUAUAAAUGAUCGGUAACAAAGAAACAAGCAUUUCACACAAGGAAAUAGAAACAACAUAUAAAGCAAACAUAGAGGCUCUCCAAUUUUUCCCCUACCUUUGCUGACUUUCACAUGAAGUAUGAAGCUCCUAAUAAAAAGAUAUAACCAUUAGUUUAAGCAAUAAUAUGCAAUCUCUAUUUCAUUUAGAACUCAAUUUAAGACUAUGCUCAAAUGCUAAACAGAAGAUACAAUAGUAAGCCAAAAUAUUUUCACACAAUAACACAACAACACAAUUUAGCUUUCUGAACCAGUCACCUUAACUUCAAAAACUGUACAAAUCCGUAAGGAAUUUGACUUCGAUUUCUUCUAAUGACUUGUAGCAUUAGAAAAUUUCCUGCUAUGUGCCUAAACUUAGAAUUUAAAAGCAAAUAAGAAACUCUAUAUAUUAAACUUUUAGCAACUGAACAUAACCACUCCAAUGUUUCAAAAAAGAAACACACAAAACUUGCAACUUAAGUAGCUAAAUUAGAUUACCACAACGACAACUAACAGAAGAUAACAAGUAAAUAUAGUUAUACACUUCUAAUGUUCAGCCAACUUUAAGCAUACCAAAACCUUGAUCUUUAACUUCAAUUUGAGAAAAAAAUUACACGUGUAAGAACUUUAUAGUCUAAUCUAUAUGUCUAUAUAAUAUAUACCAAAAAGAGUAAGAAUCAUAGGCAACACUGAGACUAAAAGCAAAGGUACAAAAAUCAGAAAAGUGCCUAACUGAAAUUCUGACCAGAAAAGUCUUUGGUUAAAAACGAUACGGUUCAACUGGGAAUUAAAGCUUGGUGUCUUCAUGACAUUUGAAAUAGACAUCCUAAAUAUCAAUCUGGAACUGGAAUCGGACAAAAAAGAUUUUCCUACAAUUACUCAUGAUUUUUCGAAGUUGAAGACCUGCAUCAGGAAAAUCACUGAUUUUGACUCGAAUCAAAUUCCCCCUUUUAAAGAUGAUUCCCAGUAGGUAACAACUAACAACAAAGAAAAACCCAAUCCUAAUGCUGUACUACAAGUUAUGAGAUUUGUAGCUCUCAAAACGUCGUCUCUCAUCCAAAACCACUCUCUCUCUCUCNNNNNNNNNNNNNNNNNNNNUACUCUCUCUCUCUCUCUCUCUCUCUCUCUCUCUCUCUCUCCCCCCUCCGAUGAUGACGCCGGCUCAACCUUGACUGUGCUCACCUUCGACAACGAUGUCAGAUCGACCUCAACUGCGUCUCCAAUUUCAUUGACGACGACCUCGCUAUAUAUCUGAUUCGUCAACGACAACCUUGACUAGAUCCAUCAACGACGACCUCGACUAAUCUCCAAUUCGGUCGACACCGACCUCAACCGAACCUCCUAUUUCGUUGACGACCUCAACUAGAUCUUCUAUUCCAACGACAGCCUCUUGCUUGACCUCGGCUACAUCUCUGAUAGAUAUGUUUACACCGGGAAUUAAUAUUUUACUUGAUAGUAAUUGUACAUGUCUAAAUGAAUAUUAGUUAAAUUCAUGGUCCACGUCAUAUCGACGAGCCCGAAAUAUUGGGUUUACAAGUGAUGACCCACCCGCAAAAUCGUGCGAGCUGAACGGUAGAGUUCGCAUGCAAGAUGGAGUUUGCAUGCAAAAGAGACUUGCAAAGUUAUCAUGCGAGCUGGAUAGCAGAGUUCGCAUGUGAAAAGGACUUCACAUGUAAUCAAGGAGUGGACUUCACACAGAAGAUAGAGUCCUAAACAUGGAAGCAAUAUAUGCAAGCGAAGUGUCGAGUUCGCGUUCUAAAAGCAACGUUUGCAUGAAGGGAUGUUGGACGUAGUGGUUAUCAAGUAGCUAGCUUAUCCAUAUUACUCAUUUGAUAAUUACUCAUUGUUGGACGUGGAACAGAAGGUUAAGAAGACUAGCAACAUCUUUAAUUGCAUUCAACCAGGAGUCUAUAUGUAGCAAUGAUAGAUCAUGCCAGGUUUCAUGCAUAUCCACGGAUUUGUUGGCAUCGUCUAGCAGAAUCAUAUCAAAGGUGAUGAUCCUUGUCGCCUACAAUAUUUCACCCGUUGAAGAAUUCUACAACUCUUUGACUUGCUUUGCGCCAAUCUAUGUGGCCCUAAAAUAAGUCUACAUACGUGAUUAGAACUGCGUCACCCAAUUACGUGAUUACCAAGUAAAACGAAAUCUUGUGCAACUUAACCGACUAUGUAGCAAGGACCGAAUCAUUAUCAACAACUAGUGAAUUCACCUCUAUAUAAGAGAGUUUGAGAAUCUGGUCUAAGGACACUCUACAAUCUAUAAACACAAUACAACCUUCAACAUAGUUGAAACCGAUGCUAAAACAUCUCGCCUUAGCACCCUUUUUACUUUUCAAGCUCUUCGGAGCUUUGCACCCUUUACUUUUCAAGUUCCUCGGACCGUUGCGUUCUCGUUUACUUUCCUUUGGUUGCUCUGCUCGCUACAAACCACGAGUAUCAAUAUUGGUGGCGGAGAUGCUACUGUAAUUAAAUCCUCGUCCGUGAGGUGGCACAGGAGCCUUACUUUCGUUUGAUUAGAAGUACAUGUCAGCGCAAUAAAACAACAACACUACUUUCUGCACCCACGCGGUGGCACGCCCGCAUUCAACCCUAGAAGCAUUUGGUACAAUUACCUCUCUCUCCGCUGAGAAGCGUGGCCAAACAAGAUGUAAAUUUCUAAUCCCGUCGGGCUUUGGUUUGCACCAAAUUGUGUUUGACUAGAGAGAAUUUUGCAUCGGAUUUGUUCAAAUGUACAUGUGGUUUAAGAGUUGUGGUUACAAGGAAGGGAAAGUUAUGUGAUCUGUAUAUGAGUAGUGAUCUCAAAUGAGGUGAUGGUUUUAAGUUAAUAAGGAUCGAUGAAAGGUGGAGCUAUGUGCUUAAUUUGUUUGUUCAAAGUUUAAAACAAGCAACUCCGUGUUUUGCCUCCCUUAAUAGAUGAUCUAGGCAGUUGUACUGUUUGUGUUUAAAGAUGAAUAACAAGCUAGUGUGUUCAUGAUAAAAAAAAACUUAGUGCUUUGCUGAUAGUCAUAGAAAUUCUUUUAUGUUUGUGUUAGUGAUAGUAAUUGUUUUAUAUCUUUAGUUGGUAUCUUUUGAAUAUUGUAAUAGUAUAUGUUCGUGUCUGUGUUAGUAUCUUUACAACACAGUUAUAGUACUUUUAAAUUGUUGGGAAGAAUUUAAAGAAAAGAAGUGCACAACCUGACAUGAGAGAAGUGCACCACCUGACAUGAGAGAUAUAUAACACAAUACUAGGGUUUGGUGAAGAGAAUAAGUUGGGAAAAGUGUAAAUUUAAAUUGUUGGAGUUAGAGGGAUGGUGGUGGAAAAAUGUUAAGAUGAAUAUUGAUGAUGAAAAAGCUUAGGGUGGUUUUAAGUUGGACUAUGACCAAAAAAAAAGAGAUUACCGAUUGCUAGGAUGUAUCCAUGUUUCUCUACUUAGAUUAUUGGAGUUGAGUUUAAAUGUUCUCUUUAUUGGUUAGGAUUCCGGUUGAGAAAGCUUUCGAGGACAAUCCCGAGUCAGGACACGUAUGCUUAGUCACCUUGAUUGUGAGUUGGACUUUUGUUUUAAAGAAAUACAUGCAAUUACUUUCUUUGAUAUUGAAUUUUUUUAUUUUUCGGUUUAAUAUCAUUAAGAUUUCUCGUAAGUGAAGUAUAUAGUCACUAUGUGAUUUCUUGUUUAUGAUUUGAAGUAAAUAUGUUUGAGUUUAAAGAAAGAAACUUUCCGAUGGCUUAUUUGAUUUUUAUGAGUAAAGUAUUGGUAUGUUGAAAAGAAAGGCAUUUUCUAAAUGCUUAUUGGUUUCAUGCUUCAAGUUUUGAUGUGUUUACGAAAGGAAAGAAUCUCUUUAAAUCUCUUUAUGAAAGACACAAAAUGAAUUUGAAUAUGUAAUUAUAUAUUUUUAAAGAAUGACGCUAAGUCAUUUUAUUGAUCAAAUAAUGUAGGAGAACAACAUAUACAUAACUCACCCUUGUGGCUACGCAAAAAUCGAAUUAUGCUAAAAUAACCUAUGAAACUCAAGCAAAACCUAAGCAACUCAGUCGUUCUAAUGCUGCCCUGAAAUUGGCAUCUUGAUCAAUAAUCAGUAACUGUCGGAUUCAUCCAACUUAUUCAUCCCCAGGAUCAAGGCUACUCAGCAAAGCGCUAAAACUCCGCGAAACUGGAUCAGCCCAAAUACCAACUGACCGAAGGCCCUUGUCGCCGGUGAAAUCGCCAUGGGUCACGAACUUCGAGCACCCAUACCUCCGGCCCAUACACUACUCGAUCAGAUGCAUCAAGCCUUGUGAGAUGAGGAACCCCAUCACAAAAACCAGACUUCUCUGAGAUUGAGAAACCGAUUCCAUGUCUUCCAAAUCGAACUCCAAAGAACCCAAUCCAGAAAGCAGUAAAAACAAUGAACCAAAGCCCCCUGCGUGCCAGAGCACGGCCUUGACCGACUGUCAAGAUUAAAUCGAAAUUGAUUGGACUACUGAAAAACAAGGCCAAGCCUAAAGCUAAACCCUAGGCGGCGGCUUGAAGGAGAAAAGAGAAGUGAGAGCAUUCUCAUCGCUUGAGCAGCUUGCCAACUAAUCUACUUUUUAUUAAAGUAUAACAAAAUAUUUUCUUUAUGCAAGCUAUAUAUAAUGAAGAAUAACAAUACCAUUGAAAACAUAAUCUGUUAAAACACUUAAACGUACUGCAUAGAUAUUCCUCACGAAUGAACAUCACUUUAGCUUGACUGAGCUUGUGCAUGCAGAAUCGACAGUUUGAGAUCCAACAGUGAUAGAGAUGUUACAAUCGGUAUGACUAAGGGCCUUUUUAUGGAAGAUCUUCAACAUGCUUCCCUUCCCAUGCACCACAGUGUGUGAAGUAAAAUUCACUACCCCAACUGUAGUCAAGUCUCUUUGAAAGUUCGCAUCAAAUGCCAGUUUGUCUGCUAAUAUAUCCAUGGAAGUCGUGAUGUUGUAAUUCUUGUGAGAUGGAAUCGUACCUUCUUCGAGUGGAGCUUCAGCUAUAACUUUGCCACGAUAACUGAUAUGAGCUGUGCUAUUGUCAUACUUGAAGCUUCCAUAGUUGCGAUUUUUCACUGUGAUCAAAAUUCCGAUUGAUACAUUAAAUUUUAUCACCGGAAAAACUAUUACAUGAAAGCUUUCUAGGUUGAUCGGACUUGCCACAAUGUCAGGAUCUUUGAGCUUGAAGACUGUGAGGAAUAGAACGACUAGAACCACUAAGAUGGUGAUUAAGAGAAUGCCUGUAACAGUAGCACAUAUUUUCCAGCCUCGAUGAGAAGCCAUGACAAAGAAUAAAGGAUUGUGUAAUUUAAUUUUGGAGUUAUGAAUGAUCGGUGUUGCAAAUAUUUUUGUUUCACAUUAUAGCAACUUUAUUAUAUACACAGUCAUUAUGAUAUAAACAAGAAAGGAAGAUGUAUAGUUUAUUAGUAAUAUUUGAGGUGCAUAUUUUAUUUACUAAAGGACAAAAUAUUAGAUCUUACUGUGUAACAAUGAACUUGGAAGACGAUAGAAUUAAGGUUUCAUUGUUUUAUCACAUGGGUUGUUUUUGUUGUAUCAAUGUUUCCAUCGCACAUUCAUAUGGCCUAUAUGAGAUGCGUUAGGUCAUGGCUUUUUAAUUUUGUUUUAUUAUUGAACUCCCAAAUCAUUUCCUCAUCACUUAGGUUCCUAAUAUGACCCGAUUCAUUUUUAAGAACAGUACAUGAAAUUUUCUCAAUUGAGAAUUAUGAUGUCUUAAGAUCCAAAACUAUCAUAUAAGUACAUGAAUUUACAAACCCGACAAACUUUUGAUACAGGCCGUCAAUAACGCUGUUAACCUUAUGUUAUUAUUCAAUUUUUUAAAAGGUAAUUACGUAUUUUCAGAAUUCCUCUCUGCUCCAUAUCUCAUACCCCAAGAUUUCUACUCCAUUUCGAUAAUCAAAUCAUCACCUCAACCUCUCCGAUGUGGAUCACCACCUCAACCAUCGUUGUAAAAGUGAAAAUCAACACAGAUGCCAAACCCACAACCACACUAAAAUGCCCAGGUCCAACAAAAAUCCCCACAGAAUUCAUCUCAUCAUUUUAAGUUAUUCAACAAUCACCAUCCUCGUCCUCGAAGUCUCCUCCACUCUUCAAAUGCUGAAAUCUGUAAAUCAAUAUGCACAAGAAAAACACAGAUGUGUUUUACAACUUGUAAUUCGAAAUCCAUGGCAAGGUGGUCGGAUAUAGCUGAUGGGUCUGAUGUAGAUGGCGAGAAGAAGGAAGAGCCAGACUACUUCUCGAAAGCUUCACAACGCAGUAUUUCAGGGAGAUAUCCUCGAAGAAAUUGAGUCGGUGGAAGGGUAUCGGCACCGGCAGAGAGACGAAUCGAAAAACCUAGACGAAGAGGACCGGUAAGAUAUGGGGUUGUGGCGGAGGAUGAUUAGGAUUUUGGGAUUUUUGUUUGAUUGAAUUAGGAUUUGGAAUUGAGAAGGUGAGCUUGUGAGGAGUUUGGGUUGGAGCAGAGAUGGAAGUCACCGAAUGAGAAGAGACAUGAGAAGGGUUUCUUUAUUUUAUUUUGGGGUUCCACUUGUGUGUCUUAAGGUAUGGAUACCCAACCAAUUUUAACUUGCUAUAGCAGGUUAAACCAAACUAACACCGUUAACUCUCUGUUAAGUCUCUCUAUAUGUACAGUUUUCAUUAGAAAUAUCUACCACUCAGAUGAGUAAAAUCACACAAAAGUAGACUUUUUAGAAAUCAAAAUGAUUCUUGAGACUGUCUAUAACUAUCAUAAGAAAUAUCUACUACUGUCAUGAAAAAUAUUAACAUAAGACACAUCUACUGUUUUCAUUAGAAAAAUAGACUUUCUAUAAAUCAAAAUUGUUCAUGAUCGAGAUUGAAUCAAGUAAAAUUUGCAACUCUACAUUUAACAUAAGAUACAUCUACUGUUUUUAUUACAAAUCUCUACCAUUAACAUAAGCGAAAUCAAAGAAAAGUAAACUUUCUAGAAAUCAAAAUUGUGAUUAAGAUUGAACCAACCAAAGUAAAAGAUACAAAAUCUACAUUUAACGUAAGACACAACUACUUUUUUCAUAAGAAAUGUCUACCAUUAACAUAAGAGAAAUCAAAGAAAAUUAGACUUUUUGGAAAUCUAAAUUGUUCUUAAGAUUGAAGAAAAACCAAGGUAAAAGAUGAAAAGUCUACAUUUAACAUAAAACACAACACUUUUUCUAUAAGAAAUGGCUACCAUUAACAUAAGAGAAAUCAAAGAAAAGAAGACUUUCUGGAAAUCUAAAUUGUUCUUGAGAUUGAAGAAAAACCAAGGUAAAAGAUGAAAAGUCUACAUUUAACAUAAGACACAACUACUUUUUUCAUAAGAAAUGGCUACCAUUAACAUAAGAGAAAUCAAAGAAAAGUAGACUUUCUGGAAAUCUAAAUUGUUCUUGAGAUUGAAGCAACCCAAGGUAAAAGAGGCAAAGUCUACAUUUAACAUAAGACACCUCUACUAUUUUCAUAAGAAAUGUCUACCAUUAACAUAAGAGAAAUCAAAGAAAAGUAGACUUUCUGAAAAUCUAAAUUGUUCUUGAGAUUGAAGCAACCCAAGGUAAAAAACGCAAAGUCUACAUUUAACAUAAGACACAACUACAUUUUUCAUAAGAAAUGGCUACCAUUAACAUAAGAGAAAUCAAGGAAAAGUAGACUUUCUGGAAAUCUAAAUUGUUCUUGAGAUUCAAUCAAUGAAUAUUCACAAAAUGAAAAUUGACCGUCUGAUGUGAUCAUUAUAGUGAAACAUGGCUAUGGUAUAAAAUUCAACUGGAUUCAACAAUGUUCGGUGCUCGAUCAAAGCGGUCAACCUUAAUUCAUCUUCACUUAUCACACGAAAACUAUCUUACCUACCUCUUUGUGAUCUAGUUUGGUGGAUUCUUCAACACAAUAAAGUGCCACAUAGAUGAGACAUAACUACCCAUGUAAAACUUUGGGGACGUUUACCACCGGAGGAUAGGGCUCUCCUUAUUGAAGCAUAAGCGUAAAUAGGGUUGACAGCUUCGAUCGGGGCCCAAACAUUGGCGAAUUAAAGUGAUUUUCCUACCGUAGCCGUAUUUUACUAUACCGAUCACAUCCUAUUUCAUGAGAUUUUUGAAAAUUUUGCUUCCUCUAUAUAGUUGGCUCACAAAGUUGUACACUAGCAUAUAACCUACCAAACAAGUUAUACCACAUUAGUAGGCACGUUNNN